rnacentral:lncRNA from 1 species
GGUCUAGUUCAUAAAAUCGGAGUUCCAGAACCACUUUUCCUAACCCCACCGCCUUUCGAGUCGUUACACAUUCAGCUUAUCUAAUGAAAGAGUCUCCAAAUUAUUAGCUUCCUCUAUGGUUGUAACUUUGGCAUCCCAAAACAUUGCCAAGCUUUUAAGCAUUUUCUUUACUAAUUCUUUAUUGGGAUAGGUCUUCUCAUAGGAUUUGAGCUUAUUGAUGAUUGUAAUAGGCCUAUUUGCCCGGCCCAUUUUAUUAAAAAAACCAAAUAAAAAUAAAUAAAGUCCAUUUACAAACUGCUAAUCUAUUUACAACCCAAUUAAACCCGUGGCCCAAUAACCAAUUACAAACCCAACUCUACCCUAACCCAAAAUACAAUCCUAAAUCCAAUUACAAUUAAGCCCAAAAGUAGCCCAAAUUCCAGAAACCCUAGGGGUUCCCAGAACAAUCUGGCGUUCCAGGUUCCCGAGCGCUGCGCCUCAAGCCUCAGCCGCUGCAGCCGAGCCAGGCCUCCUCCCCGCGCGUGCAGAACCUCCGCGCCAAAUCCACACGCACCCUCAGCGCCAGGCUGGUUCAUCACCUGCAACAAACUCACAAACAAACAAAAGAAAAACGAAAUAACAAGAAAAAAGGACAACAGAUUGUAUUUCAGAUUUUUCAUUUUAUCUUAUUUUUAUUAUUAUUUUGGCUAUAAAGAGCCAAUACAAACAUUGUAAACGGAUCUUUUUGACGGAUAUUGAAUAGAAAAACAGAAAAAUUUCAGAGAAAAAAAGAUCAAAAAUUGGAAAGGUGAUUUCAGACUCUUUUUCCUGGAUUUUCUUUUCUCUUUUUCAGAUAAAAUCAAAGCAAGAAAAUCGAGGGCUAAAAGUUUACCUGUUACUCGAACAUCGUUUACUCCGCCGUAAUCGGAGCCAGACGAUCGUUCGUAGAGCUUCCGAUUAGCCCGAUUACAGGAGCGGCGCAUGGGGAUUUUCUUUUGCCUUAGGUUUUUAGAAUGGAAACGGCUGUUAAAUGUUAGAGUUUAGUUAGGCUUAUUUAUAAUGGAGGAAACGACGCCGUUUAGAGCCUGCACCAGUGGCCUUAAAACGGCGCCGUAUUGGCCCUACAACCCGCGCGUGUGACCCGACCCAGGGAGGAUCCGCGCAUUCUGACUCAUUGGUUUAUUUGCGCUGAGAUUCCUCUUUGUUUUGCGUUGUUUCAAUUCGAUUUCUUUCAAUUUUUUAAUUUAUACCAUAUCUUUUAUUCUAUUUUCAUUUUAGUCCAUUUUAAACGACAUCAUUUCUGUGUUGACUUGGAUUGUUAUGAUGUUUGUGUUUAAUUGUUAGUUUAGUCCCUCAAUGUUGAAACAGAUUUCGAUUUAGUACAAAUUCAGUUUUCUUUUAAAUUUCCACAAUAUUUUAAAUUAAUUAAAUCCUACUUUCGAAUAUCAUAAUAUUUAACAUUACUUUUAACAUUUAUUUUAUAUAGUGUUUAAAUUUAUUAUAGUUCAAAAUAAUAAAUCACUAUUUUUUUGUUUAUUUUUAAUUUAUUAUAUACCAAUAUUUGGAGUCAAUUGUAUUUUAAUUUUGUCUUAAUUCAUUAUUAUUCUAAUUUUAUUUAAGUCUCGAUUUUAAAUUUGUUGAUUAUUGUUCUAAACUUCAAAAAAUAUUUUGCAUAUUUAAUCUUGAUUUUAAAAGGCUUUUUAAUAAAUCAAAUUUUACAAUAAUUCGUAUUUUUAAUAUCAUUUUAAUAUUGGCUAAUAUCAUCAUAAUUGUUGCUAUUAAUUUUUAAAUUUUUCACAUAUCUAAUGUUGUCUUCGAAAGUUUUCUUUAGAUAAAUUAAUUCAUAUUUUAAUUCAUCAUUUUUAACCUUAUUUUAAUACUCACCUUAUUAUUGUAUUUUAAAUUUGUUUUAAAUCUUCAUAUUAAUUAUUAUUUUUAUUGUUUUAAUUAACAUAUUCUUAGGAAUUCGAUUAUUGAUUUAUUGGAUGUUUAGUUAUCAAUAUGGAUGAAUUAUAUGUUUGGUUGCUCUUUAAUAUAAAUUUAGAUUAUUAUUUAUCUUUUGUAUCAUAUAUUGCUAUUCAAUUAUAUUGUUUGUAGGAAUUGCAUUUCAUUCAAACAUUAUAAUCGCUUCAUUUCAAAAUUCCUAAAAGGCUUGGUGUUUAACAAUUCUUGAGGGAAUUGUGCUCUAACUUACUGGGCUUCAAUUCUUCUCGAUGAAUUUAUAUCAUCAAGUAUCCAUUUUAUUUAAGACGUACAAUUUUAAAAUAAAAUUCUUUAGAUUUCAAAAUGUUGGAUCCUAACUUACUGGAUACGACAUUUUGUUAUCUCGAUUUUAAAAUAAAGGCAAUAUUUGAUGUUCAAGAAUUUCGAGAGAUUGAACCCUAACUUACUGGAUUCUGAUUUCUCGAUUGACUCAAACAAUCAAAUAUCCUUCUUAAAAUAUGUUUUAAAAUUUUUUAAAACAGGGGCAAACCUAACUUCGAAGAUUGAACUGUUGCACUCUAACUCACUGAGUGUGGCGAUCUAUUUCUUUGAAAUGGGCCCGUCCACUUAAUCAAUUCAAUUAUUUAAGUCUUCAUUUCAUGGGAUAUUUUAAAAUCUUUUCAAAAUUCGACACUAAGACAUUAAACAAUCGAUUCAGUACCAAUUUUGGGCGUUACGAGGGUGCUAACCCUUCCUCGUGCGUAAUCGACUCCCGGACCUAUUUUCUCAAAUCUCGCAGACCUAAAAUUUAUUUUUAAUGGUGAACCGAUCACACCUUAAUAAAAGAUCGGUGGCGACUCCCAUUUCUAUUUUCAAAAUCGAUACCCAUUUUUUCAAAAAUAAAAAAAAUGGUUUCGACAAUGAUGAUGGUGAAUCUAUCAGACAUAGCUUUGAUGUCCUCGUCGGGCUUCAUCAUAAACGUCUCAUAAUUAAGAGUGAGAAUUCUCACAGUUGAUUUCUUGACUUGAUUGGUACCCUCAUGAGUGACCUCCAAUUUGUCUCAAAUUUCUUUGGCAUUGGAACAUGAAGAUACACUACAAUAUUCUUCCGGACCAAGUGCAUAAAAGAGAGUGUGCAUGACCUUGGCAUUGAGUUGUAUGCUUCUCCUAUCUUCCUUAUUUCAUUCCUUCUUACUCUUUGGAACUGAGAUCUCUCUUACUUACUUUUGAGGUAUGGAUGGACCAUCCAUGAUGAUGUCCUAUACGGCAAGAUCAUUAGCUUAUAUGAACAACAUCAUUCUAGUCUUCCAAUAUGAAUAAUUGCACCGUUAAAGUAAGGAAGUUUAUUAAUGAAUUGAGACUUACCAACCAUAAUAGAGCUGAAAGUAAAUGUUAUCUUGUGUGGUUUGAAUAAAUAAAAGUUGAGCUACCUCAGGGAUCUUCUCUUGGUUGUUAGACUGUCUUUUAGAUACUAGCUCCGAUACAAUUGUUAGCUCGAUUAAUCAAACCAAAAUUGCCAAGAGAGGGGUGAAUUGACCUUUAAAAUUUUGGUGGAAGCAAAGAAAGAAUAUGAAACAAUGAACAUAGAGAUUUAGAGUGGUUCGACCCCAAUUGCCUACUCUACUACCUUAACUUUGCAUAACUGUCAUGUGUGAAAUGAUAUGCGAUUUUAUGCAAGUAUACUCGUCGGUUCAAGUAAUAAAGUGAUGAGUGAGUAUCAUUCCCACAAGGAUCGGUUUGAGGCACAAACGUGCUCAAGUUAUUAUAAUAAAAUGCAAUUAAUGUUAUGGCAAAGUCAAUGAUAAAUAUGUAGUGGUAAUUAGUGGAGUAAUGAUGUAAGCAAUACGUAGAAUUGAUGAAUAACUGGAAAUGCUAUGGCAAAAGUGAAAGCAGAAAUGUAAUGGCAAUAACGAGAGUGAUUAUUCGAGUAGACUAUAAACAAAGAAAUAGACAACUUGUGACAAAUAUACUACGACAAAUAUUAAUGAUAGAGUGAUGUUGAUUUGAAAGGUCGAGAUUACCUAGAAUCAACCUUUACUAUCCAUAAUGCCUUGGCAAAAUCACAUCUACUUUACUGUACAAAAGAGUUCUAAAAUGGCUUGCCUGUGUCUAUAGCCUUUUUAGAUAUCUUACAUGGGUUCCUUCUAUAUGAUCGUGACUCUAUGUCUAGAGUUGACUACAACUGUCUAUCGAAUACUUGCUUAUUUCAUUUAAUUUUAAUCCAACGAAUCCAACCCUUUCGGAAUUAGAAUCAGUUUGUAGCAUGCGAAUAGCCUUCUAUGUCUAGAGAUCAUUGCAUUUUAAUUAAGAGAUGAGAAUCAAAUGAAAUAGUCAAGUAAAUGGGAUAUAUACGGCAUUCAUAAAAAUAGUUAAAGUUUCAUCGAAAGCAAUCCCAACCCUAUGAGAUUUAGCUUAUGGGCUGGGAAUUAAAAUUCCAAACCAAAUAUUAUUCGACAUCGCGUUUAACUACUACAAUUCAAUCUUUCAAAAGAUAUAAUAGAAGAACUUCAGGAAGUAGCUUUCAUUUGCCCAAACCACACUUUGGCAGCACAACGUCCUAUGAUGGCUAAGAAGGACUACCUUCGACUUCCUGUCCUUUGCACAACCAAACCCUUAUUCACGCCUAAGGAUCUUUCUCACUUUUUCUUCGCUAUUUUUUAGGUCUCAUUCAUCGACUUUUAUAGAUAGAUUAGGCUAGGGUCGGCUAAUAGCUCGUGAUUAUCUUCUCCUCUUUUAGAGGGGUUUAUUUGGUGCAAGUUUGAAUUUGAAUUUGAACUACUUCAUAAAAAAUGUUGACUUGGUCUUCUUGACAUUGCCAUGGCAUCCAUGAUGGCAAAUUGUCUGCACUUUGCCCUAACAAAAUUUCCUUGUUCCAAAACAUGUUCCUUCCACACUAACACAAAAAACUCCACCACAAGCGAUUAAAAGAACCUAAUUCCACUACAGUCUAAGUUCUAAUAGAAUAUAAAAAAUGUGAACUAAAAUGUCCUAAAAAUGCAAUGAAAUUUUACUUAAGUACAAGCAAUUAGUUAGGUCUAAAGGCAUGAAAUAUAAUUCUUUUCAAGAGUUAUCACACCCCCAAACCUGAGUUAUUGCUUGUCUUCAAGCAAAAUACAUCUAAAUGCAUGAAUGCACCAAUCUUACCUUGGCAAAAUAUACUUUCUCGUACUACCUAGCUAUUUAAAAACAAUUUAUACCUUUGUUCUCAGUAAUCUUCUCUUUUCCUAAAACUAAUUCAAUUGUUACAAGUUUGUUCAGCAAAGAUAAUGCAAAAAUUUCUCCCUAAAAACAAAAUUUCCUAAGUACCCAUGCAUUCUCUCUUUCAUCCUAUAGCAAAUAUCAUUUUUAUUUACUUAGUUCAUUUGUUACUUAAAUAAAAGUCACUUGCUUCAAGUCCAUAUCAAAAUAUGUUAUUUUUCAUAUAUUUAUUCUUUCUUUUUUUCUUGAAACUGUAAAGUACAUUAUUAUUAGGGGAUUUAGCAUGUCACAAAAUUUUUUGACUUGAAAAUCACGAUGGAGCAUACAAAGGAUUACCGAGUACUCAAUCAUGUCACAAUUUAAACCAAAAGUCAUUCAUGAAGCUAAGGCUUUUAACUAAAAAGAUGGAUGAAGCAUACGACUGCCUCCUUAGCUACUCAGUUAUUUGCUACAACGGAACGCCCCUUAAAGUUAUACCACACACUCUUACGUAGGUCUUCCUUUCUAAUCAACAGUACGGUGGAGCAGACAAAGUGAUUUUGACCUACUUAGCAACUCUAAGCAUUAGAGUGCAUAUUUAUUUAAACAAAAUGUUGUGGCAAUUUACUAAUGUUUGGUUUCAAAAAUCCCUAAGUGUAUUAAAAAGAUACUAUAUUUCGAAAAACCAAAAACAAUACAGAGUAUAUGACAUCCCAUCUUUAGAAAUCAAUUUCCAAGCAACUUAGCCUAAGCUAACUUCUCCCAGUCCAUUAUUGCCUGUUCAGGUAUAUCAAAAAAAAAAUUAAGCUCAUCAUCGAACAUCAUAAAGAAAAAUUGUACUUCUUAUAAAGAAGGCCGCAUUUCAAUAGUUAUUAUGUCAUGGCAAAAUAUCCUAUAUACCAAAAUGAACAUACAAAAUGCAACCUAGAUGAACAAACCCCCAAACCUAAGGGAUGCAUUGUCCUCAAUGCAUGUAAAAUCAUAAACAAUAUAUAACAAGUACGAAUAUGCACACAAACAAGAAAAAAAAACUUAUGCAAUGCAUGAGAGAAAAAUAAAACUUAACCUCCUUGGACUAGAAUGUUGGUACUUCAUUCAAUUCUUUCUCGUGGACUUGUGAGCACUGAAUUUGUAUCGCAUCUUUCUUUUUCGUAGGUUAACUUCCUCACCUUCUUUGUCAGUCUCUGUUAGUCCAUCGAUCAGUUGAUUGAUUGAUUGAUCCUGUGCAAUCAUGGAGAUGGAUGAAGAAAUCGAUUCAAGAGUUUUACCUUUUUCAGUGGCAAUAACUAGUGCAGUGGUGGGGACACUUGUUUCUUCCUUUCCUUCUUCUAUUUCUUUCUCUUAGUCAAUAGAGGUUGACAUUUCUAAUUCAUUUUCAAUAACUAUUCUAUUAUCUGCAAUGACUCCAUCAAUCACGGGGUUAGUUCUGGCAGAUGGUGGGACAAGUUCUUUUCUGCACUCCGUAGAUAAGAGCAAAGUAGCUUAGAAAGUAGGAAAUCCUGGUAUGGUCUCGAAAAAACUUUCUGAAGUGAUUUUCUUAAUGCCAAAUCCCUAUAUUUCACAUAUGACCAGUACCUAGCUUGGUGUUUAUUGCUUUGUUCCAACUCUUCCAUCAUCUGGUAUUGCUGCAUCUCAAACAGAGACGACCUCUAUUCUAACAGUUUUAAAGAAUUCAAGAUUUUCUGGUCAUGAGAGGCGGGAGAUGUUGCUGUGGUAGGGGAAGCUUGACUGUGUUGGCAUAUUGUGGCAAACUCAGUUCCUCGUAGCUUAGAAAAAAUUGUUCGCGUUAUCCCUGUAACACCCCUAACCCGUCUCCGUCACCGGAUUACGGUUACAGAGUAUUACUAUACAAUCAUAAAACAUUUAACAUCAUAAUGUUUAAUAAUUUAAAUAUAUCAUAAACCAUCCAAUCACAUGCAUGUUGUCCCUAAAUCGAGCCUUAGAGGCCUUAAAAAUAGCUUAGAAGUGAUUCGGGACUAAUUCGAAACAAAUUAGAAGUUUUAAGAAAAUAUGUAAAAAUUAGAAAACAGGGGUCACACGGCUGUGUGGUCAAGCCGUGUGACAUAACCCCAGGUCAUGUAACAUUCGAACAAGGGACACACGGUCGUGUCCCAGCCCGUGUCCUCACCCGUGUAACUCUCUAACUUGCCACACACAGUCGUGUGCUAGGUCGUGUAACUCACUGACUUAAAACACUAAGAAAUUUCAAAUGAAACACGGUUGUGUAGCCAGGCCCUAUGUGUCACACAACCGUGUGAUAGCCCGUGUCCUAGGCCGUCUGAACCCAAAAUUUACCUAAAAAUCAAGUCAUUUCAAAUCCAAUUCAAGCAUAAUUAACCAUUCCAUUUGGGCACACAUUUAAGGGUUUAAACAUCAUUAAACACACAUAAACAUGCCAUUUCAAACAUCCUGAAUCACCCAACCAAUAUGUCAUUCAAAGGCACCACAAUUGUAUCAAACAUUAAGAAUCAUACCAAAGCAAUUUGACCAUAUCACAAACACACAACCUAGUUCACUUUACUACUAUACAUGACCAUUUGCAAUGCCAUCAAAACAUGCCAAACGAACUUUGUAUACAAUCACAUGAAAGUGACCAAAUUGACAAACUUGGUAAGGCAUUUUAGUGCACCAAACUAAACCAUAAACUUCAAAGCAUAAACAUCCCAACACAUACAUUACACAUCAUGAAAUACUAUUACAAAGGACCUAUACAUGCCAAUAUUAACCUCGGCCAAAAUACACAAAUUCUACCGAAAUAGUUGUUGGAUAGUGUGAUAGGUCUCCAACGAGUUGCCAACCGAUCGAGCUUCUGAUAAUCUAUAAAACAAAGAAAAAUAAUUACGUAAACAACGAGUGCUUAGUAAGCUCAUAGAAAAUGUAAACAUAACUUACCAUUUCAUUUAUACAAUUCAUAGAAUAAGCAUAAGUCAUUACUAAUCCCAUAAGCUUAGUAUAAGCCUAUACAACAUCACCAACUCACAAGUAUACUUUCCAUGAUACAAAUGAAUUCAACCAUAAGAUAAGUAGUUUUCCAUAUAUAAACAUAUCAUUUAAUUCAUCAAUAUCUUCAUGAGAUCAUGAUUCAUUCCAUUUGCAUACUUACCAUUUCAUUUCCGUUUCUUACCCGUUGAAUCAUCUAGAAUUAUAUCGGAUACUAGGGAAAGCUCACACAUAGUGUGCCUUUACAUAUAAGCAUAAAUUUUCCUUUACAUCAUUGCUUGCGUGAGCUGUGAAAUGGGCCUACUCACAGGAGCUGUGGUUCGGAAUGUAAGCUAUAUGAUGCUACUCACACGAGCUGUGGAGAGUCCGCAACAAAUGCAAGACCUUAGCCAUCGGUAGGACAUUCAAGACUACCACCCGAAACAUGAAAUCCCCAAUGACAUGUCAUUUCUAUCCUAAGAAUUCUUAAGGUUCAACCGAGAUUCAUUAUCCGUCAAUUCAUCACAACAUAGAUACAUUUAUGCAUAGAUUCAUUUAUAUUAAAACAACAUAGCAAUUAGUCAAUUAAGCUAACAUUAAAACAAUCAUAGUCCAUACGAACUUACCUCGAUAAAUAUAGUUGUAAAACGAAGCCGACGACUAAUCCAACAUUUAGCUUUUCCUUGAUUUUGAUCUGUUUGGCUCGUUUCUUAAUCUAAAUAAUAAUUUUUGUUUAAUUAAACCACUCAAAUAACUUAACAUAAUUAAUUCAAUCCUAUAAUCCAUAUUAAGGUGAAUUCACAAAAUUACCCUUAAUAUUUUAAAAAUUAUGCAAUUUAGUCCCUAAACCCGAAACUUGCAAUUUCACCAUUUUUAACCAUAAAUCAUGCUAGUCAAUUUUCAUCCAAUCUUAUAACAACCUAUAUUUAUCCACAAUUUACAUUAUUUUCCUUAUAUUUUACAAUUUUCAUAAAUAUGCCCCUAAACUUGAAAAUUAUUGAAAAUUAUCAAAAAUUACUUAACAAAAUACUUAUAUUUAACAACCAAGCUUAAUAAUCUAUCAUAAAAUUUCAAGAACAUAUCAAAUCCAUUCAUGUUAUAACCUAUAACAUUUAAAAAUUUUACAAAUUGACCCCCGAGCUAGCUAAAUUAAGCUAAAACGAGCUCAAAAAAAUUUAUGAAAAAUGGAUUAACAAAGGCUUACUAUUCAUGAGCAAAACCAAGGCCGAACUUCAAGCUUCAUUGCCAUGGAGGUUCAGUGGAAGAAAAAUUAAAAUGAAAGAGAUAAUGCUUUCUUUUAUGCUUUUUAGUAUUUUAACAUUUAAUUAAUAUAAUAAUAUUAUUAUAAAACACUUAAAUUUUAAUCAAAUUCUAUAACACCCCAAACCCAGUCUAGACGUUAUGGUCGAAUAUGACGAUGUCACAUGGUAGUGCUUUUGGAAAAACUAUGUCAUCGCUAAAUUGUCUUUUCUAUUUAACCAUUUUUUUAUUAUCUUAUGUUAACUUCAAAUCGUGUCAUUCGUUUUCAAAACAUUAUUCAUUUACAAAUCUUUAUUCAAUUUCAAAUUUUUUUUAUUUUUAUUGCGGAAGCUUUUAAACAGUUUGCUUAUUCGUGGUAUUUUUGAUAAAACAUUAAUUUCAUUUGAAAACCCGAGUUUUACCUAACACUAGUAGAUUUAAAUCAUAAAACUGUAUAAAAUCAAAAUUUAAACCAAAAUUCGUAAAGGCCAUAAUUACAGCAAAAUACUCCCAAAUAAAAGUAAAAUCAUAAAUAGGUAAUAAACAGUGUAAAAGAAGUCAUGUGGCCACCACUGAGUCCUCCACCGCACCGAUCCGCCUAUAUCUGAGGAUUACCUGUACAGAUUAAAUAGAAGGGGUGAGUUUACGUAAACUCAGUGUGUAAUCCCCAUACAAAUAAACAGACAGUAAAUAGAUAAUCACAGUUUGGGAUUAAGCCCUUUUCAUUAUCAAUAUUAGUCUAGUUUGGGCCUUAGCCCAUCUCAAAACAAAAACAGUCAUGCAAUAGGGCUUUAGCCCAUCACAGUAUCAGUAGCAGUAACAAAUAUGCAGUCACAAAAAUCCUACCCAUCCAGCCUCUACACACCAUCUCCGUCCAACCCUACACUCCAUGUGGGGAUAUAAUCAACCCACCCAUCCCUACACUCCAAGUAGUACCGAAUACUGCACUAGACAGUAGUUUGCAGCUAAGCUACUAGUAAAUUAGGCUCGAGGCCUUUCAGUACACUUCCUCCGAACAUUCUGAUCCCCCAACCCAAUGCAAUGCAAUAUACAGAUAUGACAUGCUAUAACAUAAUAUCAUGCAUGUAAACAGGGCAUAUAGUAUCAAAUCAGUGGGACAUCAUCAGGCUUAAUCAUAUAAUUCAUACAGUCAUUUUAGUCAAUUAGGGGUCUAGGUAAGCUUACCGACCCUACUGUAGGUUCACAGUCGACUUGGACGACAAGUGCAACCUUAUCAGUCAAACUGUGAAAAUGGGCCUUGGCCUCGUGAUCCAUUUUAAUGUAACCCGUGCUAGUUAAUUAUUCACAUGCGUUUCCACUAUUUACUCAUAUGGUCCUCCAAAGUUUUCUACUUGAGUCACUGUUACUAAAUUAUUUGUAUCCUAAGUUACAGAAUUUCGAAUUAAGAUCCGCAAAUUUUCCAUAAAACCAGACUCGCAUAUCUUCUUACAAUAAAAUUUUUAGAAUUAUCAAUUUAGCCAAUAAGUACAAUUUAUUCUUUAAAGUUCCCCUGUUCUGUUGUCUGACAGUUUCGAACUUUCUGCACUAAAAAUUAAUUAUCUUCUCGUACAGAAUUUGGGUGAUGUUCCUGUUUGUUUCUCUUGAAACUAGACUCAUCCAGUAUUUUAAACAUAUAAAUUAUAACCCAUAGAUAUUUUUUUUAAAAUUUUUAAUAAUUAUCAAAAAUCAGGACAGGGGAUUCCAAAAUCAUUUUGUCCCUAUCUCACUAAAAUUCAAAGAUCUCAUAAUAUGAAAUUCUUUUGCUUACUUUGUUUCUUCUAUGAGAAACUAGACUAAAAUAUCUUUAAUCCCAUAAUUUUUUCAUCUUCUAAUUCUAUUUUCACAAUUUAUGGUGAUUUUUCAAAGUUAUCCUACUGCUAUUGUCCAAACAGCAAGCAAUUUCAGCUUUUCGCCGAAUCCCUUUUUUUUUGUGUUUCGAGUACACACUUGGUUUUAUUUGAUGCUAAAACAGUCCCCCGAGUACUCCAAAGCCUAUAAUUGAACAAAUAACACCAUAAUCAGUCUUACCUCGUGAUUAAGCAAAAUCCCGAAACCAAAAUCCUUACUCAUAAAAUGAUGAACACUUAUCGCAAAAACUUCAAAUCAGUACGUUUACGAAAUUCACGAUGAGAGCCUUAAUCCUCGCAAAAUGUUGUUGCCAACACCCCGAAAUUAGACUACUAAACACAAAAUAAUCUCUUAAAAUGAUACCCAACAACUUACUGAAUUUGCACAAGUGCUGCUUAACAUUACGAAAUCAAGAGGAAAGAAUGGUUUAGGGGGAUCAAGGGAAUUUCGGCCAUAGAGGGAGGAAAAGAAAAGAGAAUCGAGUAAGAAGCAAAGAAGAAAAAAAUUCAGUAGAGAUGGGAGAGAGAAAUUGUCAGAAAGAUAGAGAGAAAAUGACUCUCUUUCUUUUUUCGAAAAGGAAAAAAUGAUCAUAUUUUGAUUAUUCUCCCCCAUAAUCCCCUAAUUCACUCCUAAAAUCACUCCCUCACUUCCCACUACACAUCCACCACUUAGAAACCCAGUUCAGUACAACUCUUGCCGAAAUUAGGAGUAAAAAUACAACCUUUGUCGUCCCAAAUAUUUGAACCCAUAACCUCCCUCACUCCAACACUCCACUUAUCCACCAAACCAGCAAGCUCAUUCUAUUAAUUAUUUGCCAACUUUUACUUAAAAGCCUACUGACCAAAGAUAGGGCUUAUUCAUAAAAAUACCAAAAUUUUCCUAAGCCAUGGCUUGAACUUAGGACCUCCCAAACACUCCCAGAACACAUAACCACCAAAGCUGACAGAUGUUUGUGUCAUACAUUCACAAUACCCAAAAUUAAAAUUUUGGGGCGUUACAAAUUCUUGCACUUACCAUCCAAAUUUAAUCCUAAUUAUAUAAUUACCAUAUAAAUCCUCUCACAUUAUCUAAAUAAACCAAUUAAUUAAAUAAAACCAAUAAGAAGUAAAAUUUUCAACUUUUACAAUUUAGUAAUUUUUCAUUAAUUAACUAUACAAACGUUAAAAUUUUCGUACCAAACUUUAAUACACCUAUAUCAUCACUCUGUAAAUAUUUAAUAAAAAUAUUUAGUCUCGGUUUAUAGAAAUAAGAUCCUGAAACCUCAUUUUCUAAAACUACUUGACUUUAGGGUCAUACCACUUAGACCUAAUUAUCUUUCAUUUAACAUGAAUCAUUAAAUUAAUUUUUUUAUUACACUAUAUUUGACUCGUAAAUAUUAAAUAUUAAAUAUUUAUAAACUCACAUAUCGGAUUUGUGGCCCCAAAAUCACUAUUCUGACACCAUUGAGAAAUGGAUUGUUACAAUCCCACCCUUAUUGGGGGUAACGCCCUCAGCAUCAUCCAAAGGCACAUUUGUCAUCUUAUUUACAAGGGAGGUGGAAAUAGAUCGUAGGGAAGGUGGCUGAUAAUGGUGGAGGGUCUCUCUAGAAUUGUGAUUCGGCUAGAUCUAUUAUAUACCUUGUAGGCUUUGUUGUGGCUUCACCAUGGAUUGAUGAUCGUUGAUAGUUUCUGACAGUGUUUUGGCCUUACUGGACAUGCGUGUGCAGCUGGGGUUGUUGAAGGGUUUCAGCUGUUUGGAUUUUACUUUUCUAACAGCAUAAACUAAAUACUUGUGCCAUCGUCAAGCCUAUCACUAUUUUCUUGUCUUCUAACAGCAUAAACUAAGGUAGGUUGUCUAGACUCAGUUCGGUUUGCACCCAUAGCAAUAUUAUUAUUUUGGUUCUAGCCUCGUCACCUUGGAGGUAUUUGGGCUGGCCUUUGAUCUUGGGCUUGGUUCUGGGCCAGGGUUGGGUUCUGGUUCAUUCGUAGUGGACAAUUUCUUACAAGGUGUUCCACAGACCCAAACUUUAGACAGGCUCCCUUUUCUCCUCAAACAAGCCCCUAGAUGAUGUUUUCCACAAUAGUCCAAACAGGUUUAUCAUUCUUGGGGUUCACCAUGAGCUCUUUCCAUUGAGGCUUAUCCUCUUUGGCCCGUUUGACUGGACGACCGUUUAAAUCAAAAGUGCCUGAAUAUCUUUUUAUCGUGUUUUUAUUUUUCUCCCGUUCAAUACGAGUUGUUUGUUUAAUUUCCUCAGAAAUUUUGGCUUUUUCUACCAGAUUCUCAAAUACCUUUUCUUGAUGAGUUGCAACUUGCAUAUGAAUAUCAUUUCAUAGCCUAUUUUCAAACCGUACACUCUUAUCCUGUUCAGUGGUUCUCAUUUCCUGGGCAUAACGACUAAGUCUCAGGAACUCAGCCUUAUAUUCAGCUACUAACAUAUCACCCUGUUUCAAUUCAAUGAAUUCAAGUCUGUGAGCCACCACAAACCUCGCCCCUACAUACCUCACCCCUACAAUCUUUUCCUUGAAAGCUUCCUAAAAAUAUUCCUAUGUAAUACGUUAAGCCUAAGUACCUCUUUCAACAGCCUGCCACCAAUGAUAAGCUUCUUCCCUUAAUAAAGACACCGUACCCUUUAGUUUAUGUUUUAGGGUACAUUCUAGAUCCUCCAAAAUCUAUUUAGUCAAAUCCAACCAAUAGUCGGCUACAGUAGAAGUCAUACCAGAAAUUUUUUUGAAUGUUUCAGCCCUAUUUGACCGUAGUCUUUUUGCUAUGGUAAGCAGUUUCCCAGUCUACCUUCAGUUCCAAUAACUCGUUCUAAAACCCUUAGUACUUCCGGAGUUACAGCUUCAUCUCUAUUUUCCCAGCCAUUUUCCGUACCUCCACUUCCAUUAGCAGUGGAGUUCUCAACAUACUCGUUCUCGUAUAUCGGAUCUUCACCUUGAACAGUGGGUGGCUCUACAGGCGCAACCCUAUGAGGCCUACCCCUACCACGCGUACCUUAGGUGCUCAUUCUAGAUGUGAUAGUCUAAAUAGUCUUAGUUUUAUCUAUAGUUUUGUUCAGAAUUCAAACAUUAGUUAGCGUAUAUCUAUAGUUUCAAAAUUCAAUCAUAAACAAUCAUGAAUUUCAAUUUAUUUAAUCAAGAAUUUAAUUCAUUCCUAUAUCACAAGCAAUCUCACAUUUUAAUUCAUUCAUAUAUUAUAAUAAAUAAAUAAAUAAAAAUUAAUCUAUUCAUAUUUCAUAAACUAUCAAAGAUUUUUUAUUCAUCAAAUAUUAAUCAAUCAAGUACUUAAAACUAUCGUAGAACUGACACUAGAGUCUCAAGCUUGUUUUCCUGCAGAGAGUUAGGUUUUCAAAACAGUUUCCAUGGCAUGGUUUUUCCCAAAAUACAUUUUUUUUACAUGCAUGCAUAUUUUCAAUUUUUUUACUAUCUAAAUUUUAAAGAACCUAGAUCUGAUUCCACCAAAUGUAACCUCCUCGACCCAGCCUAGACGAUAAACCCGAGCCAAAAAGGUUACAUUUUCCAUCGAGGUGGCUCGAUCUUUUUAUAAAUCAAUUUUUAACACUAACCCUAUUUUAUGCAAGUGAUUGUCCGUCUCCAAGAUCAAGCCACCCUGGUGACGAAUGUAACCUCUCGGUAAGUGAGAUACAUCGUCAAGUGUAAUUCGAUGCACUCGAAGGUUAUCAUUCCCGAGAGGGGUCUCCGACAAGGGGACCCCCUAUCUCUUUAUCUUUUUUUAUUUUGUAUGGAGGCACUCUCGAGAAUGCUCCUUCAUGCUCAAAAUCAUAAUGUGUUGAGGGGAAUUUGAGCUAGCCAAAACUGCCCUUGGAUCAAUUAUUUAUUCUUUACCGAUGAUGCCCUUCUUUUUGUUAAAAACAGAAAAAGGGAUGUUGAUGCCUUUUUUAACAUCAUAAGAGAGUUUUCCUUAUUCUCUGGUCAAAAAAUAAAUUUCGAAAAAUCCAUGGUUUUAUCUAGUCAAAAUACUCCUAGGGUGCAACGCUUUUCUAUUAAGGAGUCACUCAGCAUGAAAGUGGUGGAUAACCUGGACAAUUACCUUGGAUUGCCUUUCCCUGUUGGUAAAAGAAAAUCUAAAAAGGGUUAAUAGCUAGUCAAAAAGACUUCUCUCUUUUGGUGGUAAAGAAAUCUUUAUAAAAACGGUCUUUUAGUCUCUUCCUACUUAUGCUUUCUUGAUUUUUUUUUGCUCCAAAGGGUGUGGUGGAUGACAUACAAUCAAAUAUUUGUAGAAUGUGGAGGGUGAGCUAAAAGAGUAAAAGGUAUUGGGCUAUACUUCCGUAGGAAAAAGUUUGCCACCCCAAAGGUAUGGGUGGUUUUGGUUUUCGGAAUCUCCACAUGUUUAACCUGGCUCUCCUCGGCAGACAAGUGUGGAGACUCAUCUCGGUCAAAAACAAUUUUUGCUAUAAAUUUUUGAGCUCUAAAUAUUUCCCUGGGGGUGAUAUUUUCCAGCCAAAAACAGUGGACAAACCAUCUUUCACUUGGUCUAAUAUUAACGAAGCUGCUAAGGUCCUCAAGGAUGGUUUUGGUUGGCAGGUUAGAAAUAGCACAAGCAUCAAUAUCUGAUCAGAAAAUUAUGGUUUUGAGGGCUUAAACGGCAAUAGGAAGAACCUAGCUAUGUUGGCUUCUCCCGAGAGAUGACUUACAAACUUAUUGAAUGAUGAAAAUAAGAGAUGGAACAAAGAUAGGGUGCAUGCGAUAUUUGGAAACUUCCUAGGAGAUCGAAUAUGUAACCUUCCGAUUGGUGAUAAGGACCAAAGGGAUAGGGUGGUCUGGUUUCACAACCCCCACGGCUUCUACUACUCUAAAUCAGCUUACUCUUGGCUCAUAUUGAAACAAGCGGGUUUUGGCCCCCAUCGUUUUCUUUGGAAAGCUUUUUGGAAAUUGAAAACCUUCCCUAAGAUCCGUGUUUUCAUUUGGCAGGUGGGUCAUGAAAUACUUCCCACGAUUGCCAAUAUUGCUUCAAUUUGACAAGGGUUUCAGAUGGAUUGUCCAAGGUGCGACACUAAAAAAAACUUUUAUUCACGCCCUCAAAAAUUGCCCAACAGCGAGGACUAUCCUUGUAACACCUUUAACCUGUAUCCGUCGUCAGAACAAGGUUACGGAGCAUUACCAGACCUAUAGAAUAGUAAACCAUUCAAAUCAUACAUUAAUACAAACAUAAUUAAAUUUCAUCCUAAUACAUUCAUAAUGUCCCUUAAUCGAGCCUUCGAGGCCCUAAAAAUACUAUAAAAAUAAUUCGGGACUAAAUCAAAAAUAUUUGGAAAUUUUAGGAAAAAGUUGAAAAAUUUAGACUGUAAGGGUCACAGUGUAGCCAAGCCUUGUGACUCACACGGCUGAGACACACGCCCGUGUCUCAGGCCGUGUGGACAUUCGAAUUAGGGACACACAGCCAUGUCCCAGCCUGUGUCCAUGCCCGUGUAACUCACUGACUUGGGUCACACGGCCAAGCCACUCGCCCGUGUGCCAGGCUAUGUAACUGCCUGACUUGUAUGCCUUGAACCUAUAGGGGACACAUAGCCAUGUCGCAUGGUCGUGCGUCACACACUACUGAGACGCACGCCCGUGUCUCAAGCCGUGUGGCCCCAAAAUGAACCUUAAAACACAAUUUUACCAUUUCAAGUUUGCUUAGACCUUAAGAAACUCAAAUACCAACCAAAAUAUCAAUUCAAAAUGACAUUAAUUGAGUCAAAAACACAUCAAAACCAACUUAAUAUGUGCCUAACCAAUGUACCCUCAUUAGUACCACAAGUAUAUACAAUUUUACAACACAAUAAACAUUGAUUCAGUUCAUCAAUUCACUCAAGCAAUACCUAAUCAAAAUACCUAUCAAAGGUACCACAAUCACAACAUUUCAAUUAUAUAUAUACCAUACAUACUAAUAUAUCAAUUAUACCUCAUUCUUAUAUAAUAUUUAAGUUGAUUAUUUGCACAAAAUAUCAUUCAUAACAUUUACAUAAGCCAAACAUUAACCAAAACCGCACAAAAGCCUAUACAUGUCAUAUAAUCCGAAUUAAACAUUUCAAAAACUACCAAGAUAAUUUGGAUAGUGUGACUUGAGUGCCAAUCCGAUCGUCCAACCUUCUGAGAAUCUACAAUAACAUUAAACAACACAAGUAAGCUCAAUGAAGCUUAGUAAGUUCGACGAGUUCUACGAUAAAUUUUACCGAACUAACUAUAAUAAUUCAAACAAUAAUAAUCAUCCAAGUGAACUCCCUAUCAUUCACAAUUUCAAUCGAUAAAUUCAUCCAUGUUCAGAUUAAUAUGAAAUGAAUAACAUAUCUUUCAAAUUCAUUAACAGAUUACCUUACCGAAAUUUUUCAUUCGAAGAAUGACUUACGGGUAAGAGUACAUCGUUAAUAGAAGCUCAUAGAGCUGGUCCACCCGAACACGCCAACAAAAGCUCAUAAAGCUUAACAUAAGCUCGAAAGAGCUGAACAGAAGCUCGUGAGAGCUGAUCCACCCAAAUCACGCCAAACAAAAAGUAAAACACGAGAGUUCGCAACAAAUGCUGAACCCUGGUUUACUUGGGUAAUAUGAUAAUAUCUCCCUCCAAUACCAUCUCCACUCCAAACCCCCGUCUGACACCAAACACGAAUGUACUCAAAUCUCGUGUUCAAUCCAAACUGAGUAUUAAAUUCGAUAAUAUAAUUCCAACAAUAAUUCAAUUCCAACAAUAGAACAUAUAUAUAAUAUCAAUCAUCAAUUUAUACAAAUGUUAAAUUCUAACCGUACGAACUUACCUGGAUCGAAUUGUAGUAAUUACAAAAGUUCAAUGACUAUUCCUCUAUUUUUCUUUUUCCUCGAGUAUCUACGGGAUCUUGAUCUAAAAAAUAAAAUUACUCAUUUAUUAACAUAUAUUUCAUUUCCAAUCCAUUUUACAAUUAAUACCCUUUUAUUUUUUGAAUUUACAUAAUUACCCCAAUCUUUUACAAUUUUUGCAAUUUAGUCUCUUAACUCGAAAUUCAUCAAAUUAACUAUUUUUCUCUAGUUAAUAUUUUAUCCAAAUAUACUAGGCCCUCAAAAAAACCCUAAUAAACAUCAAAUUUGCUAUUAAACCCUAAAAUUUUGACAUUUUUACAAUUUAAUCCUAAAAUUAAAAUUUAACAAAAAUCACUUUACAAAAUCAUCACACAACACAAUCAAAGCUCCAAAUACAUGAUAUUCAUCAAAAAAAUCCAAUAUUCAAUAAUGGAAACUUGCAAAAUUUUUAACAAAAUCAAAAACGAAGGUACAGGCUAGCUAGACCUAGUUGCAACGAUCUCAAAAACAUAAACAUUACAAGAAAACGAUUCAAUUUCUUUACCAUGCAAAGCUAAAAGAUGAACAAAGCUUCCUAGGUCAUCAAUGAUGAGGUUCGGCCAAGAAGAAGAGAAAAAAUGAGAAAAAUAAAGCUUUUGUUUCAAUUUGUGUCUUUAAUUUUGAAUAAAUUACAAAAUUGCCAUUAAAACCUUUUAUUUUAUCAUUUUCCUUUAAUUAGUCGUCCCACUACUUAAAAUAAGGCUUAAUUAUCCCUUAAAUCCUUCCUCAAAUAAUAAUUAACCAUUUAAUCACCUAAAUGCAUUAAUUAACAAGUUUUGCACAUUUUUCAAUUUAAUUUUUUGUUCUUUAAUUAACUAUCUAAAUGAUAAUAUUUUAAACAAAAAAUAUUUUAAAAAUAAUAUUUACGAGUUGACACGACGAAAAUUUAUUGUCCUGAAAUCACUGUUCCAUCACCACUGGAAAUCUAGUUGUUAUAAUCCUCUCCAUUGGUGGCAUGGACAACAGGCUGCUAAUUAAAGAAUAUGAUUGCUGCAUAAACUGGCUCGAGGAUGCAAUACGCGUGCUGGAUAAGAAAGCUACUGCCGACUUAAUACAAAUCCUUUGAAACAGCUGGAACAACCGAAAUAAUUUUAUAUUUUGGAGUAAGGAAGACGAUACACAGGUUGUCUAGGAAAGAGCCAAAACCUUAAGCCACGACUUUCGUAUCUACAAUUUGGUGAAUGACCCUAUUAUUCCUGCUACUCCUGUCUAUAAAAUAUGGGAGAAACCCCCGAGAGGUUACGCAAAAGUUAAUUUUGAUGUUACGAUUAACAAAAACAAAACAGGCUAUGGGUUUAUCAUUAGAGUUGAGGAUGGUUUUGUCAUUGGCGGUUGAGGGGGAUUCAAGGAAGAGACGUCGACAGAAUGGGCUGAAUUAUAUGCUUUUGAGGAAAGCUUGAAAAAGUCGUGGUCUCUUAAUAUUUCUAAAAUAGACUUUGAGACUGACAACACUAGUCUUGUAAACAAGGUGAAGAAACAUGAAAGGGACACCACCAUCAUGGGGGCGCGCAUUAAUGGAAUUCAAAAAGUUAUGGAUAAUUUUCAUUAGGCUACUAUUUGCUGGGUUAAUCGUAGCUGUAACAGGGUAGCGACUUGGCUAUUAGUAACUCAAUUUAAAUGGAAGUUGACCUUUUUGGUCUUUUUAUAAAAAAAAAAGAAUAUCUCAUUUUGUAAAUUUAAAACUAACAUAAAUUUUAGCAACAGAAAAUAAAUAAUAAUUAGCAUGUUCAAAUAAAUAAAUAUCAUCCUAAUUAAUUAAUACUAAUAAAUAUCAAAUAUUCAUAUAACCUUAAAUCAUUAAUGAUAGUAAAUAAUAUUAAUAAAUAACAUUCAUCCUAAGUAAUGUAAUUAAAAAUGAUUAUCUCAUACCACGGUUCGUAGUAAAAAAUGAUAAUAAUAAAUUAUAGGUGAGAACAAGCCGAGACCCUUUACAUGUCGAGGCCGCGGUCUAGACUAUGAGAUUACCUGAAAAGAUGGAAAAUAAGGGGUGUAAGUUAUGGAAGCUCAGUGUGAGUCCCUUUACAAUAAACCAAUUCAAUAUUGAAAUUUGUUCAGUAAUAAUAAACAAUUUCAAUUAUCAAUCAAUUCAGUACAAUGACGAAUAGGUUCGCAUACCAAUCAAUUCAAUAUUGUAAAACAAGUUUGCUACUUCAAGCAAGCAACCAUUAACGAUCAGCCAUAAUCAGUCAGACGGAUUCAAUUAUCAAAUCAUUAUACUUUACGCAAUUGACAUAUGCACCUAUAACAGUUCUAUCGAUUCGUUAUGCACUUUCCAUGAGUUUACACAAUAUGUCAUGCAACGAUAAGUUCGUUUAUCAGUCAAUAGUCCUACCCUCAACCGCUACAUGCCACAAUAGGGGUUCCCCAGAGCUCCCUCCUCCAAUCACAUCGAAUUGUGGACUUAAUGCCACCAAUACUUUGCAGUUUGCACUACCACUGGUCGUGGAAGCACAACAUACUCGCAGAUAAAAGCUGUUAGAGGGUUGUGCUCGCAUGGUAAAAUGGAUGCAGUUGGACUCUGCUUUUGCUGUGGAUAUACAACGCACACAUAUAAUGCAAAUUAAACCUGCCAAUAGUCAUGGAAGCACAACAUACUUGUACAUAAAAGUUGUCAGAGGGUUAUGCUUGCAUGACAAAAUGGAUGCAGUUGGAAUCUACUUUUGUUGUAGGUACACAACGCACAAUUAGAUGCAGUUAUAUUGCCAUAUACUUCAUCCUUACCAUAUCGUCCCCCCAUGCCUAUGCCAUGCAAUCAUUCAUAAUGCAAUUACUCAAUGUCAUUGUCAUCAUUCUAUUUUCAUUACAAGAAUAGGCAAUUCAUAAAUCAAUCAUUAAAAUAUAUGAGACAUUUAUUCAACAUGUAUAACAUUAAUGAAUAUUUAUAAUCACUCGCGAAUUAAAACAAACAAUUAUGAGCAAUUAUAUUAUAUUAGCAACCAUAAAAUCAUUCACGGUUUUAUGCCAUCAAUUAUAAGCAAUUAAAUCAUAAAUUCAUUUAUUCACUCAUUCUAUUCCUAGUCUAGGACCCAAUUGCAUAAUCUAAUUCUCUAGAUGCCAUUAACAACCUACUCAGGGAUUGAUUUGCAUAAAGUAAUAAAAGAUAAGGUAAAAUUGUGAAUUUUUUUCAAGUUUCAAGGGUCACACGGAUGUGUGUCCAGCCCUUGUGCGUGGCCUCAAGCCAUGUGCGAUGCGAAGGGAGAAGGUGUAAGGGCCACAUGGCCAUGUGUCUAGGCCGUGUGUGAAGCGUAGGUGCAGGGCAAAAUAGGGGAACACAGCCAUGUGUGAGGCUGCGUGAUCCACACGGGUAGGCCACACGCCCGUGUGGUAGGUCGUGUGCGACUAGGCAGUUACAAAUUUUGACUCAAUUUUUUCGAGGUCUCAGGCGACUAUCCCACGCUCAAGUUCGAUCCAAACACCUACAAGGGUCUAUUUUGAUAGAAAUUCAACGAUCUAAUGACUAAAGUUCCAACAAUUUGGAAAAGAACAAUUGAUGGGGAGUUGGUUGAAUUUUCAAAAGUUUUAAGAGUAUUUUUCAGUAAAAUGUAUGGGUUAUAAAAGGGUUUUGAGAGAAAACUAGGAUAUAUUUUUAGAGAGAGUUUAGGGUUUCAAUUUGAUAAAAUAAUAAUUAGGGAAUUUUAGUAAAUUCAAGAAAAGUCUUAAAGAGUUUGAGUUGGGUAAGAGUUUGAAGGCUAAUGGGCAAAUAGCCCAAAAAUCAUUAAAAAUAAGAGAGAAAUAUGUUCAAAGAAAAAAAAGAUGGAAAAGAAAAUGAAAGGAAUAUAAAUAAAAUAAAAAAGAUAAGUUCUAGUAUGAUUUGAAAAAGGAUUAAUUUGAAUUUCAAAUUAAGAUAAGUAGUUUGAAAAAAGAUAAUGGAAUUUUUAUUCUAUUUGAAUUUUGAAAAAACAAAGAUAAUAUUUUAAAUUAGGAUAAGAAGUUAAAAAGAUAUAGGUUUUUUUAAUUUUGUAAAAAUGAUUUUAAUAAAAGACAAGUGUUAUGAAUAUCUUAUUAAGUGGAUAUCCAUCAAGAUUAAGAUAAGUUUUGAUGUGCUUUAAAUUCUAAUAGUCAUUAAAAGUAGAUGUCUACUUCAUUUAUACUUCUUAUGCCUAUAAAUAGAGACUUUGGAGAAGCUUUGUAAAUUUUCUCACUGAUUAAUAAAAUACGUUCUCUCUUUUGCUCUCUCAUUCUUUUUGUUCUUUAUUCUUUGUCUUUUAUUUUAUAACACGUUAUCAUCAUGAUUCUCUUUUAAUUGUUUUUCUCCAUAAGUCACAAAAAUAUCCCAAAAUUUUCUAUUGUUGAUUGCCUCCUAAAGCUACUAUUUCAAUUGAGGCAUGCGCACUAUAAGUAAUCAUUAUCCAAAGAUAUUUAUAUAACACUUACGUAGGUGAUGACGAUGAUGUUAAAAAUCUUCAGGUAUAUUUUACUAUAAUUUAUUUGUUAUAUCAUAUUUAUUAUAAUUGGAGACUAAUCAUGACAAACAUGAAUAAAUAAAUUCUGAUAUGAAAUCCACAUAUGUUUGCGAUGGUGAUUAUGAAAUAAAGAAUCAAUAGAGGUGUUUAGAAGUCUGUUCUACUAGAUUUGUUGCAUUCCCCAAAGUGAAUGCAAACUUAAAGAAAAUAAAAGAUAUAAUCAUGGAACACUAAAAAUGGGAACAUAGUUAUAAAUAAGAGAACAAUGAGAGUUCUCAAGAUAACUCUCUUCAAAGGGUAAAGAUAACUUAAGUUAUCAAUGUGAUAUGAAAGAUUAUUGGCCACAUAUGUGGGCAUGCCCAAAUAUUUGGUAUUGAAACAAACACAUAUUAUUCCAAUAUUUGAUAAUAUAAAAUUAGUUGAAAGCUCAAAAAGAGCUAAUAUAUCAAUAUCUAAAAAGCACAAAAUUUGCGAUGGUUAAUGCUUUGGUUUUAAAAGAUAUUGAUAGUAAUGGAUUUUAUAUUGAGAUUAUGAAUGAGUAAAAGAUUAUAUAAUAUUCUCAUUAUGGCAUCAUAUUUUUGGAUAUUUGAAGAUUUUGACAUAUUCCCUCAAGCGAAUAUUGCAUAUGACUAUUUGGAAAUUAUAUUUAUUUUGUUGACUUAGUGACAUUAUAAACUUCAUAUUGAUUUAGACAUUUUCAGUAGUAAAUGUCACAAUAGUACUUAUAUGUGGAUACAAAGUAAAAGGAAUGAUGGUAAAAGUAUCAAUUUGUUACAAUUUAGUACAAUUCAAACGCAUAUUGAAAUAAACAAAAAGUUUACUGAUACAAAUACAUUUAUACUUGGUGUGACCAGUUAGACUAUCUGGAUCAUAUAUGAUGCGAAAAUUAAUUGAGAAUUCAUAUGUACAUUCAUUAAAGAACCAGAAGAUUCUUUAAUUUAAAGAAUUCUCAUUUGUUGUUUGUUCUUAAUGGAAAUUAAUUCUUAGAAACUCACAAGCUAAAUUUGAGAUUUAAUGUCUUAUAUUUCUGAAAUGAAUAUGGGCUCAUUCAUCCACCAUGUGGAUGGUUUUGAUAUUAUAUGAUUUUGGUAGAUGCAUCUACAAAAUAAUCACAUACGUGUUAUCAACUUGCAACCUGUCAUUUGUAAGAUUGCUCAUUUAAAUAAUUAAUUUCAGAUUAUACAAUUAAGGUAACUUAUAUUGCUAAAGCUGGUGAGUUUAUAUCUCAAUCUUUUAUUGAUUGAGUUUGAAAAACUUUCGUAAAAGCUUAUUAUUUAUACGCAUAAUGGUUUAGAGAAAUUAUUAAUUGAACGCAUCUAAUUAAUAUCUAAACCAUUACUUAUGAUAACUAAACUUCCUAUUUCAACAUGAGAUUAUGUUGAUUUACGUGUUGUACGCACCAAGCCAAUAAGUUUUAAAUACUUCCCAUUAUAAUUGGUUUUUAGUCAAGAGCUAAAUAUUUCUCAUCUUUGAAUUUUUGUAUGUGUGUAUAUAUUUCAAUUGCUCCACCGCAAUGCAUAAAGAUUAGUGAAUCCUCAAAGAAAUUUUGGAAUAUAUAUUAAUUACGAGCCUCAUUGUAUUAUUAUAUAUUUUAAAUGUAUUGGAGAUUCAAUUAUGACAUGAUUUGUGAUUAAUAUUUUAAUUUGAUAGUUUUCCCGACAUUAGGAGGAGAGAAAUAAUAACUUGCAAUAAGAGAUAUCGAUAAGUUAUGUAAAUUCGAGAAAAAUAUGGAAUCGAAUAAUAAAUGGGGUCAAUAAUGGUUUUAUGUAACACCCCUAACUCGUCUCUGUCGCGCGGAUUAGGAUUGCGGAGCAUUACUGUACAAUUGAAAACAUUUUACAUCAUAAUAUUUAAAUAAAUUAAACUCAUUAUAAACCAAUCAAUCAUAUGCAUUUUGUCCCUAAAUUGAGCCCUCGAGGCCCUAAAAAUAACUUAGAAGCAAUUCGAGACUAAUUUGAAACAAAAUAGAAAUUUUAAUUUGAAAAUUUUGGAAAAUAGGGGUCACACUGCCGUGUGGCCAGGCUAUGUGACAUCACCCUAGGUCGUGUAACAUUCAAACAAGGGACACGCGCCCGUGUCUCCGCCCAUUUCCUCACCUGUGUAACUCACUGAGCUGCCACGCACGCCUGUGUGCCAGGCCGUGUAACUCUCUGAAUUGCCAUACGCGUCCGUGUGCUAGGCCGUCUAACUCACUAACUUGAAACACUAAGAAAUUUCAAAUGUCAAACAACCAUGUGACAGCCCAUGUCCUAGGCCAUGAGAACCCAAAAAUUUACCUAAAAUCAAGUCAUUUCAAGUCCAAUUCAUGCAAAGUUAACCAUUCCAUUUGGGCACACAAUCAAGGGGUUUAAACAUCAUUCAAACACACAUAAACAUGUCAUUUCAAACAUCCUAAAUCACCUAACCAAUAUGUCAUUCAAAGGAACCACAAUUACAUCAAACAUUAUGAAUCAAACCAAAGCAAUUAGACCAUAUCUCAAACCCAAAACCUAGUUCACGUAAUUUGCAAGCCAUCAAAACAUGCCAAAAUAAUCUUAUUUACAAGCACUAAAAGUGACCAAUUUGACGUAACUUGGUAAGGCAUUAAAGUGCACCAAACCAACCAUAAACUUCAAAGCAUAAACAUACCAAAUCACCAUUAACACAUUCUUAAAAUACCAUUACAAAAUAUCCUAUACAUGCCAUUAUUAACCUUGGCCAAAAUACACAAAAACUAUAAAAAUGAUUGCUAGAUAGUGUGAUAGAUCUCAGUCGAGCUUUCAACCGAUCAAGCUUCUGACAAUCUAAAAAAAAUGAAGAUAACUACGUAAGCAAUGAGUGCUUAGUAAGUUAGUAUAAACUUAAACAUAACUUACCCUGUCAUUUAUGCAAUUCCUAGAUUAAGCAUAAAUCAUUACCAAUGCCAUGAGCUUAGUAUAAGCCUAUUUAAACAUCAUCAAGCUCACAUGUUAGUAGGUUCAUCAACAUCACAUAUAAGCUCAUUUAUAUCAUAAGUAGAUUUUAGAAGAUACAUUACAUAUGCAUCAACCUUUUCAUAAAGCCAUGAACAUUUCCAUUAACUUACUUACCACUCCAUUCCUUUUCUUACCUGUUGAACCAUCUAAAAUUACAUCAGAUACUCGGGAAAUCUCACACAUAGUGUGCCUUUACAUAUAACUGUAACCUUUCUUUUACAUCAAUGCUCACACGUAGGGGUGAGCAAAACUCGAUUCGACUCGAAAAAAUUGAAAAAAAAUUCGAAUUUCGAGUUAAACGAAUCGAGUUAUUCGAGUUAAUCGAGUUAAUCGAGUUAUUCGAAUCAACUCGAAGUUUUUUUCGAAUUUCGAGUUUGAAUCGAGUUGAGUUUUCGAAUUCGAAUAACUCGAAUAAUUCGAAUAUCAAACUAUAAUAUUUUACAUUUUUACCCCAAACUCCCAAACAUUUUUACUUUUCCCUCAAAACUUUUACUCCUUCCCACUUUCCCCCCAAAACUUUUACUCCCCUCCCCUCUCAACCCCCCAAUCUACCCAAAAUCCAUUUCCCACCAAAAUUUUACUCUCCCAUUUAUUUUUUCUCAAAAUUUUACUCCCAAAAACCCUCAAAACCUUUUAUUUUCCCCCAAAAUUUUUACUCCCUCCCACUUUUCCCCUAAAACUUUUAUUCCCUUCCCAUCUCACCUCUCAUCUAUCCCAAACCCCCCUCCAAUUUUUUUUUAAUAUUUUCCCUCCAAAAUUUUACUCCCCCUAUUUACUUUCCCUCAAACUUUUAUUCCCAAAACUUUUUUAUUUUUCCCCUAAACUUUUACUUCUCACCCUUUACUCUCAAAUAAAAAAUUAAAAUUAUCCAAAAAAAAUCACUAAACAUAAAUAGUUAUAAUUUUAUUUAUAUCUACUAUUUAUAUUAUUAAAUUAAAUUUCACAUUUUAUAUUAUUUAUAUUAUUGAAUUGUUUAGUCAUAUUGAAUAUUUAUAUUAAAAUUGAAUUAUUAAUUAUGCCAUAAAAUAUUCGUGUUAAAAUUUUAUAUUAGUAUCAAUUUCACAUUUUAUUUUUAAAAUAACUUUUAUUAAAAAUCAUAUUUUUACAUUUAAUAUAUUUUUUAAUUCUAAAAUACAUAGUGACAAGAAUCUGAAGAUAAUUGAAACAACUAAGCAAGCAAAGAAGCUAACCAAUAUAUAAAAAAUUAAUAAAUAAAUUAUGAAGUGAUGAAAGUUAAAAAAUUUUUUGAUUAAGGUGGACAAAUUUUAUUACGAUGGGUGACAAUGGUUACAAGGACCCAAAAUUAUUUUUUAAAAUUUAACUCGAACAAAUAUAUUCGAUUCGAUUCGAUUCGAUUCGAAUUCCAUCUCACUCAACUCGAUUCGAGAAAACUUCAAUUAAAGUUAGUAUGAUAAAAUGAGAUUUGAAAACUCGAUUAACUUGAAAAUUUUUGAUUCGAUUCGAUCGAAUGCUCACCCCUACUCACACGAGCUAUGAAAUGGGCCUGCUUACACAAGUUGUGGGUCAGAAUAUAAGCUACACGGUGCUGCCCACACAAGAUAUGGAGAAUCCGCAACAAAUGCAGGACCUCAGCCAUCGAUAGGACAUUCAAGACCAGCACCCGAAACAUGAAAUCCUUAAUGACACAUCAUUUGUAUCCUAAGAAUUCUUAAGGUUCAACCAGGACUCAAUAUCCAUCAAUUCAUCAUAGCAGGAAUACUUUUAUAUAGAGGUCCAUUUAUAUUAAAACAACAUAAUAAACAUUCAAUUUAGCUAACAUUAAAAUGAUCAUAGUUCAUACAAACUUACCUCGAAAACUAGGGUUAGAAGUAGAAUCGAACUAAUCCAAAGCUUCAGUUUUUUCUCGAUUUAAGUCUGAUUGUGGUUUAUCUUGAUCUAAAUAAAUAAUUUCAUUCAAUUAGGUACUUCUAGAAUUCAAUACUUUGACUUUUCUCGAUUUAUGUAAAAUUACAAAAUUACCCUUAAUACUUUGACUUUUCACAAUUUAGUCCUUAAGCUCAUAACUUAAAAUCUAACCAUUAUAACCUUAAUCCAACUUAACCAAAGUUACAAGGGACCUUGAAACAACCCAUUAUUACAAAAAUUUCAUAAUAAAACCCAUGAAUUUAUACUUUUAAUAAUCUAAUCCCUAAAUGUAAUUUCACCAAAAAUCACUUAACAAAACAUGUUUAUUUUACAAUAAGGAUUCAUAAUCUAUUAACUAACAUAAAAAAAUCAUUCAAAAAUAUCCAUGGCAAGUCCCUUAACCUUUAACAGUUUCGUAAAUUAACCCCCAGGCUAGUUAGAUUAAGCUAAAUCGAACUCAAAAACAUAAAAAAAAAAUCAUUAAAAAUGAGUUAAAAACACAUACCAUGCACUAGAAUAAGCUUGGUCAAAUAAAAAACUCAACAAUGGAGUUCUUCUCCCCUUAAAAUUGGUUAAGGAUGAAAAUAAAAGAUGAUCCAUGCUUUAAUUUCCUUUGUUUUAAGUUUAAUUUAUAAAUUACCAUUUUAACCUUUUAAAAUAAUUAAAAUUUCAUUAAAACCUUGUCCAUAACUAUCCACUAACUCAUUAAAUGGUAUAUUUACCAUUCAAGUCCAUUAACUUAAAAUUCCAUAGCCAUUUACCCCUUUAACUAAUAGAACUCAACUUUUUUAUCUUUUAUAAUUUAGUCCUUUUCACCUAAUUAACCAUUUAAACAUCAAAAUUUCUUAAUGAAAUUUUAAUUCGACCUUAAUAUAAUCCUAUAUACAUUAAAUAAAUAUUAAAAUAAUAACUCACUUGUCGAAAUUGUGGUCCUGAAACUAUUAUUUCUGACAUCACUAAAAAUGGGUUAUUACAUUUUACAGGCAAUAUUAUUGUUGAAAUGAAAGGAGAAUCUUGAAUAAAUCUAUUGAGAAAUAUAAAUAUGGAAUAAAUUGGUCAAAAUUGAAAGACGCAACUCAAGUAACAAUUAAAUUUGUGGAGUUUUUGGACCAGUAGUCCAAAUAUCUAAAGGUAUAAAGCCAGUGAGGUUUAUAUUAAAAUCCUUGAAGGAUUUAGAAUACCGGAAACAUAUUGAAAUUAUAAGAAAAUUGUUCAUUUAUAUGAAUUUGAAAUAAUUGAACAUAUGUAGUAAAUUUGACUUAGUCAAUAGUGGUUGAAAGAGGAUUAUAAAAUGAUCUACUAUUUGUAUUUUUAUAGAGAGAUCCUGAUUAAAGUUUGUUAUGAUUAUUAUUGAAAUUCUUGAAGAGAUCAAAAUAUAUUUUUCCAAAAUUUCCCCUUACUCAUGACUUUCAAAAGAAUGGUGAUAUAAAUGAUUAGCAAACACAUUCAAAUAGUCAUUUGAAAAACUAGUAUUCAAGAUUGAAUACGUAGAAUAUGAGAAAGUAUGUGAUAUUUUCGUGAUGGGGAGUAAAUACGCGUUGUACUAUUUUUCCCUUAACCGAGGUUUUGUCCCAUUGGGUUUUCCUGAUAAGGUUUUUAAUGGGGCAGCAUAUUAUGCGUAUUAUACAUAUGUGUACUCUUUUCUAUUCACUAGGAAUUUUUUUUCUCAGGGUUUUUAUCUUAGUAAGGUUUUAAUGAGGCACAUUAUCUACUAAUGGACAUCUAAGGAGAAGUGUUAUAAAUAUCUUAUUAAGUGGAUAUCCAUCAAGAUGAAGAUAAAUUUUGAUGUACUUUAAAUCCUAAUAAUCAUUAAAAGUAGAUCUUACUUCAUUUAUAUUUCUUAUGCCUAUAAAUAGAGACUUUAGAGAAGCUUUGUAAAUAUUCCCAUUGAUCAAUAAAAUACGCUCUCUCUUUUGCUAUUUUAUUCUUUAUUCUUUGUCUUUUAUUUUAUAACAAUAAGAUUUAAUUUUUUUUCUUAUUUAAAACUAAUCCUUAAUUUUUGGAAUAUUAAAAAUUCUAACCCCUAAUUUGGGAUGUUACAUGACCGGUUAUUAUUCAAAAAAAAAUUAUUUCUAAAAUUAAAAAGUAUUAGAUAUAUAUGAUUUUUAAUAUUAAAUAUUAAAAAAUAAAAAUUAUUUAAACUUUACUUUUAAAAUUAAGAAUUAUUUUAAAAUUUAUUAUAAUCGUUUUAUCUUUCAAAUUUCCUUCCUCGUAAUUAAAACAUAGAUUAUAUUAAUAAUAUUACAAGUACAUUAUCUUCCAAAAAUUUAAGUAUAUGCUUUUAUUUGUUUAUAUCUUUUAAAUAUUAUUUCAUCAAUAAUUUUAUUUAAUAAGUUAUUAUUUAAAUAAUAACUAUUUUAUAAAACACAUGGACAAUUCAUACAUCGUACAGGAUAGAAAACUAGUUAAUUAAUAUAUUUUAUUGUAAAAUAUUAUAAAAUAAAAUAAAAAGAUAGAGAGUGAAUAAAUAUUUAUCAAUAUCGUGCUCUAAUUUUUAUUUAUUUUAUUUAUUUAUUUAUUGAAUUAAAUUUAAAUUUUAUAUUAGUGUAAUAUAAGGACAAUUAUUUUAAUUAUAUUUUUAUAAAAAUUAUAACAUAAAUUUUAAUUUUAUUUAUAUUUUGGUAGGUUGCAAAAUAAAUUGGUAGGUUGGUUAUUAAAGGAUGGUCGCUCUCAACUUUAUUACUUACUUUUUAUUUUCCAUCAACUAUUUCUACAAAUGAAUAUGAACCUCAUUUUGCCAUCUCAUACUACUUAAAUUAUUAUAUUUAAAAGUAUUUUUUUCUAUUAUUUCUCUUGAUUACGUCUUAAUUCAAUUGGUAUGGACAUUAUUAUUAAUAUAGAUGCGUUGAAGCGCAUUAUCCUCCUAUUUAUGAGUUGAUGAGGGGUUAUAGAUAAUUUUAGGUAUUGUGUUAAAAAGAAUAGUUAUGAUCAGAACCUAUAAUGAGAUUGUUAAAAAUAUAUAUUACCUUUUUCUUCUAAGUUCUCAUAACACAUUUUAUACGUUUUUUUUACUUAAUUUGUUAAAAAAAAUUAAAUAUGGACAGUAGCAUAAAAAGGGAAAAAUACAAAAAAGUCAUUUUUUUUAAAUUUACCGAAAUGGGCCCGAUAUUUUAUUAUUUACCGAAAUGAUCUCUUUUCCCCUAAAUCGCGUCCAAGUCACCGCGAAGUAAGGGGACGUGUCAGCAAAUCGCGGCCACGUCAGCGCGCUUUGCUGAUGUGGCAAUAAAGCACGUCCACGAAAGCGCAAUUUGUGUGCAUGUCAGGAAAUCGCGCUGACAUGGCCGCGGUUUGUUGCCACGUAGCGCGCCCCUAGGGACGUGAUUUGCCCAUUUUUCCCACAUUAGGUUUUUGGAUUUUAGGGUUUAAGGUUUAGAGUUUUUAGGGUUUUUAGGGUUUUUGAGAAAAAAAAGUAAAUAAAUAAGGGAUUAGGGUUUAGGGUUUCCUAAUUAAAUUAAUUAUAAUUUAUUCAAAAUUGGAUUACAUUUCGUGUUUAUGGGUUUUUAAGAUAAAAUCAAAGCAGGAUGCUUUAUCAGAAGGAUUUCUGAAGUCGCGCCCACGUGUACGCGCUUUUGCUAUGGUAGGUCCUGGAAAAAUAAUUUCGAGUUGACGUUUUUGAGCAAAUAGUAUAAAAAAUGCUCCAAGUAGGAUACUUUAUGAGAAGAAUUUGUGAAAUCGCGCCCUCGUGGACGCGCUUUUGCUACAGCAGGUCCUGGAAGAAAUAGUUUCGAGUUGACGUUUCUGUGCAAAUAGUUUAAAAAAAUGCUUCAAGCAGGAUGCUAUUUGAGAAGAAUUUGUGAAAUUGCGCCCUCGUGGACGCACUUUUGCUACAGUAGGUCCUGGAAAAAUAAUUUUGAGUUGACGUUUUUGAGCAAAUAGUACAAAAACGCUUCUAGCAGGAUGCUAUUUGAGAAGAAUUUGUGAAAUCACGCCCUCGUAGACGUGCUUUUGCUACAGUAGCAUGUUUGGGCUGAGGCUAUAAAUGAGGCAGAAAAUGUUCUUAGAAUGUAUAAGUUACAGUAAAAACAAUUUAGAGAGGCUAAGAAGGAUAGAGUUUCAAAUAUGAGUGAACGUAUUAGUGUUGUUAUCUACUAUGAUGGUGAGGUUUGUCACACCGAGAAUGGUGUUGUUUUUUUGUCCGAGAAUACGGUGCGACUGGUUUUUAACCAGAACAUAGAUUUGACAGAACUUCGUAAAAGAAUUAGGCAUAAAAUUUUCGGAACGACGCCAAUGAAAGUUCUGUCUGUUAUCGAUUUUGUUCUUCUGUUAAUCCGGUGACAUAUGACUCGUUCGACAUAAAAGGUGCUCGUAGCUUGGAGGCAAUAGUGCAGACUCAUCUUACUAGUGGAGCAUCUUAUAUUGAGUUAUAUGUACAAUUGACAUCGCCAAAUGAAGUACUUGCGACCGGUGUUCGAGAUGUAUACACGACCCCUGGCUGACACUCGGUUAGCGGGUUACAAAACACGGAAUAGCCCAUGUUUGGUAGCGGUGUAGAAUGCACAUCCCCUGCAAGACACUCUGUUGGUGGAUGGGACAUGUACGUCGAUGGCUCGAUGUUUGAUGCUGGAAAUACAUACUGGGGAACGACAUCAAGUUCUAGUGGUUGGCAAUCUACAUCCAAUUGGGGAUGUUAUGAAAUGCCCAGAAGAAGGGAUGAUGUACUCCCUACGAUGUCAACCGGUGAGGGGACCUUGUAUGCUGCAGAUGAUUGUGGGUUAGAAGAUGACUCAGAUGUGGAUCCACCUCAAGAGCCUGGGCCCGAUGGUGCAAAAGUUGGCUUAUUUUCUGAACCGAAGCCUAUUCCAACAGAACCUGAAGAUGCUGAAAAGAGUUCAGAUUAAGAAGAAAAUUCACGAUUCAUAACAUACUCACCUCCAGCCCACAUGCAUAAUGUCGAUCUGUCUGUAGAUGAUACGUUAGAGUUUCUAGAUCUACCACACCGGUUGCGUAAUCGUACAAGUUUGGGGCUAGAUUCGGGUGAAUUUGAAGUUGGUAAUCAGUUUACCAACAAUGAUAGUUUUAUUGGUGCUUUGAAACAAUAUAGCAUCAAAAACGGUGUUAACUAUCACGUCGUUAAAUCCAAAUCUGAUAAGUUUGAGGUGAAGUGUGCGGUGCAAGACGACACAUGUUCAUGGAAAAUCUACGCCUCCUUAAGGAAAAGGACAAGGUUGUGGGAGAUUAAAAAGUACAAAGGUCCACAUACAUGUACUACAGGUAUAGUAUUGACGGUUUCUUAAUAAUACUGUUAUUAUAUAAUAUUGCAUUAUUUAAUGUACUCCGUUUAUAGGUGUUUCACAAGAUCAUCCCAAGAUGGAUUCAGCUAUGUUAGCUAGCUUGAUACUGCCCACAGUGAAAGCAGAUCUCAGGACUUCAGUGUCGGUGUUAAUUGUUAAUAUUCGUAGCCAAAUAGGGUACACGCCCUCUUACCGCAAGGCUUGGAUAGCUAAGCAAAAGGCGUUGGAGAAGAUGCAUAGUGGGUGGGACACCUUAUAUAAUGAAAUAUGGCAGUGGUGUCAGGUGCUAGAGAGAUACGUCCCAGGUGCCAUCACAGACUUUGAAACAGAACAUGCGUACUACAACGACCGACUGCUACGUGGAUGCCAAGUGUUCAAAUACCUGUUUUGGACCUUUAAGCAAUGCCGAGACGCAUUUCCAUACUGCAAGCCAUUGGUACAAAUUGACGGUACUUUUAUGUUUGGUAGGUAUACUCAUCGGCUAUUGCUUGUAGUGACAUAGGAUGGUGGUGAGAGAAUUCUUCUAAUUGCAUUUGCAAUAACACCGGGGGAGUCGUCUGAUAAUUGAGAUUUCUUUCUCUCUAGGUUAAGGAGGUAUGUGUGCCCCCAACCUGAUAUCUGUGUUAUUUCAGAUCGGGGCACCAGUAUACUAGCUGCAUUUGAUCGACAAGGAAGCUUAUGGCAGCGCACACACCAUCGAUAUUGCCUAAGGCACAUUGCUUCCAACUACUACAGGCAAUAUCCAUCUAAGAGCGAAUGACGACAAGUGACCAACAUUGAUAUUUAGUCUCUAUCUGUGUUCUUUCGUUUGUCAAUUUGAAUUAGUUGUAAAUGAAGAAGUGUUAUGUAAUAUUCGCUAUGAACUUAUAUUGGCAGGGUAUGAAAAAAUAAAGACUGUUUUCAUGAGAUGUUGGCAAAUUUACAUUCAAUUAAUGGAGAAGGUGCGGACUACCUUUGCAACAUACGUUUCGAACAGUGGGCACAAGCAUACGACGGCGGCCUACGAUAUGGUCAUAUGACCUCAAACCUGGCUGAAUGCAUAAAUUUUGUUCUAAAAGGAAUGCGCCAUCUACCGAUAACAUCGGUUGUGCGAGAGACAUAUUUUCGUUUGGCGGCGCUAUUUCCAAAGCGAGCAACAAGUUAUGCAGGCCAGAUGCAGCGAGGCCAUGUAUGUUGCAGUAAUGUAGUUCAAGAAAUUAACAAGGCCAAGGCGCGGGUGAAUACUAUGCACACAGUGUGUCACGAUCGAGACAACUUAUGGUUUCAUGUGACAGAGUUUGACAGCCCGCACCAAGGUGUUGUUGGUAGGCAAUAUCGUGUACACUUGCAAAAUAGGACUUGCGACUGUGGGAUGUUUGAUGCACUUCGUUAUCCAUGCGCUCAUGUUAUUGCAGCUUGUCAGAAUCUCCGUCUGGAUCCGAUGAGCUAUGUGGAUGACGUGUACAAACUAGAAAACAUGUACAACAUUUGGAGACAUGUUUUCCCACUGGUCCCAGAUGAACGUAAGUGGCCGCCCGUAUCUCUUACUCCUUUUAAGCUGUUAUCGGAUAGAGAAUUGCGUCGCAAACCAAAGGGUCGACCUUGCUCGACUAGAAUACGUAACAAUAUGGAUAUCCGAGAAAUAGCCAGUCAACAGAAGUUGUGCGGAUGGUGUAGGAAUCCAGGCCAUACAAGUCAAUCAUGCCCUAAUCGCAAUAGUUGAAUGUAAUUGUAAACAAAUUAUAUUUUUUUUCAAUUAUUAAUUGUUAGUAAAAUUAUCAAAUUAUAUCAAAUUAUUAAUUAUUAGUACCAGUCAAAACAUAUUGUCAAAUCUAACAUUAUGUGAAUGUAAAAUUAUUAAUUGAUAAUUGUAUUAAUGGUUAGUAAAAUUAUCAAAUUAUAUCAAAUUAUUAAUUGUUAGUACCAGUCAAAACAUUUUUUCAAAUCUAACAUUAUGUGAAUGUAAAAUUAUUAAUUGAUAAUUGUAUUAAUGGUUAGUAAAAUUAUCAAAUUAUAUCAAAUUAUUAAUUGUUAGUGCCAGUCAAAACAUUUUUUCAAAUCUAACAUUAUGUGAAUGUAAAAUUAUUAAGUGAUAAUUGUAUUAAUGGUUAGUAAAAUUAUCAAAUUAUAUUUAAGUUAAGGGUUAGAGUUUUUAAGUUAAGGGUUAGGGUUUUAAAGUUAAGGGUUUAGGGUUUUUUAUUUAAAGAUUAGGGUUUAGGGGUUAGGGUUAGGGUUUUUAAGUUAAGGGUUUAGGGUUUUAAAGUCAAUGGUUAUGGUUUUUAAGUUAAGAGUUUAGGGUUUUAGGUUAAGGGUUUAGGGUUUUUAAGUUAAAAGUUUAGGGUUUUUAAGUUAAGGGUUAGGGUUUUUAAGUUAAGGGUUAGGGUUUUUAAGUUAAGGGGUUUAGGGUUUGUCAAUUAAAUUAUGCAUUUAAUUAUAAUUUAUAAAUUUAUAAAUUUUUAAUAAAUUAGUUUAGGGAUUUUAAGUAAUAACUUAAAAAAAUUCUAUUUUAUUACAUCAAAUAAUAUCAAAAUAUUCAAAAUAUUUGUACAAAUAAAUUAAAAUACAAAUCAAUCUCCGUGCCCGCCGGAUUCAGUGCCACAUGGCAGCCGUCGACGGUUACGCACUGGAUUCCUCCUUUGUCCAGCUUCCGGCGGCGGUUGUGGUUCCUCCGGUGGGGAUUCUAGUUCUUCCAGUAGGGCAUUUGGUUGUCGGAGUUGGGACGAUGAGCCACCUUGAUAGAAUAGUGAAUGUGGAGGUGUUUGCAUCACCAACGGCGAUGGUGUUUGAAACCCAUACGGUGGUGGGGAUUGGUAAAAAGAAGAGCUCCUCGACGGCCCCUCUUGCGAUCCCUCGUGCGCCGCUAGCCUAUACAUCGGCGGUCCACUCGGCGUAACAGGAAAUGGAGCUGAACAGGGCCAUUGGCUCCAACCUGCCAUAGGACUCGAAAAAGGAAACAUAUAAGGGUUAGGAUACAUAAAAGGGCUAGGAAACGCACCUGGCAUCAUCUGAAAAGGCUGUGCCGUGGGUAUCAUCGGUUGAAUUGUUGGGUCGAGUGACUGUGUCGGUGCUCUCGUUGGGCCUGGUGAUUGAAUGGCCACUAAUGAUAGGCCGAGUGAAUGUCUGGGCCUCGUUGAGGGGCCAGUGUCGUCUUCCUGUCGUCUUGGAUUUAAAGGCCCGCGUAUUUCCCUUUGGACACGUAAUUGUCGCUGUCUCUCCUCUGCCGACAGUAAAUACAGCUUGCCAUGGAUCCUAAACCAUGGCAUGUAUUUCGGCACGCACGCUAACUCCAAAACGAUGAUCGGUUCCAUAGUAGGUAUAUACUCAUACCGAUCUUCUCACAUUUUGAUGUAGUGGGACCAGAAUCUUGGCUAAUCCGUAUGUAGUUGCUGUAGGUCGAUUUUGUGGUGAUCAUCAAACACCUCAGGUGCCACGAGAAUCGGUUGUCUACAUCCAAAUUACCGUAACACUCUGUCUAACUGGUGCAUCUCCACGGUCGCAUAGCUGAUCAACACGACUUUCGCAUGCCAAGCGUUUGGAUUUUGUAAGAACUCAUCCGAAAUUACUGCCCAAAUUGCCGGAUCCUCGUAUGGUGUCCAUUGAAACUAUAUAAACAUGAUAGAAAUAUUAGUUAUAUACAUAAUACUAAAUACUAAAUACUAAAUACCAAUCGACUAGUGAAUGAUGGAAAUAUCAAUUUUAUUUAAUGCUUACAUGUGCUUCUGACUGUUGGUCUAAUAGAAGCCGUAUAUCUUCAAGAGAGGUAGGUAAUCGAGCAUGACUUGCCGGAUGAUUCCACCUAAUUAAAUAAAUUUUUAGCAUACUUUUAUUUUUAAAAAUCUACAUAAUAAUUGUAAAAUCUAAUAUAAAAUUUACCUCGUUAUGAGUGGGAAUGUAUAUGGGUAGUCCACUCGAAGACGGAGAAAUGGAAAGCGAAACCGUGCCCAUGACUGCAGUAGUGACAGGCAACCUCCGAUUUUUACUUUAGUUGGUCACGUCGCCCUGCACAUCUCCCGAUAUAAUGUCGCCAAGACUGCAGACCCCCAACUCAAUUCACCAGCUGCUCUAAAAUCAACGAGUUUCAGUAGCCAUCUUAGAUGUACGCGGCUCCGUGACAAGUCCGGCAUCAGAUAACCUCCAAUUAUUUAAAGAAUGUAUGCCCGAGCAUAUCGGAUUCUUUCUACUUAGGUUGAAUCAUCAUCCGGAUCCGGGAAUGUGUCUCAUAACCAGCCCAUCUCGAUCUUACCUCCGUCUAUUUUCUCCGGAAUAGCGCCCAAAAGCUCGUAGCACACCGCUCCCCAUCGCUAGAUUGGGCAGACCCGGUGACUGGGUACCCGUCCACCGGCAAUCCCAAUUGUAGACUGACAUCUUCCAACGUGAUAGUGCACUCCCCACAUAGAAAAUGGAAUGUGUGCGUCUCGGGUCUCCACCUCUCGAUCAACGCACUGAUAAGUUUCGGGUCCACCUUGCAUCCCCGGCCUACCGUCGCCAUGUGCCAAAAACCCGUUUCCCGCAGGUAGUUCUCUACCAACGGUGAUGGAGGAGCAUGCAUAUUCUGGAUAUUGCAUUCCAAUAUCCAAUUUACAGACUUUUAUAACAAAUAAUAAAUUAAUAAUUAUCUAAAAAUGCAUAAAUAAAAAAAUCUUAAAUAAUAUUUAAUAAUUAAAUUUAACACUUACCAUUUUUAUUUGUUCGACGGAUAUGUGCUGCUUAUCAAGACGAGUCAAUUCUCCGGCCAUUGCUGAAAUCGUACAAAUUUUUACGAUUUAAAAAAUAAUUUAAAAAAAUAAUUUUUUUCAAAAUUAUUUAAAAAUAGGGAUUUAAGAGAAAUUUAAGAGGAAAUUGAGAGCAAAUUGAGAUUAAAUAUGGAUUUCAGAGAAAUUUGGAAGGAAUUUGAGAGGAAAUUGAGAGGAAAUUUGAGAAAAGAUUAGUUUGUGAAAAAAAAAAUAAGGGGAUUUUUUUUUACCGUUGGGGGGCAACGGUCAAAAAAAUAACCGUUGCACUGUUCACGCACGGAGCAAAUCGCGUCCCCAGGGGCGCGCUACGUGGCAACAAAGCAUGGCCACGUCAGCGCGAUUUCCUGACGUGCACACAAAUCGCGCUUUCGUAGACGCGCUUUGUUGCCACGUCAGCAGAGCGCGCUGACGUGGCCGCAAUUUGCUGACACGUCCCCUGACUUUGCGGUGACUUGGAUGCGAUUUAGGGGAAAAGGGCCCAUUCCGGUAAAUAAUAAAAUACCGGAUUCAUUUCGAUAAAUUUAAAAAAAGUGACUUUUUUUGGUAUUUUACCCGCAUAAAAAUGCUUAAUUUGUGAAACCACAUUUUAUUUUUCUUUUUUCUCCAUAUCUUGAAAGCACAGUUUCUAGAUCUAGCAACUCAUUAUUCGAAUGAAAGAAAAAAUUGUUGUUCAUUUCUUUUAACACGAGAGUGAUCGUAAAAACUAAAAUAAUUUUACAUAUUUUCAUCAUUAUUUAUAUAAUUAAUAUCUUAAAUAUUUAUAUAGAUCAUACAUAUUAAAUUUAUUAGAAAAUUUUAAAUUAUUUGAUUAUAUAAGAAAAUUUAAUUAUUGAAUAUAUAUUAAUAUAAAGAAUAUUUUAAAUUGAUAUGAUCAAGAUAUUUGAUCGGUUCGAAAAUUUACAAGUAUGACAAAUACAAUUAUAUUAAUAAAUUAACGGUUAAAUUGUUAAAAUAUUAAUUAUACAAAUAAUUACGAAAAGUUUGUGUUAUAACUUAUUGGGUAAACUACCUAUUUAGUCGUCCAAAUUUAUUUGUAUUUUUAUUUUAGUCAUUCAUUUUGAAAAUUUAUUAUUUUAGUCACUCUUGUUAGAUAAAUUGUCAAUUUUAGUCACUCCUGUUAAAUAAGUUGUCAAUUUUAGUCACUCUAUGGUUUAAAUGGAUUUGAUCACCAAAUGGAAUGCUGACUUGGCCUGGUAUAAUAACAAAAUUAGCCUUCAAUAUUUGCUUAUUUUAUUAAUUUACUCUUGAUUUUGAAAAUAAACAAGAAAUUUAACCUUUAAUAUUUACACAUUAUACCAAUUUGGUCAUGAUUUUAGAAAUUAAAAAUUUUAAAUUUAAAUUUAAAAUUUAUUAAAAUUUAUAAAUAUAUAUAAUACUCAGAAAUUUUAAAAAAAAUAGGCAAUAACCCUAAGCAAUGCCAUGAAAUGUUUCCUCUUUCUCUCUCUCUCUCUUUUUCCUUUUUAAAUUUUUUUAUUGUGUGAAUUUUGCUUCUUCAUUUUUUACUUGUGGUUUUCCAAAUUGUAUUCGAUGAGCAGAGAUGCAAAAGUAUUGCAAGAGAAAUUGGUGAAGAAGGCAGCACAAGCAACGGCUGGAGGGAACCAUCAGAGCAAAAAGUUGGGAAGUAAAAACAAUAAAUAACAGUGGAAAGAUGGUGGGGGAUGAGAUGAUUUUAGAAUGCAAGGUAAAGAAAGUAGUGUUAUUAUGUUAAUUGGAUUGGGAAAAUCAAAUCUUUGUCUUACAUUUUAACCAAAAACACUUGGUGUGCAUUUGUUUUAAGUGAUUUGCGAUAGAAUUCGAUUUUCUCUUUAGCAACAUUAUCUUAUUAACUGCCUUUCAAAUUCUAAAAAUUCAAUAAUCCUCAUUAUUAUUUUGAUUCGAAUAAAUAAUCUAAAUUGACAAUGAAAACUUAAAUGAAAAAAUAAUCCAUUUUUACAAUGAACAAUUAAAGUCAGACUUAUAUAAGCUCAAAAUCAUAAGCAUCGAAAAUAUUUGAGAGAACGAGAAAGAAAAACUAGUGUUAAUUGAGAAAUAUGAGAAGGAAAAGUGUGGACUUUGGGGGAAAGAAGGUGUAAAAAUAUAUUAAAUUUUAACAAAUUUUUAAAUAUAUUUUUAAAUAUUUUUACAAAUUUUAAUAAUUUUUGAACUUUUAUGAUUUUUAAUUUUUGAAAUUUUAAUUUAUAUUUUCUUAAUUUUUAGAAUCAUGACCAAAUUGGUAUAAUGUGUAAAUGUAUUUAUUUUUUUCAAAAUCAAGAUUAAACUAAUAAAAUGGGUCAACAUUGAAGGCUAAUUUUGUAUUAUACCAGGCCACAUUAACAUUCUAUUAGGUGAUCAAAACCUAUUUUAACAGUAGAGUGGCUAAAUUGUCAACUUACCUAACGGGAGUGGCUAAAAUUAACAACUUAUCUAACAAGAGUGACUAAAAUAACAAAUUUUGUAAAUGGGUGACCAAAAUAGGAACAUGGGUAAACUCGGGUGACUAAAUAAGUAGUUUAUCAUAAAUUUUAACAAUUUUUAAAUAUAUAUUUUAAAAUUUUUUGAGUAUCUUAUCUAUUUUUAUAAAUUUUAAUAAUGUUUGAAUUUUUAUGUAUUUUUAAUUUUAAUUUAUACUUUCUUAAUUUUUAGAAUCGUGACCAAAUUGAUAUAUUGUGUAAAUAUUAAGGGUUAAUUUUUUUUUAAAAUCAGGAUUAAAUUUAUAAAAUGGGUAAUUAUUGAGGGCUAAUUUUUUUUUUAUCAUACCAGGCCACAUCAAUAUUCCGUUUGAUUAUCAAAUCCAUUUUAAUGGUAAAAUGACUAAAAUUGACUACUUAUCUAAUGGAAGUAACUAAAAUUAACAACUUAUCUACCAUGAGUGACUAAAAUAACAAUUUUUUAAAUAGGUAACCAAAAUACCAAAAUAGGAACGUGAGUAAACUUGGGUGACUAAAUAAGUAAUUUACCCUAACUUUUAAAAUAUAUUCAAAUAAGAAAACUUGGAAAAUUAUAUUACCACAAAAAAAAAAUAAAAAAUAUAUAAUUUUUAAUUGGUUUGUUAAUGUUAUAAAAUUUUACUUAAUAAAAAAUUUUAAAACAAAAACAUAUUAAAUAAUAUAAGUAGGUUGAUAACUAUUUAUCCCUUAAUGCUGGACAUUAAGCUAUUUUUAUAUAAAUCAUCUAUUUAUUUUAAAUUGAAUUAACUUUUAAUCUUACAAUAUUAAAAUUACUUUAUAGUCCAUCAUUAAACUUAAAAUAUAUUUGUAAAUAAUGACCCAUAUUAACAACAUUAAUCAAAUUAAAUUUUUAUAUAUAAAUAUAAUUAGAGUUAAUUACAUUUGUAGAAACGAGGGUUACUUGUUUGGCAAACCGAAACUGUGGCUAAAAUGGUGCUUAAAAUUGUGGUCACAGUUUUGACCACGAAACAAAAAGUGCAAAAACAAUAAAAAGAAUACCGAGAUUGUUUACACAGUUCGACCUCAGUUUACGUCUGCGGGACUUUGCCCAGAGCAAUGGUUAAUUAUCUUUCUCACAGUACAACUAAUUAUUUAAGUCCUAACACUGGUCUAACACUCACCAAUUUAGUGCCUUCACCAUUGUACAAAGACUAGAUCACUCUCCCAUUAAGCUUCCCCCUCGAAAACUUAACUUUGCAACUUAAGAGACUCUCUUGAUUGCUUAAAAAAAAUAAUGCACACACAUGUUCCUAACUUGAACAAAUUUGUGCUCUAUAAAACUUUCAAAGUCAUGGUUACCCCUUAACCCAGGCAAAAGUUAAGUUUUUAUAGUACUUAAAUUUUGUUUACAUAAGAAUUACAAUUUAAUCACUUUUCUAUAUAGAAGGCUAAAAAUCAGCAUAAUAUAAUACUUCCUUAAGAGUUUCGAUUUAAUCCAAUGCCUUCAAAGAUAGAAAGUGACUUUACUUGUUCUGCAAUUAACCAAUCUUAAUCCGUAAGAAACCAAUCUUCAAGUCUUCAAUUCAUCUCAAUUGGUCUUCAUGCUUUCGACUUUACUCGUCCAAUAUCAUAAAAUAAAUAGCCCAAAGCUUUUGUUCAAAAAUCUGCCAACUCUUGAAAUAGGCAAGUAAGAUAAUGAAAUAGUGCCUGAAGAUGUGACCAUUAUUUGAGCCACAGAAGCUACUACGAAAUUAACCUUACCUUUAAAUGUGACAACAAUCUCCCCCUUUAGCAAUUUUUGAACAAAGAAUAUAUAGGGAAAAUAAAAUCAUCAUAAUUACAUAUUCUUCUCUUAAGUAUCUCUCCCUUAAUCAAACACUCUCAUCUUUAUUAUCACAAAGAGAGCUAUCCGGUGUUUUAUGUAUGAAUACACUAAAGACAAUAACAUGAUCCAAAACAUACAAGGGUAAGAGUACAAGCUUGCUAGACUGAGUGAACAUUGGAGAAAAAGAAUCAUCAUACCAAAUUAAUCGAGAAUUGGAACUCUAAGUUUGUGGUUAUUUUUGCACAAAAGAUGAUGUGGUUAUGGUUGCACAAAAAUCAUCACACCACCAUUACUACCCCUUUUUAUUUAAGGAUUGCAAAGGGAUCAUCGCAUCUGUCUAGCCAAAAUAUCCAGCUUCAUGGCCAAUAGCUUGCUAUUUUGAGCUUUGAGGUCCUUAAUUUGCCUCUCAUUGGUAGCAACCUCAUUAGAAAGCAACUUGAGGAGCCUCUGAUCAACAACAACUUAUAUGCUUGAGGAACCAAGAACUAUGCCUACAUUUGUGCCAAUAGUUUCAGGCAUUAUUGUCUCUUAAGUAGGUGUUUCUUCCUCUUGCACAUUCCCAGGGUCUAAGGGAGCAUGUUUACCUUUUAGCCACUUGUGGGAGAACUUCAGCUCCAGAGGCAUAUUCUCAUACUUUUCAGUAGCCUUAACAAUUUUAUCACUUUGCAAAAACAAUAUUUGAAAUAUGAGAGAUGGAUAAAGGAGACUGGGCUUACUGUAAACCUUCUCAGCAUGUCGACAUAUUUCACUAAAGAUCAAGUCUCCAAUAUCGAACUGGACCCCAAUUCCCACAUUCCUUAACAAGGUGGCCAUAUUCUUUGUCACAUUGUGUCUCUGGCUAUUGAGAAGCAAUCCUCAUAGCUAUGGCAUAAAGGGUAGCAUAUGUUGGUUCCAAAGUAGAUAAGUGUAGUUUAACACCAACAGGAUAGUUAAGGUGAACACCAUUUGUAAUAUGUACAACAAUUAUGUCUUUAGAUUCCCCAAACUUCACAUCCUUAGUGCAAGGGUGGUGAAGCAAGUGUCUAAUGUGUUAAGGUUAAACUAUACCAUCUUUCUCGUACAUAAACUCGGUGAUGUAACUUGUUGGUGGGGUUAUUUAUAGUUUGCAACAAGUUGGCAUAGAACUCCAACACAAUCUGCUUGACAUAAAGCUAAACUAAUUGAGCAGAUAUGAGAAGCUCAUUCUUCCCCAGGAUAGUGUUGAUAGUAGGGUUACCAAAACUUUUCUCAUGGAUAUUUUGCUCCAUAAUAAUAUUGUUCUUGGUCAAGGCAACAUAUCGUUUAGCACUUGCAGUGGUGAUGUAUAGCCUAUCAUAGGUUUGCAAUAAUGUAUCUUCAUAUUGCUUUCUUUCUUUCUCAGAAAGCUUUCAAGGGUCUGCAUCCCUUAAACUUUUAGUAGGCUGCUUGGAAGAGAUUAGCAUCAAUACCAAGCUGGGGAGAAAAAAAUGUAUUAUUCAAUCAAAUAGUGGAGGAAUUGGGGUUACCUUGUACGAUAACCUCCACUAGAAACUCCAAACAUGAUGUAAAAGAGUCAGAAGCAAGAGGGUUGAUGAAAGCAUGUUCAAUUUUAGCAAAAACUAGGGUAAUAACCUCUAUUGGCUCAAAAGAUUCUUCAAGGCUUGUUCUUUUCUAUCCUUUUGGUCUUUUGUACCAUCAAUAGCCUUCUCUUGGGCCACCUUAGAUGGUUCAUCUACUCCCGGGGCAGUCUAUUUUAUCUCAUGGUAACCAUUACAUCUUCCUUCAUGAAAAGUUAAUUACUAUCAAAUAGUAAUCAAAUCAUUCAUCACAAAGACGAACGACCCAUGACCAUGUUUACUUUUCCUCUACCAUGUAAUGCUAAUGAGAGGAUAUUAUUUAUCUAUAUCUUGAGCUAUGAAUUCUACUAUUGUGAAUGACACUACGUAAUGCAGAAGUUGCAUACCUAACGCACCAACAUUUGAUUCUUUAUCUAUUUGAACUCAGGCUUUUACUUACUUUAAAGUAUAUGAGUCACGUAUGCAUAGUUUGUCAUCCACUUAAGAUUAAGGUAUGCCACACUAUGGAUGUCACAAGUGAAUAAAUCUAUAAACGGAUUCAAGAUAUAUUCUCCUUGGGCCUCGUCCAAUGUACUGUCAGUCCAGUCAAUCACAUCUAUGUCUUUAUCUUCUGAGAGUCAUCCACUCCGAUGCCCAAGACAAGACAUCUCCCCAAUUGGACUUGAUAGAUUACAUAUUAGUCUUUCAAUCGAUUUACUCAUUUCUGAUUAAACUAAGGACAUGUCUAGGUUCGUCUACUAAUAUAAGUUGUCUUUUCAUAUUACGAUCUGACCUAAUACCCCUUAGUAUUAGUUUAAACAUUAGACAACCGGUGAGCCAAUGUUUGCUUUUGUUUUGCUUUGCAUACAAAAACUACAUGAAGACAUUAUACAAAGAGUAUUAAUGUAAUCCAUGAAUUAUUUUAUUAACUAAUUUGUUUGAAAAAAUUACAUGUUUACAAACGAAUAUACUAUACUUAGGACACCAGAUCCAACAAUCACCUACUUGCCCUAGUAAAGUAGAUGAGUCAUGUUUUGCAUUCUCAUGCUAUCUACGUAUUUCUCAAACUCCUAGCUAUUAGAGUAUUGGUAAACGGGUUUGAAAGGUUGUCCUCAGAUGCGACCUUAACUACAUCUAUGAUUUCGUCUGCAACUGCCUUCCUUAUAAUGUGAUACUUUCUACCAAUCUUUUUGUAAAGCAUAAAGCAACAGUCAUCCUCAUUUCAAACAUUUGUUGUUAAUCUCAAUCUCUCCCUUUUUAGCAAAGAUAUCAAAAGAGCUCGCUCACACUAAGAGAUCUCCAUUUAUCGAAUUAAAAUUUUCAACCAAAACUUACUUAUUUAUUCCAUUUUGCUUUAUAACAUAAUUUAUAAGAAAAAGAAAUACCUUCUCUCUUUGUUUCUAUUUAGCAUUAUUAGUUUAACUAUUAUUUUACAUAUGUUUUAGAAAUAUUUUUAUACCAAUGAAUCAUAUUAUUAUACUCGUUGGUGUAGGAGUAUUUCAAAUUUUAAUCUUUUCAUUGAUUAAUCUUUCUUUUCGUGUUUUCAGAGAACUUUGUUUUUGGGCGAAAGUCUCUCAUAACUAAGCCCGCAAUUUGAGAAAAGUUUAAGUAAAAAAAGUUUAACUACCAGAUUGAGAAAAAUUGUAUAAUUAAGGUGUAAUUUGUAAAUUAAGUCAACAUUGUAUAAAAUAAAAUUUUAAAAAAUAUUUUUAUAAUUUCAUAAUUAAGUUAAUAGCAACUCAAAAAAGUGAAAAUAAUAAUCCAAACAAAUAGCAAAAGUAUUUAACAGGCCCGCCCGAAAUAUGGGAGGGUUCGGGUAAAAAUAUAGGCCUGAAAUAUGGGCUUAGGCAAAAAACGAGACCCGUUUAGAAAACGGACCGGGCCUCGGGCAAAAUUUUUUUGGCCCGGGCCCGGCCCGACCUUGCCGAAAAUAAUAUAUAUUUUUUAUUUUUUAAAACAUUUCUUCCCCAUUUCCCCCAUUUCCCCGUUUCCCCUCUUCCAGAAAUCCCUAGUGCCUGACUGCCCUCCUCCAUUUUUUUCUCAACCUUCAACUCCGGCACCGAUCCACUUCCAGUCCGGCACCGAUCCACCUUCGGUCCUCCACGGCUCCACCCAUUUCCCCCAUUUCCUGUUUCCCUUCUUCCACAAAUCCCUAACCACUUGCCCGACUACCCUCCUCCCUUUUUUCUCAACCUCCACCUCAGGUCCUCCACGGCUCCACUCAUUUCCAGAAUUAGAGGUUAGUUUUCUUUAUUUCAAAAUUCAAAGUUAUAUUAACAGUGUUAACCCUAGUUUAUUCGGUUAAAUUCUCAUUAGACAUUUAGUUAGUUUUCUUUAUUUUUUCUUUCUUUGAUCUUUACUAUAAAUAUAAGUCUUAGACAAUGAUGUGAAUACAAAUGGGUUUACAGAUUUGUUUCAAGGUUUAUAGGUUAUGGUACUUUGAUUUUUUGAAAGACUACAAAAUCCAUUUGUAUUUUUGCACUGAAAGUAGCCUGUAGGCGUGAAAGUACGCAGUAUUAUCAACUAAUGAACAACUAAUGCCUUUUUUGCUGGUACUGUUAUUAGAUUGAAAACAAUGCCUUACAUAGCGACAUAUACUAUUUUGCAACAUAGCAUAUAGCCACAUAUUUUAUUGGGUUAUUGGGUUAUAUGAAGUUAAUUAUUUUUAUCAUAUUUCAUCCAAAACUAUUAAACUGUAGUAAUAUGAUUUGUUUUUGUUUUGCUUAAAGUUUAAACCAAAGGUUUGGAGGCAUAAUUAAUAUUUUUCAUUCCUGUACUUUAUAAACUUCCUCCUACAAAAGCACCUAUUCCUAUAGACCCUAUUUCUUUUUGCAUAAGAAAAGCAAAGGCUCCGUUUCCUUUUUAUGAGAAAUUGAAACAAAAAUUGUAAAUUAUUAUGAAUUUAUCUCUUUAUAUUUAAAAAUACAAAUUGUUCAAACUAUUUUAAAAAAAAUAUGUAAUGAUGUUUGUAUUGAAAGGAAUAAAAAUUGAGUUCAAAAUUCAAAGUUCAAAGGCUUUGGAGAUUAAGAGGAUAAUGUGUACUCAGUUAUAUUCCUCCACUGAUAUUGAAAUUUUCAUUGUUGCUUAUCCAAUCAUAUUGGUAGAACUCAUGUUGGUAGAACUCUAAAAUAAAAAAAAAAGAAGAAAAAGAAUAAAUGAAUUAAAGGCACUGGACAGGGAGGUAGAUAAUAAUGGUUUCCCAUUCAUUCAAUAAGCCACGAAAUGUGUGGUGUGGACUGUGGAGUCCCGUAAUAAUAAUGUUUUGACUUUGUUUUAUUGUAGAAACAAGCUAUUGACUAUUGAGGCAAAAAAAACAGCAGGCCCAAGCAGGUUGCUAUCACACCUUUCCUUCGAAACAAUCAACCUUAGCGACUUUUCCUAAAUGAUGUGUGUUUUUUUAGUAUUACUUAAAGACAUGUGACAAGUUUGAUCUUGUAUCACAAGGCUAGCAUAGUUAAAUAACUAGUUUAUUAUAUUGUGCAAUAUAUGAGUUCAGUAUUAUACUAUUUAUCUUUUUAUUCUUAGCGUCGAUGGCAUUAUUAGGAUAAUUAAAAAAUUCAAGUAAAGUUCUUGACAUCAUGAUAUGUGCAAGUACUAGGAUUUGGACUAGUUCACCUUAUGACCUUUUUUGAUCACCUUUUGAAUUUGAAAUUGAGUCUUGGAGCUGGCGACCAUGCUUGAUUUCUGCAAAUCUUGUUUGCAAUAUUGUUUUCAUCCCUUUUAUGGCUUUUAUUAAAUCAAUUUGAGUUAAUGCAAUUUUGGAUGAAUUUGCUUGCUUCUUCUUCUGCUCAAAAGCUCUAAUUUGUCUUGAAGUACUUCCAGGUUAAUUUCUUUCUUUCUUUUGCUACUUCCUCUAUGCGAUUUGCUUUUAUUUUCUAUAAAGUUGUUAAAAAAACAAUAGUAAAUGGUGGACAACAGGUUCAUUAUUUAUUAAGAAUCAAAACUUAGAAUGUAAUACUAGAUCAAUUCUAACAUAAUUUUUAUAGAUAACAUAAUUAGUUUUAAGAAAAAAAAACUGGGUCAGGCCGGGGCGGGCCCGGGUUUCGUAUUUUUCUCGGGCCGGGCCUAGACAAAACUCAGGCUCAUAUUUCGGGCCGGGCCAAGCCCGGGCCUAGGAAGCGGGAUGAAAAUUUUUUUGGGGCUCGGCCCAAACCCGACCCAUGAACACCUCUAUUCAUAACCCGACCAUCUUUAUAUCACUUCAGCUAAAAAAAAGCCAUCUCUUUUUUCCUUUUUUUUUUACAUAUUUCUCCUUUCUCUUUCUUGAAAAAAAAAAAAAUUCUCCUCUCUUUUUCUCUCAAGUUUUUUUAAAAAUUUAAUUAUGCCUCCAUCCUUAUACUCUUUCAACUUUUAAAAUUUAAUCUUCUUCAUAUUAUUUUUUAAGAAUUUAAUUACUCUAUUUAUCUUAAUUUUAUUAAAUUUGAAUGUUUUGUAUUUUAAUAUUUAAAGAUCUGAUUUAAAAAUAAAAUUUUAGUUGAUAACACAUAUUUAUAUUUAGAAGAAGUAUAUCAAAAGUGUUCUCAAUUAAAUUUUAAUUUUUAAAUCAAUGAGUAGAUGGAUUAAAAUUUUAAAACUAUAAGCAGAAGGAUUAAAUUUCGAAAAUAUGAAGAAUAUAGGGACUGAUUGCAUAAUUAGACUUUAAAUAUAUUUAUGAAAAAAAGAAAAGAACUAUGAUUUAAUUUUCUUUUUAAAUUAUUCUUCACUUCUAAAACCCUAAAGAAUCAACUUUUCUUUUCCUCCAAUCUCCAUCACCACUCCUUAGGUAACCUUUCACUUCGAAAAUCAAUGUUUUCCUUUUUCAUUUCAAUGUUAUUACAUGGCGGCUUUCUGACCACUGGUUGGCACUUAUAUGACUUUGUUGUUGUUUUAUUGGUGGAUACAGUGUUUCCAUUUCGAAGUGAAUCAUGGCGAGGAAGAUGUUAGUUGAUGAGGAAAUGAACCAAACGAAUCAAGAGGAGGCUUAUUAUGAUUUCGACUUGUUUGUUAUCGGUGCCGGGAGCGGUGGCGUUCGUGCUGCCAGAUUCUCCGCUAACUAUGGAGCUAAGGUUUCUCAAAUUUCUAGCUUCUCUUACUUUAAUCAAAUCGAAUUUGUUCAAAGUGAUAUCAAUUUCUCAAAAUCUGUUAGCUUGAUAAAUACUUAUUUUAAUGUAUUAAAUAUGUUAAUCGAUUCUAAAUGGGAUGUUUUUGUGCGAAUUGGGUGAACAUAUUCCUUAAAUUAGCAACGGUGAAGAGUAUAGCGUUUGAAGGAGGUUGUGUUUUGGGUUAGUGUGAUAAAUUGAAUUGAUAUUAAGCGUAUGCUGAAGUUUGAAGUAAAAAAUAUAUAAUAAAAUGCGAAGAAAAAAAAGAAAGAAGGAAGUUAUCAUCAUUACCUGUGUUUAAUUGCUUCAUUCUAAGCAAUGGAAAUGGAAAAAAAAAUGUUAGGGUGUUUUUCUUCUAUGUCAUUGUAUUUUGCUGGUGCUGUAGUAGUUGUUCAGCUUAAUGGAAAUCUUUUAAUGGGAUGGGUUAAUUAGACCUAAAAUUUUUUCUGUGUUUGCCAAAAUAUGGUACUGAUAUUUAAAAAAAAAAAAUGAUUGCUAUCUUCUUUACAUUAAGAUCUUUACUAUUAAAUUUGAUCGCAAAACCAUUUGUGCAUUUUCAUUUUUGCUGUGGUGAAGUGUUGGUCAUUGGCUUCUUGCGCUUUUUCACAUUGUUUUCUUGAAUUUAGUUUGACUUUUUUAUUUGUGUUCGCCAAAAUAUGGUACUGAUAUUUAAAAAAAAAAAUGAUUGCUGUCUUCUGUUACAUUAAGAUCUUUACUAUUAAAUUUGAUUGCAAAACCAUUUGUGCAUUUUCAUUUUUGCUGUGGUGAAGUGUUGGUCAUUGGCUUCUUGCGCUUUUUCACAUUGUUUUCUUGAAUAUAGUUUGACUUUUUUAUUGCUAUUGUGUUUAUUUUUCUUUUCGAAUAUAUAUACUUUUUGGCUUAAGAAUUCAAAUGUUAUCUGUCUAUAUGUUUAUUAAUUAAAUCAAAUUUCAUGUAGGUUGGGAUUUGUGAGCUCCCAUUUCACCCAAUUAGUUCAGAAGUCAUUGGAGGAGUUGGUGGGACGUAAGUUGAUUAUUUUGAUAAUGUAGAUAGUUUUGCUUCAUCUUUGCUAUGUUUGCUUAUCAUUUUUGUCUCACAUUUUGUUCAUAGGUGUGUUAUUCGUGGUUGUGUUCCCAAAAAGAUUUUGGUCUAUGGAGCGGCAUUUGGAAGUGAACUUGAGGUGAGACUGUGAUUUCAAUUAGAAUCAUAUUAGAUGGAAAAUCUCUAACUUAAUUUAUAGAAAAUUUCUUAUGUGCUUUGUUACAAUCUUGACAAGAUGUUGGCUUAUAAAUUUGUACAAGAUUCAAGAAUAGGAGGAUAUUUCUAUAGUAUCAGUCUAUUCAAUAAUGUGUUUACUACCUUCUUAUGCUAUGGUUGGACUGUUGGGGCACAUAUAGCUAUUUGCCCAUUGCCAUUCCAAAGUCAUUAGAAUUCUCAUAUACCUUCAGAUUUGGCUUUAUUUUGAGGGAAAUAGGUAGCAAAGUAGGUUUGUUUCAGGCUAUAAAUAACCUCUCCAUUAGGAAUGAUAUCCAUGCCCGCUUGAGAAUUCUAUUCUGGUUUAGCCUUCUAUCCUUUGUUACCCAGGCUUGGCAGUUUGGGGUGCCGUACCUGUGUUGACAUGAUCCAACAUGAGAUACAGAUCAGAUCCAGCGAAAAUUGGUGGAUAUGGCGGUGGGUGAGAACUGAGAAGAGAAGAAAAUGCAAAAAAGGAAGAAGAAAAACCCAAGAAGGAAAGGAAAAAGAAACAAGAAGGGUACAGGGCGGUGGCACUCAUCAGAAAGCUUUGGGGAGAGAAAGAACAAAAUAAACCCUUGAAGAAGAGGCUAUAAUCAAUUAAAAAAAAGAUGAAGUUUUGAUAAAAAAAGAAAAUGGAAGUUUUGGAGAGAGAAAGAGAGCACGGCGGCAGCUUAGGAAAAGAAAUUGAGAAGGGUCGGCUUAGGGUUAGAAAAUGAAAAGGAUAUUUAUCUUUUUUACUUUAUUUUCAUAAAUUUUAAAGGAAAAAGAAAAUCCAAUGAAACCCUUUUCAUGUGCUUUGCUAUUCAGCCUCCAUAUACACACUUUUCAAAGAUUUGUGAUAAUUCAAAUUUGGUCCUUGGGAAAAGUUGGAUUAUAGAAAAUACAUACUAGAAUGUCAUUUAUCAAAUUUGGUCCAAUUUUUGAAGGUGUCUGAGUACUUGUGUUUAAAAUUUGGAUUGUGUUCCUGCGUCUAAAAUUUUGAGACUUGACGAGUACUUCACUUGGAUCUUUACCCAUGUCCGAAGUCCAGGUAAUGACAAUCUAUUUCAUAUGGACUGUUUGUAUUCAUCAUGCAAACCAUAUAUAAUUCAGGCUAUAACCUCUCCCAUAGGAAUGAUGUCCACGCGUGCUUAAGAAUUCUAUUCUGGUUUAGCCUUCUAUUUGGAAUGUUUGAUAGUUCUCCAUCCUGUUAUUGCUCUAAGUUUUCUUUUUCUUUUUUUCUUUAAAUCAAUAAAGAUGUGGUUGACAGAGAUGACUAUGCAUUUGAUAUGGACUGUUGUUUAUAUUCAUUAUCCAAAAAUUGUUAUUAUUAUUUUUCGAAUUUUCUAAUUCAGUUAUUCCACCCUCCCCCUUUUUUUUUCUUCUCUUCUUUUCUGUUAGAUUCUAUUUUAAGCAUGUAUUCUGUUGUCUUUGGCAUGAAGCAAUCUGACAUGUUUAGUUAACCAACUGCUAAUGCUUGGUAACUGAAUUGUUUUUUGUUUUUUUUGUAGGAUGCUCGGAAUUAUGGAUGGGAGUUGAAUGAGAAACUUGAUUUUAAUUGGAAGAAGCUUCUACAUAAAAAGGUUUAUUAUAGUAUCCUUCAGUACCCUUUUAUUUUUAUUUAGUUAUAUAUUUUAAAUUUUCAGAAAUUUUAUUUUAUUUUUUACCUCUUGAACUUGUAGACUGAUGAAAUAAUCCGAUUAAAUGGAAUUUACAAGCGGUUAUUAUCAAAUGCUGGUGUUAAAUUGUUUGAAGGGGAGGGAAAGAUUGUAGGUCCAAAUGAAGUUGAGGUGACACAACUGGAUGGCACCAAAUUGUCCUAUUCAGCAAAGCAUAUACUAAUUGCAACUGGCAGCAGGGCACACCGUUCUCCUAUUCCUGGGCAGGUUUAUACAUUGUCCCUUCUCGAAUGAUCAAAAAGUUUAUGCAAUGUGCUGAAUUUGGUAUUUUAUAAAUACUAUGUAGCUUUAUGAUGACAUUAGCUUCUCAUUUGUUGUACCAAAUACUUAUAACUGCCAUACCAUUGAUUCAGGAAUGAAAUUUUAUUUUAAUUGCUUUUAAGCUAUACCUUUUACUUGACUCAAAUUACCUUGAUGUUAAUUUGGUUGCUACAUAUGGUAUAGAGGCAAUAUUCAAACUUAUGGAGUGAAUUAUGUAGCUUUAGAGGUAGCAUGAUUUAGAAUAGUAGUGUGAAUGUGACCUAAUUAUGAUCUUUUGCUUCUUCUAUCAAAAUCACCAAUUUUGUUUAUAUGUAAUAUGGAUGGCAUGUGGUUGCAGGUAUGCAGGUUUGGUUCAUUACCUAUUGACUUUUUCUUUUAAAGUGAGCUAAUAAAGAGAUUUCAUAUAAUUAUUCAUGAACUUUAGCUUCUUGUUUUCACAAGCAUUCUAUUGUUACAGGGAUAUUGGAUAAACUUUGGGCCAACCUUUUACUUUUUCUUGCUGGCUUCGUGUGCUUGAUUGUUUUUUGUUUGUAACUAGUAUUAGAAUAUGACCAAACUUAAAAUAUGGACAAAGUGCAAAUGGUUACUAGAUUUGAUAUGUUUCUAAAACAUCACUGCUAGCGUUCCCAUUUCUUGUUUCUUAAUUCUCCCUGAUUUAUGUUUUAGGAGUUGGGCAUAACUUCUGAUGAAGCAUUGAGUUUGGAGGACUUGCCUAAGCAUGCUGUUGUAUUUGGAGGAGGGUAUGAUAGAUGUCCUAUUUGCAUGUUCAUUCUUUUCAUCUGCUCAGUUUGCUAACAUCUGAAGAUGAUUUGUACUCAUCCAGGUACAUUGCUGUUGAGUUUGCAUCAAUAUGGAGAGGGUUGGGCGCUAAUGUCGACCUCUUUUUCAGAAAGGAGCUUCCUUUGAGGUUCUUAUUCAGUCUGAUUUUAUCCAUUACUGUCAGAUUUUUGUGGUAUUUCAUAAGAACUCCCUGAUCUUAUCUAAGUUAAUUUUAUUUGAUGUUUUUUACAAGUCCUAUGGUGAUUAUAAUUGUUUUAGAUCUGUCCUCUUAAACUGUUUAGAAAUUUCUGCUUCAUACUUUAUGUGUACCUCUGAUGUUUUCACUGGCAUUUCAUUUGGAAGUUAAAAGUGUUCCAAUCUGUUGUGGGCAUUUGGUAGUUCUUUAAAAUGAUUUAAAUAUAUUCAUAAGAAAAUUACCAAGACUGUUAUGAAACGGGAAGAGAUGGGCUUUAGGUUUAUAACUGAGGGUGGGGACCAAGAUUAGAAGUGGUAAGAUAUAUGUCUAUCCUGCAGAGGGUUUGAUGAUGAAAUGAGGGCAGUGGUUGCUAGAAAUCUGGGAGGAAGGGGAAUUAAUUUGCAUCCACAGACGAAUUUGACUGAGGUACUCAGUUUUUAAAUUUUAUUCAGUUUUUCUUUUAUAUUCCAUCAAUAUUUGUUAGUUUAUACUAAUCUAUUUUCUUAUAACUGUGAAUUCAGUUGAUUAAAACAGAUAAUGGCAUAAAAGUUACUACAGACCACGGUGAAGAGUUGAUAGCAGAUGUUGUACUCUUUGCCACAGGUGGUUGCAAUCCCUUUCUAGACCCUGAUAAAAUUUUUUCUUACUUCCAUAUCCUUGUUUAGUUUAUUCCAUUUUAUUUUUCUCUCAAUCUCUUGUAGAAUUCUAUAUUGAUGUCUGAAAGACCUGCCUUUUUUAUUUCUUGGAUGAAUGGCAAUGACCAUUACACCGUUUAGUUCCACAGGUGCCCAUUUGUGAUAACAUUCUGCUUCUCACCCUUUUUGGGUUACUAUCAGUUCUAAAUGUUCAGAGACUGAAUGUCUUCCUGCUUGCUUCAUUUAUUCAAUUUGUCAUAAAAUUGUCAUUAGCUCUUUCUCUCUCGCUCGCUCGUGUAUAUCCGUGAUAAACGUUUAUUUUAUGGUCAUUCAACAUUGCCUUUAUCUUGAUGAUUAAACUUGCAUGCAAUGUUAAAUAUUCAAAAUAUAGUAGUUCUCAUAUUUGUCUUAAUCAUUACUCUUUGAAAAAUUUGAAAAGUAAAUGCAUUGAAAUUGGUACUUUGAACCUUACUUAUUUUGUAUUUCUUUUAGAUUUGUUAGUGAAAUUUUGAAUUACUCGCUACUAAUUGGUGCAGUUCUAUAUAAGUACUUAUUCAUGCUUUUGAAGGUCCUGGUAAUAUUAUUCAAUGUCUUUUAAGAUCUGAAUCUUCUGCAUUUGAACUUUCAUAUGUUUCACAAACUUGGUAUACUGAGGGCCUGCUAUUAUCAUUGAGAAUAUACUUCUUUUGGGAGAUAUUUUGACUUUGUUGUCAGUUGGAGUGUUGAUUUUCUCUCCUGUUUAUUACAGGCAGGUUACCAAACUCGAAGAGGUUGAAUCUGGAAGCUGUAGGUGUGGAACUUGAUAACACAGGAGCUGUGAAGGUUUUUUGUUAAGCCGUCUCUUAUACAUGUUUCUUAUCAAAUAUUAGUAAAUUAUUUUCUUGAAAUAAGUUGGCAUCUGAAUAAUGUCAACUUGCAUGCGUAUGAUUUUAAUGCCACAAAUCUGAUGCUGUGUUUCUUUAUUUCCUGUUUCUUUUGGAUAAUUUAUUUUGACUUGUACCAUGGAAGUAUGGAAUUUUACUCCCCGAUAGGCUGAUAGUGUUUAAGAAGGCAUGCCUAUAGAAAGAACUAUGCAUAGCUUCAGAGCUUAUAAUAUGUAAAGCUAAAAUGGCCUUCUCUAAGUGACAUUGUUUGUGCUGCAUUUCGUUUUAUUUGUGCACCUUGUUCAUUUUGUCCACAUCUUUGAUCUAUAUAUAAAGAUAACUUAUUUUCCAAUUUUCGUUCUGAAUGGUUUGUUGGAUAUUUAGUUUACAUAAUUAUGUUAAUUACAUUGUGUAUGUUCUCCUAUAUUGCAUGAAAAUAACAGUGGCAUGACCUAGUUGAAUUUUUAUUACACUAAUGUCAAUCUAUCUUCAUCUUGCAGGUGGAUGAGUACUCACGUACUAGCAUUCCUAGUAUAUGGGCUGUUGGUGACGUUACAAAUCGGAUGAACCUAACUCCUGUAGCCUUAAUGGAAGGAACCUGCUUUGCGGCAAGUGUUCUGUCUGAAGCUCUUAUAUUUUACCUGUAUCAAGCAUGCUAUUUUGCCCCCACUUAAGCAAUCACAUAUGAUUACUUGAGCAAUCACAUAUGUUAAACUUUUUUUUAAUGCAAUGACAUGUUUCUUCCCUUCUCUUUUUGUUUUCUGGGGAAAUGCUUGCAGAAAACUGUUUUUGGUAAGGAACCUAGCAAACCAGACUACAGCCAUGUACCUUGUGCUGUUUUUAGGUAAUGAGAUCUCUCUUUACAUCAUGCCUCUGGUGGUGGUUUUGUUGGUGUAUGGAUAAUUUAAUUUAAUCUACAGUAUAUCAAUAAAAAAUCAUGUUUAAGUUUCUUACUUCUGAGGACCGUAUGAUUUAGAGUUGUUCUAGUUAUUGGGUUUUUUAUCCUUACUCGGAGCGCUGUUCAAAUUUUCUGUUGAGUACCAGUACCACAUUUACUGUUGGACCUAUGCAUUUAUUAUCUUUUCAUAUGGCUAGUGUCCAUUUAUCUUUUUACAUUCCAUUUUUCCUUUUAGUAAAUUAAUUGCUGUGCCCAUUUGUUAUUUUGCAGCAUCCCUCCACUUUCUGUUGUUGGUCUCAGUGAAGAGCAGGCAAUUGAGCAAGCAAAUGGUGAUGUUCUGGUUUUCACAUCAACCUUCAAUCCGAUGAAGAACACUGUAUCUGGGUAUGAUGAUGACUUUGAGAUGUUAUUGCACAGAAAUAAAUAAAUAAAAAGAGAAAAUGUUAACCAGUACAUAGUGGCAUUGAUUUCAUUGUACUUGUAAAAAGAAAAGUGUAAUUAUUAUAUUGCUUCUUCUUGAAUUCAGUAAGAGUAGCUCAUUAAAAGUAAUAUUUUCCCUAAAAUAGUAAUUAAAAAAUCCUUAACCAAUAGCUAAAGGUGCCCGUUAAUAAGAACCUAUAUAAAAAUAUGCAACCAUCUUUGUGUUAGCCCCUCCUGCCUUUUCCUUUUUUCUGACAGUUUCAUCUAUCAAUUAAUUUGUAUAACAUAUGGCUUCAUUUGCAUCUUUUACUAGAUUGUGUUCUCAGGAAUUGGUUUUACACUUGGAGACCUCAUUUUUUAAGCAAGUUUGUUUUGUUGUUUUUUGGUUGCCCCCCCCCCCCCCCUCUUUAAUUUCUAGGAUCAAAGUUUCAUACUGACAGAAGUUUAAGGUAGUAAAUUGAGAAGCUUGUACAAUGUGGCUUUGGGAUGCAAUCUUAUAUUCUUUGUAUAGUCAUAUUUGGGUUUCAAAUCUUCUAUUUUUCCUAAUAUAAUGCAUCUAAUGUUUUUUGACACUAAGGAGGCUAGUGUUUCCUUUUGAAAAAUAUUAACAAUAUUUUCAAUAUUGUUCAAUUCUUGUAUGUACUAUUAGUACUUUUUGUUCUUUGCAAUCCAUAAAUUUCUCCUCUUCUGCUUCUAGACGGCAAGAAAAGACUGUUAUGAAGUUAGUCGUUGAUGCGGAGACUGAUAAAGUACUCGGUGCAUCUAUGUGUGGUCCAGAUGCACCUGAAAUUAUGCAGGUACUUUGUUUGUUGGUUCUUUUGAAGUACAUACGUGUCUCCAUUUGUCCGUAUAAAUACUAAUGCCUUGGUAAUUUAAAUAAAGAUUAUGGUAAGCAAUAUGAAUUUAGUUGGUAAUGUGGUCUGAUUUUGCAAGUGAAUAGGGUAAAUUCUACAUAGCCCUAAGAAAAUUUAAUUGGAUUGAGAUAGUACAUUGUUUUACGAUCAACAUUUUCUUACAUUGCCUUUUUUCCUUGAUCGAAAAUUCAAGUACUAGAGAAUAUUGAAAACUCUGAUGCCAAAAGAGGAUGAUUUCUAUGUCAUCAUGGACUUCCUAGAGACCUUGCCCCUUCUAGUAGAAUGUAGAUGCACCAUCUUAUGCUGCAAUUAUUGCUUGAUCAUAUUAAUGAGUAUGAUUCUUUUUUUAUUUAAAAAAUUUUCUUCCAUUUGGAGGGUCAUAUCCUCGUAUAUCUAUAUUUGUGUUGGAUGUGGAUAUUCAAAAAACAAAAAAAAGAAAGAAAAAAAGAAAAAAAAGGAGAGUCAAUGAAAUUGCUAUUUUUUUUCAAAAUAUUAUGCAAAUGGCAAUGAUUAGUUGUGCCCAAUUUUGUGUGUGGUUUUGCCUUGCAUAGGUUGCAUAAGGUAGGUGAACUACACAGCAAAGUUAUAUGCCUGAUGGCCUUGCUCAUUGUUUUCUCUUGCAAUAGGCUGCAUUCAAGAAUGAGGUGAACCACAUUGCAUAUUAUAGGCCAAAUAAUCAUAGCUCUAAUGUUUUCUUUUUGGUUUUUCAUUUUAGGGCAUUGCUGUUGCACUGAAGUGUGGAGCGACUAAAGCACAAUUUGACAGCACAGUAAGUUGAACUCGUCUUCAAAACUAGUUUUCUGGUUUGACUUAUGCACUCUAAUACUAUACUUUAGAUUGAUUUAACAUCAAGCUGCAUUUGCUAUCUCAAACCAAUUAGGUGAAGCUGUUUCUUUAGGCAGAGUAAUUUUUUAGCUAGAGGCAAUGAAUAGCAAAUAGUUAACCCGUAGAUUGUCAAUUAUGUGUUUGCAUGAGCAAAGAUUUGACGUACUUCUCGUUAUGAUAAUUAUUUUGUCUGAAAAUGCAAAGGUAGAUGUUAUAAUCAUUGGCUACACACUGUAGCUUUUCCAAUAUAAUUAGUUUGCUUAUUUAUGGAGGACAAGAUUUUGGAACAUCGUUUUUUUUAUUUCUUCAAGGAUUUAUCUGACCCUGGCCAUCCGAGCUUAUCCCGUUUGUGAAAUUUCUUAUACAAUAAACCCAUAUAAAAUAAUACAAUUGGGGCUAAGGAAAAAAGAUAUUAAGUAAUUUUAAUUUUCAAUAAAAUGAUUAGAUUAUUCAUUACUUUAUAAAGAAUUUUAUGCUUAAUUCUUAUAUUUGUAUAUUAAUAUUUUCUUUUAAUAAAAAAUACGUGGAUAACUUAUAAAUGAGAAACACUAAACAGAGACAACAAUUCAUAUUUACAUUGAAUUUUUGAAGUUAAUGUGUCAAGUGUGUCGUGUUCAUCGCCAAAUUAAAGAUGACGUUCAAUUUGUUUAUGUAAAAAGAAAGCGCUUAUUUUGAGAAAGAGUUUAAAUGAAAAGGUAAAAAAUUGUUAAGUGAAAAUUUGCUUGUAUUUGUUAGGCUCUAAAGAAAUGUUUAAAAAAAAUUAUUAUGCACUAAUAAAAUUAUUUUAAUGCAUUGAUCCUAGUCAAGAGUGAGUUUAUUAAUGGGAAUUUUCAUUUAUUGAGCAAGUUUUUGAACUCUUUUCCUCAGGUCGGCAUACAUCCUUCCGCUGCCGAGGAGUUUGUGACCAUGCGAUCUGUUUCACGGCGUAUUACCUGUAGCGGGAAACCAAAGACAAAUCUGUAGACAACAUAUCAAGGAAACUUGCAGUCCUGGUGAUAUAGAAGCAACAUUUCUUAUGAUCAUAGAUAUUUCAGAGAAAAGGUAAUAGUUAAUUGGUAAGGGUUAUAUUUGGUUUGAUCUUUAUUCACAAUAAAAGGCUCAUCUAUCUUAUUUUAUGUUGUAUUUGUUAAAAAUAGUGGCCACCACCAAUGUAUUUUUACCUUUGUACCUUAUCAGCGUACUGAAAAAUUUGGAUUAGCAUCAUUGAGUUCUGUAGUAAUGAAAAGUUAUUAUUGGACUAUGUUAACGGUUUAGUUACAUUGUCUGUUCAAUAUUUUAGAAUUUGUUUGUGUUUGAAUGAUCAUAUGUUUUUGUAGUUUUGUACUGAAUAUGCGUCGGAUAGGCAUUUCAAGGAAAAGAAAUGAAGAUUACGUAUAUUUUAACUCGAGUGGCUUUUUGCUGCUAUACUAGGGGCCAAAAUCCAAAUGCCAGGAUUACAAUACAAACAAUAUAUAAUGGUUUGUAUUUGAUAUACUGUGAUUUAGAUAAUGUCAAGUUAUUGAAUUUUUUAUUUUUAAUGAAAUAACAUCGUUUGAUUCAUUUAACAGCAUGGUUUUAAUGAAGUAAAUGAAAACAUUUUCAUGCUCUCCCAUUUUAUUGAUCUCAUGCAAAUUUCAGGAGUUAGCAAUACAAUUUACAGUUCUCAUGAAGGGAGAAGUGAGAUCCAGUUUACACAGUACAAUUUUCAGUUAUAAGCCUUAGGAAGGAAAAUAGAAAGAACCCUAAAUCAACGGCCUCAUAGAAUCUUAACUAUGUAACUUUUAUAAUUACAAAAUUUAUGUUGGGGAGUUUUAGUCAUGGUAAAUUUACAUUGUUUAUUGGAGAAAAGAAAGGAGAUCAUUCUUCUAUCUUCACCAAUCAAUAUUGGUACUCGAAAUGGCAACCGUCGUAACCUGUUUUCACACGAAAGUUUAACACAAAUUAAUAGCCCAUUUUAUAACAAUAGAAGCUUUUCACCGGGUCUUGGCUUGACAAAACUCUGUAAGAGCAUAAGAUUUGAGUUUUUAGUAGUGUCAGAUUGAAUUGUAAAUUUUUGGAGCCAAAACUUUUCAGUUUUGGGGACCAAAAGAAUAAAUUUUGCCAAACCAAGGUUGGCUAAGACCCUGCCUUCUCCUGAAAAUCUUACUCAAAGGAUACUCUGAAUCGAGUCAGAUAGUUUUUAUGGGAAAAUCUAAUUGAAAGUUUCACUUAGAUAAACUGUAAUUAUAUCUUAUGACUAGGCCAAGUCCGGAGCUUAAUAAACCCUAUUUAAAGGCGGCCUAAACCAAACCGGUCAGUUUCCAUAGAUAGAUCUAAUGGAGAAACUCACUUGGAUCAACUGUGACAAGCAUGGCUGUGCCACCAAACUCACACGUGCCACCAGCAAUCUUGGUUUUCUGCCAAUAGCUAUUAAAAGCGUAGGAAGCAUGUGCAAAGAUGGUGUCAGGCUGAAAACAUGGACCACUAGGUUGAAUUGAAUCACAAUCCGCCCCGGAUGCACAUGCAUAGUUCAUUGCCUCUUGCAUGAUUGGGCCAGGCACUGAUGGCUUAGCCACACACCAUAAUGCUGUGGUUGGAGCCCUAUUGGGAGGUGGUAGAACCGUUGGGGGUGGGUACACAAUUGGCGGUAGAAACUCUGGUGGGCUUGGAUUAAACCCAAAUGGUGAUGGAACAUUAUAUGGCGGGCUCACAACAACGGUUGGUGGGCUCAGCUCGUAAUAGGGUGGGCUCAAUACCGGCCCCGAUGGGCUUGGUAUGUAACCUGUUGGUGUUGGUAUUGCUUGUGGAGGGCUUGGAAAAAUACUAGGUGGGUUCGGGACUAUUCCAGGUGGGCCUGGAAAAUUACUAGGUGGGUUCGGGACUAUUCCGGGUGGGCCUGGAAAUAUAAUCGGCGGGUUCGGAACUAUUCCGGGUGGGUUUGGUGGUGGGCCAAGAGGAGGAAAGUUGUAAAAGGGAGAGGGUGGGGAAGGUGAGGUUCCAAUUGGAGGUUCAGGGGUAUUUGGAGGGUUAACACAGUAAGGAUGUGAAUUUUCAGGGGGCAAAGAAUCAAAUGGUGGCAAAGAAAAUGGUGAGCUUACUCCGUAAGGUUGAGUAUUUGAUGUAUCAGUGGGUUGUUCAAUCACUAAACUCAUAAGUUUACUCAUUAGCUCUAAGUUCUUUGUGUGCUUUAUGAUUGAAUUUCUUUGAUGUUUUGGAUCUUUGAUAUGUUCCAUUGAUUUUCUUGCAUCUGCCCAAUAAACAACUGUUAGAUUUACAUUUAAUCAUCCCAAAACAUUUUUGCCCUUCCCCAAUAAUAUAUAUCACCCUGAAUAAAUGAAAAGAUUGCAAAUGUUAGGGUUUAAAACAACUAAGCUUAUAAUACCAAAACUAGAACAUAAACAUGGCAUGACUACUUAAUGACUCACACUUAUACAACAAAAUAGAAAUAUUCGUUUACUGAGGAAGACAUAAAUUACAUGAUGCGAGUUUGUAUAUUCAUUAGAGGCGAAGCAAACUAAAUAUACUCCAUGCAACAUUUGGACUGUCAAAAACUAAAACAAUGGAAUCCUUUACCACACUUCUAGUUCUAGGGGCAGGGCCUUGUCAUAAGGGUAAAAUAUUAAUAUUAUAAAUCUUUUUAAAAAUAAUAACAUUGUAGGUUAAUCCAACGAUAUAAUUACAUUUAAUUCUAAAAAAAUUAUAAUUUUAUUUUGACCCCUCUUUGGAUUUGCCCUACUGACAUGGUAAAAAUGAGGAACUUAAAUAAAACAAUAAUGUAGCAGAAAUCAGCUUACCGCAAUGCAUGGAAAGAGUGGCCGCCAUUGUUGAAAAGAGAAGGAACAUGCAAAGCCUGUUUUCCAUGAUUCAAUUUCAGCAAUGCCAAAUCACUCAAAGACUAUUCAAAGAGCAGAAGACUGAUAAUUGAGACAUAUAUAAAGGCAACCAAAGGAGACAACUGUGUAUGUUGGCCAUCAAAGAUUUGAUUCUUGAGUAUCUACUUUUAUUGUAACUCGGAUGUAAAUGACAUAUUUGUUUCGAUUCGGAAAAAAUUAACAUUUAAAUUUAAUUUGUUCAAUAUUUUAAAAUUUGACUCCAAUGACAAGCGAGCACAUUAUUGAAAUAUUUUAAUUUUGAAUUUAAGCUUGAAGCAUAAAUAAUCGACUUUAGACCUGAGCAUGAGAAUUAAAUCUUAUUUUUUACUAAUCGAGUGAAUUCGAGUAGUUUGGUUUUUAUCUUAAAUCAAGUUUGAGUUUUUAAAGUUAAAACUUGAGGGAUCUCGAAUUUAGAAUUAAACUCGAGCUUGGCUCGAGUUGAUUAUGUAAAUGAGUACUCACUUUUGCUUAGAAAUGUAAAUAUGAAGAAUAAUGUAAAGGGAUUAAAAGGUGUAAAGGAAGUUGUUCACUUUGAUUUAACUUAAAAAUUUCAUGUUGUUGAUGCAAAUUUGGCAUAUAUGCUUGCUUUCAUAUUGGGAAAAAUCAAAGUGAAGGUUUUUGGUUGCGCUUUUGUCUUGCUUGCUUUCUACUCAAAGUUCUCACUUUCUCACAAUUUUUAUGAUUUGAAUCAUCCUGAGAAUUGGAUUAUGAUGCGUUUGAAAUAUGAAAAAUGAAUAAAUGAUAAUUUAAUUGUAUAUAUAUAUAUAUUUAUAUUUGAAUGUAAAUCCGAAAAAAAUAUAAAAAAGAAUAAGUGCUUUUAAAAAUUAAGAGUCCAAAUGAUAUAACUAGAGAGUGAUAUUAAUCAAAGAUGAAGCUGAGAUUUUGCCAUUGGGAGGAUUAAGCUUUGUGCAAAGCCUUUUUUUUUUGGGUAUGUUGAACAUAUCCUGUUGGACCCUCUCUAUAAAAGUCUUAACUAAUUGGAAUAUGAGAAUGAAAAAGGCAGUUUUACAACUGUUUUUUUUCCUCUUAGAAAGUUUUACGACUGGUGAGAUCGUAAAAAUGUGCCCUUUUGCUGCAUAUUUUAGCAUCGAUGUAACGUGUCAUACUGAAGCAUCAACAUGAUUAUUUGCCCUUCUAUAUGGGCCAUCACUUUGGGGUAAGUAGGGACCAAGCUAGUAACUUUACGCAAAGGGGCUUAAGAUAAAAUUUUUAAAUUUUGGUUUAAUUAAUGUAUCAUUUAUAUAUAUUUUUCAGUUUAUAAAGAUUAAAAUUUCGUGAUUGUUCCUCUCAAUGAUGUCAUAUUCAAAGUUCAAACUUGAAUUUUUUGCUUGAGAGUAAUGUAUUUUAUUAUUUCACUCAAUAUUUUUUGAUAAAAUUACUUAAAAAAAACUUUAAAUUAAAAAAUUAAUUAUAAAAAGGGUAAAAAAUAAAAAUUUUCUGAUAGGCUAAAGGAUUAAAUAUUAAUUUAUUGAUAUUUGAGAGGUGAUAAAAAUGAAAUAUAUUCUUUUCAUUAAGGGAAACUAAAACUCUUAUUUCAACUUUGAACAUAAAACAAUGUAAAAUUUCAAUGCCUCAAACUUGUUAUGAUUUGUGUUUGGACAUAAAGAUUAGAGAAGAUAUGCUUUUCUAAUGUCAUCAUCUUCCAUGAAAAGAUAAAAUGAUAAUCUCAGUGCUUCUACGAAAGAAGCAAAUAAAAAAUUUCAAAAAAUAUAUUCUCUAAUCUUGAAAGCCAAAAGAAAAUUCAGCAUAAACGUGAGGAGCAUGGAGAUGAUAUGGUGAGGUAGAUAAAAUUAUCAUUAUAAUAAUAAGAAAGAACGAAGACAUGAAUUAAUGCAAGGGUGCCUAAGUUGGAAGAAUAAAAGUUUAUAAAGCAUUUGAGAAAGCAAUAAAGUAUGUGGAACAAUGAGUUAGCUCCAGAAUCAAACCACGCAAAGAAGUAAUAAAUAAAGGAUGGUGGAUUAAGAAAGAAUGUACUAAAUCAGGGAAGAAGACUUUGCUUCUAGAAUAUUUGCCUCCCUAUUCUUUAGGUCAUCUUCACUUCUUUAUACUAGAUAGUGCUACCCAUCAAAAUAAAUUCCUUGCUCUUGCAUCAUAUAAUCCUUGAGGAUCAUUGACUUGGUUUUCUUUCGUCGCCUCUUUGGUAUAUUCUUGGUGUCCUUCAGUGCCUUCUCGUGAUGUACUAUCUUCAUUCAUCACAUUACUUGUCCUCAAGGUUCCAAGUGUUGGGUUAUAUCCACUUAAGCCUUGUAUGAUUUUUAGUGUAAUAAUAUGAGGAAAUUUUUUUUAUCUAUUAUAUAUGUAUUGUAAUAGUUAGAUAUUAAAUAAAGAAUAAUUAGUACAUUUUUAAACUUGAAAUUAGAAAUAUAAGUAAUAACUCUUAUAAAAAAUAAGACAUUUUCAAAAUAAGCGAAAAUUUUUCCUACUCUUUGCUAAAAACAAGUCAUAGGAGUAGCUAAAUAUUACCAAUUGAAUUACUUUAUUGUUAACCCAUAUACUUUAUUGUUAUAAAUCACUGUAAUAUUUUGAAUUGAUUGAUUAAAAUUUUCACAUGUUUAUUCAUUAUACUUUGUACGGAUAUUCUCAUUGGUUUUGCAUGAAAUACAAAUGGUUUAAGUAAAUAUUUACUCACUGAUUAUCUGAGGUUUAACUAACAUUGAGUUGCAUGAUAAAGAUUGUUCUGUAAUAUAGAAGAAAACUUAUGUUAGAAGGUAGUCUAAAAAGUCCACGAGCUCAUGAUGAGAAAAUGACUCAUGUUAGGACUAUUAUGUUGUCUAUAUAAGUCUAAUUAGGGAGAUAACUUACCUUAGCUAUCGGAGUAGGAUUGACUCCUAAGAUAGAGAGAAAUGUGAUUGUACAGGUUGACAAUACAUCGGACUGGAUUCUAGAUAAAUCAAUCUUAAAUCCGUUUAUAAAUUAAUUUUCUUGUGAUGUGCAUCAUGUAAUUUACCUUAAUCUUGAGUAAGUCAAUGACUAUGUAUACUUUGAUGUAUUGAUAACAAGUGUAUCUCAAAGUAUUAAGCAAAAGGUUGGUAUGUUGGUGAUGCAUGCUCUAGUGUCACAGGUCGUGGAUCAAAACCUGUGACCAUUGCGCCUUGAAUGUCCCAUGGAGGUCAACUGAUUAAAUGGGGCUCAUUUGACCCACUUGAACUGACUCGAUUCGUGGAACCCAUGGAGAAUCCCAUCUACUUGAAGCCUUGGUAGCCUAGUGAAACACUCCAGCAAAACUAGAGUUAUCAGGGUAACUAAUGUAAAUUCUAAGGGAUAAAGAUGUAUAGAGUCUAAAUCCUUUAGGAGUCUCAUAUUGUAGAUAGGCACUAAUAUCAUCUAUUGAUGUAAUUCGAUCUGUACCGUUGGAUCUGGGGGAGCUCAACUGUAAAUAAAGGCCUUUCCCCUCAUUUGUAUCCAUUCUGUUGAUAGUUAAAGAAUAUAUUUGAGAGUAUUUACUCAAACACUGUGUACAUUACUUUCUUGUGGCAUUUUCAAUUAUCUUGUUGCUUUUUUUUUGAGUUUGCUUCCUUUUUGUUUUUGGUGUUUUAGAUAAUUUUUAUGAGAAUUCUCACUUUGCGAGAGUUAGGUUGACUUAGGAAAAUUUGAACCAAGAAAUCAACUAGGGCUGCAUAGAUUGCGAGACUAAAGUUAUAGCUGCGUGAUAGUUGGUUUCAGAGCCAGUGUUCAAAGGUGCCGAUUGAGAUGUCGAAAGGAGUAGACGAGUAGGUUGAGCUUAUGGAGACCUGUGGGAGGGGCAAAAAAGCUAACAACUUGAGGGAUAUGCUUUUAGCUUUGGAUGGCAAGGUUGUCAAACUUGAGGGUUCCAUGGAUGAUGUGAAAGAGACCCAUAAGGAAGUUGAUGGGGCAUACCAUAGAGCUGAAAUUGAGGCAAGAUCAACUCAAGGAACAAAUGAAAGAGUGAUGCAAGCAUGGACAUGGACCCAACUCUUAAUGUCAAGCAAAUAGCUUGUGAUCCAAUUGAGCUGCCAAUAGGGCCAAUUACUCGUGCAUGAGCUAAGAAGUUCAAAGAAGCUGUCACAGGUAUCACUGAUCGAGUUUGGGCAGAAGCUGUCAUAGGACUAAUUGAUCAAGCUUGGAUAUGCACUCUAUGCAUCCCAUGCAACGUGCUUCAAACAAAGUUUUAAUUUUAGCUUGUUUAAUUCGGCUGCUGGAAAUAAUGAUUUCAAUCCAUUUUAGUUAUUUUAGUUUGUGUCCUUAAUUAUGUCUUAGUUUAAACAUCAUUAAUAUAUGUAUUUAAUUAUGUCUUAGUUUAAACAUCAUUAAUAUAUGUCUUUAAUUAUGUCUUAUUUUGAACAUCAUUAAUAUGUGUUUUAAUUAAGUGUCUUACAUUCUGACAUCAUUAAUGUUUGUCUAAGUUUAUACAAAUUAAAUUGUGUUUAAACCUUUUUUUAAUGUUGCCUUUAAACAGUGUUUUAAUGUGUACUAGGUUGUUCACAUUGGCUGCUGCUAGAAAACUUCUUCUCAAGCUAAAUACAUGCACUUGGAGUUGCUAAAUUUAAUGCACCAAUCCAUGUGCAUAGACAGUGGGAGCAAAAAGAGCUUAAUGUGACCAUUUGGUUCAUGUUCAUGUAUGAGCUAUAUAUAUGAAUGUCCAAGGGGAAAGAAUUCAGCAGUUAAUGCGGCACAAUGAAUGGUAACAUGCAUGCACAUCAUGGAGGAUGAAUCUGCAAGAUGCAUGUAACUAGUUCACGAACCUACAUGCCAUUAAAGCGCCUAUUUAUGAGAAUGCAUGUUCCAUGCAAGUGCAUGAGCGAUCUAAGAAGAUGAAUGAUAGAGGGUUGCACGCAGACCAAGAUCGAGUUGCCAAGUCACGAGAAAACUCCUACGAGGCUCUAAACGAACAGAUCUGAAACAAAACAGAAAUUAAAAGAUUAGAACUUUGAAUUUCCAGAUCUAGAAUAAAAAUCCCCAAAUCAGCAAAGAAUCAAAUUGAGAAUAGGAAUAAUUGUUAAUAAAGGUUCUUGGGGAAUCAAGAACAUGUAAUUGAACCCCAAGGAAUACUCCAAUUUGCCGAAUUUGAAAAGAAAGACACAAACAGCAAGUUAAAUUUCCCCAAAAUUCCAGCAAUCAAAACAACCCAAAUCUGAAAAGAAGAAAUCGGCAAGAACAAGGAAUUUAGGGAUUUUGAAUGAAUUUUGCUGCCAAGAACAAAAGGGGCAAUCCGAUCUUUAAUAAAGAAGAGGGCGAAUUAGAUUUGGAAUGCUUUGGAAUGCCUUAAAUGCAACAAGAAUAGUAAACAAAGUGAUUAAAUAAAAUUGACACAAGCAGAAUUUAAAAGAAAAAAUUGACAGCAAGAAAUUAAAAGAUAAGUCCUAAGAAGCCUUGAAAUCCCGAAAGAUUUCAGAACUCCCUUCAAACGGCUCUAAUCUCCCCUCCAAAGAAUAUCAAUGGUAAGAAAAAGGCUGAAGAUGGCUCCCACAAUCAAAAGAUUGUUAAAACAACUUCUAAAGAAAACUCAAGAGAGAAUUCUUGGAGAAAAACUCCAGGAGAAUUCUGCACUUAAACAAAUCUGAAAUUUUUAAUAUAUUUGAGAAGUGAAUAACAAGGUGGCCGGCCAAGCCUUUAUAUAGGCCUCUCAAGUGUUUUCCUAAUCUAAUUAGAAAACUAAAAAUAAAAAACUCCUAAUUAUUUUAAUAUUUAAAUGGAAAUUCGGCCAAGGGCUUUUAAUUGGGCCCCUUGGACUGAAUAUCUUAAUAAAAAUUUAAACUAAGCAUUUAAAAAAUAAAACUUUACAAAUUGGGCCACUUUGACAAUUUGGCCUGAUUUUCAAGUAAGUAUGGUUUGUCUUCUUGUUUGGGCUUGGAAUCAUCUUAUUGGGCCUUGCCUUCAAGAACUUGGGCUUGUAUUCCAUCUUCUACCGAAAUUGGUUCGUUGAUGCUCGUAACUGAGAUCCAAUGCGCUUUGGCUGCAAGAUUUGGUUUCUUGGACCAAGAUUUCCAAGAUUUAAAAUCUUGAUUUUCUUGAUUCUUGAAAUCGCUCCAAACAGCAAGAUUGGGUCAAGAUUCAGUUUCUUGAUUUUCUUGAAAAGAAGAAAGUGAAUCUUGAUUUUCUCUUUCUUUCAUGUACGCAUCUAAGGCCUUGCUAACAAACUCCUGAAUGGUCCCAUUUAGUUUGAAAUGCAUUUGUCGGGCCUUUGAUCUCGUUAUUGGGCCUUGUGGUAAUUUGAGCCCAUCACGUUCUUGGGCUUGGGUUGGGCCUUUGUGACUCGUAUCAUGCCCCUUUCCUCAAAAAGAUUCGUCCUCGAAUCUAAAAAUUCAAAUGGGGACAAGUCAGCCACAUUAAAAGUAGAACUUACAUUGUACUCACCAGGUAGAUCAAUUUUAUAGGCAUUGUCGUUGAUCCGCUCGAGUACUUAGAAAGGCCCAUUGCCCCUUGGGUCCAACUUGGUCUUUCUUUUUGUAGGAAAUCGUUCUUUCCUCAAAUGGACCCAAACCCAAUCUCUGGGUUCUAGGACAACCUGCCCCUUGUUUGCUUUGUUGGUGUUGGCAUCAUUUGUUUUGGCUAUUCGUUGCCUAGCCUUCUCAUGUAAGAAUUUCACCAACUCAGCUUUCUGUUCGCCAUCUAAAUUAACAAUGUGUUCAAGAGGUAAUGGAUCAAGUACUAUUAGUGGGUUAAAACCAUAAAUAAGUUCAAAUGGAGAAUAACCCGUUGUAGAAUGAAUAGAUCUAUUAUAUGCAAAUUCAACAAAUGGUAGGCAUUCUUCCCAAUUUCUACUGUUCUUUCCCACAACAGAUCGUAAUAAAGUCCCUAAGAUCCGAUUAACUACUUCAGUUUGGCCAUCAAUUUAGGGGUGACAUGUAGUAGAAUAAAGUAAUUUAGUACCAAGCUUACCCCACAAUACCUUCCAAAAGUGGCUAAGGAAUUUGACAUCUCUAUUAGAAACAAUUGUUUUAGGGAUGCUGUGAAGUCUUACCACCUCUUUAAAGAAUAAGUCUGCCACAUGUGUAGCAUCAUCUGUUUUGUGACAAGGAAUAAAAUGUGCCAUAUUUGAAAACCUGUCAACAACAACAAAUAUACAAUCUCUUCCUUUCUUAGUUCGAGGCAAACCUAAAAUAAAAUCUAUGGAUAAAUCUACCCAAGGUGAAGUAGGAAUCGGUAAAGGAGUGUAAAGGCCAUGAGGCAUUACCUUAGAUUUUGCUUGUUUGCAUGUAAUGCACUUGGAACAUACCUUUUCGACAUCCUUCUUCAUAUGUCGCCAAUGGAAGUGUUCUUGCAGUAUGUCUAGUGUUUUGGCCACUCCAAAAUGUCCCAUUAAACCCCCACUAUGGGCUUUAUGAAUCAAUAAGUCUCUCAUGGAACACUUUGGUAUGCAUAACCUGUUUAUACGAAAAAGAAAGCCAUCUACAACAUAAAACUUUUCAAAAGUAGUAUGUCCACAAUUCUUAUAAAUAUGGCCGGAAUCAGCAUCAUCAUCAUAUAACUCCUUAAUAUGUUCAAACCCUAAGACUUUAGCAUUCAAUGUAGUUAUUAAAGCAUAUCGUUUAGACAAAGCAUCGGCAACUACAUUAUCUUUACUUGUUUUAUAUUUUAUCACAUAAGGGAAUGUUUCAAUGAAUUCUACCCAUCAGGCAUGCCGUUUACUCAACUUACCUUGUCCCUUUAACCAUUUAAGGGAUUCAUGAUCUGUGUGUAUGACAAACUCAUUAGGCAGCAAAUAAUGUUGCCAUACUUGAAGUGCACGAACUAAUGCCAAUAGUUCUUUGUUAUAAGUUGAGUAGUUUAAUUGUGCACCAUUUAAUUUCUCACUAAAAUAAGAAAUUGGUGGCUUAUCUUGCAUUAAAACGACGCCAAUUCCAAUUCCUGAAGCAUCACACUCAAGUUCAAAAGUAUUUGUAAAAUCAAGUAAUUUAAGAAGAGGAGCAGAACAUAACUUAGCUUUUAGGGUCUGAAAAGCCUUUUCUUGGGUUUCACCCCAUUUGAAAUCCACUGAUUUCUUUAUAACUUCUGUUAAUGGGGUAGCAAAAGUAGAGGAAUCUUUCACAAAUCGUCUAUAAAAACUAGCUAAACCAUGGAAAGAUCUCACCUCAGUUACCAAUUUAGUAGUCAGCCACUCCUUGAUUGCCUUGACUUUGUCCUUAUCGACAUGAAUGCCUUGAGCACUAACUAUGAAACCUAAGAAUAUUAGUUUAUCACAACAGAAUGUGCAUUUAUCAAGGUUGGCAAAUAAUUUUUCAGCUCGCAGAAUAUCCAAAACGGUUCUAACAUGGAAAACAUGAUCAUCUAAUGUCUUGGAGUAAAUUAAAAUAUCAUCAAAAUAAACCACUAUAAAUUUACCUAAGUGAAUCCUUAAAACAUGAUUCAUUAAUCUCAUAAAUGUACUAGGUGCAUUAGUAAGGCCGAAAGGCAUAACUAACCAUUCAUACAAUCCAAAUUUUGUUUUAAAGGCUGUUUUCCAUUCAUCCCCUUCCUUCAUUCGAAUUUGAUGAUAACCGCUUUUUAAAUCAAUUUUUGUAAACAUAAUUGGACCAUGUAAUUUAUCAAGCAUAUCAUCAAGUCUAGGAAUUGGAUGUCGAUACUUUACCGUUAUUUUGUUGAUUGGGCAGCAAUCAACACACAUUCGAUAUGUACCAUCUUUCUUUGGUACCAAUAAGACAAGAACAGCACAAGGACUUAGGCUCUCACGAAUGUACCCUUUUUCUAGUAAUUCCUCAACUUGCCUUUGCAAUUCCUUUGUCUCCUCGGGAUUACAUCUAUAGGCUGGUCGAUUAGGUAUUGAAGCUCCGGGCACUAAGUCAAUUUGAUGUUCUAUCCCUCGUAAAGGUGGUAAACCUUUAGAGGCCUCACUAAAAACAUCCUCAUAAUCCUGCAAAAGAGACUGAAACACACUAGGCAAAUUUUCGUUAAUGUUAGAAAAAGAUAAAUAAUUUUGCCUAAACCUCACAAGGAUACAAGGCUGUUUAUUGAGUAGGGCUCUCCUCACAUCUUUUGUUGUUGCCAACAGAUUUUUUUCUCUCAUUUUACCACUUGUGGAUUCACUCACCUUUGGGCUUUUUAAAAUUUGACUUUUUCCACUACUAGCCUCUUUUCUCUCUGUCUUUUGUACUUGUCCUUUCUCCCUUACCCCCUCACAAAAUUUCAUCAUCUUCAAUUGAUCUUUAUAUACAUCAGUGGGAUUUAAAGGAGCAAAAGUGAAUUUUCUACCUUUAAACACAAGGGAGUAUCGAUUAAGCUUACCUUGGUGUGUAACAUCGCGAUCAAAUUGCCAAGGUCGUCCAAGGAGCAAGUGUGCCGCAUGCAUUGGGACCACAUCACACCAUACUUCAUCCUCAUAAUUUCCGAGCUUAAAAGUGACCAAGGAAUGUUUCGUAACUUUAACUUCGGAGCAUUCAUUAAGCCACUGAAGGUGAUUUGGCUUAGGGUGUUUGGUACAAGGAAACUUUAAAGAAUCCACCAAAUAGCUACUCACUACAUUCGAGCAACUCCCACUAUCAAUAAUGAGUGAAUAUAAGUUACCUUUAAUAAAACACCGAGAAUGGAAAAUAUUGGUCCUUUGGUUAUCAUCAUCUUUCAUUUGAAUGUUAAGGGUUCGGCGAACUACAAGGCAUUGAAAAUCAGCAAAGUCCCCUUCUUUUGGUGGUUCAACCAACUCUUCGCCUUUAUCACUGUCAUCCACAAGUUCUGGCAUAUCUGGAUCUGUUUUAUCAGAGUCGAAAGUGUACUCACCAUUAUCUUUCAGAAGAAGUAAUCUCGUGUUAGGGCAUUCCCUACUAUAAUGACCACGCCCUUUGCACUUAAAGCAUUCAAUUUCACGAGUCCUCUUCACACUCGAAUCACCUAAAUUGGGCUGCUUAGAAGGUGUUUGCGUUUUAACAGGAGCCCCUUUUUUCCAAUCUGAUUGCUUACUUCCAUUACUCAAAGAAGACUUAUUAGUAACAAAAGGUGAUUUUGAACUCUUAAAAUCAGAAUUGGAAUUGUUACCUCGGUAAUAUUGUGAAGUAGAGAAGGAACCAAACCUUUGUUCCUUUAGUUGUUGCUCGAUCUCAAUGGCUUUAUGAACUGCUUCUUCCAAAUCAAUGUAAGUUUGUAGCCUCAAUGUAUUAGCUAUUGGCCUGUUCAAACCAUCAAUAAAUCAAACUAUAGUUAUUUCCUCAUCGUCCUCCACAUUAGCUCUCUGAACGAGCAUCUCCAUCUCCUUAAAAUAUUCAUCCACCGUCCUACUACCUUGAACAAGUCGUCUCAGCUUUGUUUUAAUCUCUCUAUAGUAGUGAGGUGGAAUAAACCUUUUACGCAUAAUCUGUUUCAACUCCUCCCAUGUCGAAAUCUCACCUUCAUAAUUCCGAUGACGAUUCACCCCAAAUUGAGUCCACCAACUUAAUGCAUAAACUGAAAAUUCUAGCAUUGCUAACGCUACAUUUUCAUCAUCCGGACAUUUAUAAUAUCGAAACAUAAGUUCAAUCUUAGAUUCCCAUUCACAAUAAGCUUCUGGAUCAUUCUUACCACGAAAUUGGGGAAUCGUGAACUUCAGUUUUGCCAAAGAGGGUUGCCCACGAUCAUGAAAAUUAGCAUCAGUUCUAGGGACACGUCGAGGACCGCGCCUAUGAGCAGGAGGCUGGUUAUCCAUAUCUUCUUUAAUUGGCUCUCGAUAUUGAGGCUCUUGAUUUAAUCUCACCUCAUUGAUGGUAGCAGUCAAAGUUCGAAGUGCAGUAGCCUGUUCGUCUAACUGUUGUUGGAAUUUUUUAAAUGUGUCAUAGACAUCAUUAUGGUCAUUAUCACCUUGACCAACCUUAGACAUUUUCAAAAACCUGCAAAAUAAACACUCAACACUCAAAAAUAAAAGUCAGCAAACCUCACCGUUAAUCACUCAAAAAGAAAAUUUAAAUUCUCAAUGAGGUAGAAUUCAGUCUUAUGAGUUCUUUAGUAGAGUUUAUAUCAACCAAUUAGAGAGUGUAUGAACCGAACUACCAAAGAAUCCUAAUUUGCACUAGGAUGCCAAAACUGACGAGACACCAAUUGAUUCGUGUUACACCGAGGAAGAAUUGUGCACACUUUAAAAAUCCUACUAACACAAGAAACAAUAAGGUGUUAGAUAAUGUAAAGGGAGAAUAAAGGCAAACAAAUGAAAAACCUAUAGCUAAGAAUCAAUAAAAAUUGUUGAAACCAGAAAACCCGAAAAACUACGGAGUAACUUGACAACUUCGUUCGAGGUGUUCCUGAUCUUCAAAAAUCAUGAAAUUAAAUCUGUAAUAUCCUUAAAUAUUUAAUUUUUGAUCUGGAAAGUUUGGGCAUCAAAGUCAACCCGCUGAAUCUUUUUUUAAAUUUUUAUUGGAUUUCGUAUUUUUCAAUUUUUUGACUUUUUCGACUGAAUUUUUUGCGGGAAAUAUUUUUUUAUAUUCAAUCACAGUGCCAAAAAUAUGUAUGUAAAAUUUUAGAUCAAUCGGACAAUGUUUACCCACUCAAAUGAAUUUUUUUUGAAAAUUUUUUCUGGGUAAAAUUGCUGUUUGUAGUUUAAAAAAUAGAGAUCAGUUUAGAAAUCAACCAAGAACACCCAAAACACCCAAAAUUUGAGACCAAAUGAUAGAGGGUUGCAGGCGGACCAAGAUUGAGUUGCCAAGUCACGAGAAAACUCCUACGAGGCUCUAAACAAACAGAUUUGAAACGAAACAGAAAUUAAAAGAUUAAAACUUUGAAUUUCCAGAUCUGGAAUAAAAAUCCCUAAAUCAACAAAGAAUCAAAUUGAGAAUAGGAAUAAUUGUUAAUAAAGGUUCUUGGGGAAUCAAGAACAUGUAAUUGAACCCCAGAGAAUACUCCAAUCUGCCGGAUCUGAAAAGAAAGAGACAAACAGCAAGUUAAAUUUCCCCAAAAUUCCAGCAAUCAAAACAACCCAAAUCUGAAACGAAGAAAUCGGCAGGAAGAAGGAAUUUAGGAAUUUUGAACGAAUUUUGCUGCCAAGAACAAAAGGGGCGAUCCGAUAUUUAAUAAAGAAGAGGGCAAAUCAGAUUUGGAUGCUUUGGAACGCCUUAAACGCAACAAGAACAGCAAACAAAGUGAUUAAAUAAAAUCGACACAAGCAGAAUUUAAAAGAAAAAAUUGACAGCAAGAAAUUAAAAGAUAAGUCCUAAGAAGCCUUGAAAUCCCGAAAGAUUUCACAACUCCCUUCAAACGGCUCUAAUCUCCCCUCCAAAGAAUAUCAAUGGCAAGAAGAAGGCUGAAGAUGGCUCCCACAAUCAAAAGAUUGUUAAAACAACUUCUAAAGAAAACUCAAGAGAGAAUUCUUGGAGAAAAACUCCAGGAGAAUUCUGCACUUAAACAAAUCUGAAAUUUUUAAUAUAUUUGAGAAGUGAAUAACAAGGUGGCCGGCCAAGCCUUUAUAUAGGCCUCUCAAGUGUUUUCCUAAUCUAAUUAGAAAACUAAAAAUAAAAAAACUCCUAAUUAUUUUAAUAUUUAAAUGGAAAUUCGGCCAAGGGCUUUUAAUUGGGCCUCUUGGACUGAAUAUCUUCAUAAAAAUUUAAACUGAGUAUUUAAAAAAUAAAACUUUACAAAUUGGGCCACUUUGACAAUUUGGCCUGAUUUUCAAGUAAGUAUGGUUUAUCUUCUUGUUUGGGCUUGGAAUAAUCUUAUUGGGCCUUGCCUUCAAGAACUUGGGCUUGUAUUCCAUCUUUUACCGAAAUUGGUUCAUUAAUGCUCGUAAUGGAGAUCCAAUGCGCUUUGGCUGCAAGAUUUGGUUUCUUGGACCAAGAUUUCCAAGAUUUGAAAUCUUGAUUUUCUUGAUUCUUGAAAUCGCUCCAAAUAGCAAGAUUGGGCCAAGAUUCGGUUUCUUAAUUUUCUUGAAAACAAGAAAGUGAAUCUUGAUUUUCUCUUUCUUUCAUGUACACAUCUAAGGCCUUGCUAACAAACUCCUGAAUGGUCUAAUUUAGUUUGGAACGCAUUUGUCGGGCCUUUGAUCUCGUUAUUGGGCCUUGUGGUAAUUUGAGCCCGUCACGAUCUUGGGCUUGGUUGGGCCUUUGUGACUCGUGUCAAUGAAUGAGACUUUUGGUGAUCAUACAAGGAACUUGAAGCUUUCUUCUAUGCUAAGAAUUCAUGUACAACAAAGGGAGGAGGAAUAUGACUCUUCAAGUUAAAGUUCAUGCAUUAAUAUCAUUCAAUGAGGUGCAUGAACGUCCAAAUACAUGCCAAUACAAGGGAUGAACGUCCAUGAACCAUCAAAGGGGAGUGAACAACCAUUUAUAUGCAUUUAAGGGAGUUCAUGAAUCAGUCGGUUCAUUGUAUGGUUUGUGUACAUGAACUACAUUAAUGGCUGAAUGUUGGCCAUUCAUCUUCUUUUAUAUUUUCCUAUAAAUAGUUGUUUUGUAAACAUUUGUAGAGGAAGACUUAUGAUGAAUUUUAUAUUCUUGACUCAAAUUGACUUAUCAAGUUCAUCUUGUGGCGUCAAUCUGAUUCCUUUGAACUUAUCACUUUUAGGAAGUGUGGCGUUCACCUUUAUACCAGUUGAUUCCUAUCUUAUUAUAGAUAGUGGGUUACGAUCUAGCUAUCUUUUCCUAUCCAUCUUAAGUGUUGAUAUAAGAUUUAGGUCAAUAUUGUCAUAUAGUAUUGGUUCACUCUUCAACCUUAAACCGAACUUAUCCUAUCCAUUUACUUACCAACAAAAUAUUCCUUUGUUUCAGCCAACUAUUUUCGUUUUCAACUUUACCUAGAACUUAAUUCGAUACUUUUUAAUUUUCGAUCGAGAACAUUCGCAACUCGUAAUCAACCACGAAUAUGAGCUCGCAUCAAAGUGGCCCUUAGUGACAAUAUGGAUUCGAUGCAAGGGGUCUUCAAUACCGUUGUGGAUGAGCUGAUUGAAAAGAAUGAUGCUCUCGAGGUUAUGAUGUCGUCCUUGAAGGAACAAAUUGAGGAGCUCAAAGGGGAGCUCAAUAUUUACAAAGUUGCUUUGGGUAUGGGGUGUUGGUUACAACACCCAAGCCAAAGGUAGAUGUCUUGAAGUCGAAAGAGUUUAAUGGGAUGAGGUCCACAAAGGAUGUGUGAAACUUUUUUUGGGGAAUGAAGCAAUACUUCCAUGCCAAAGGUAUCAUGGAUGGUGCUACUAAGGUAAAUAUUUCUACUAUGUAUUUUAUUGAUAUUGCUUUGUUAUGGUGGCGUCGUAGGUCCACAGAUUAGAGACGAGGUGGUACUACUAUUGAGACUUGGGAGGAUUUCCAGGGUGAAUUUAAGGGGCAAUUUUACCUAGAGUAUAUCGAUGAUGAGGCUCAGGCUAAGUUGUGUCAGCUUACGCAACAACACAUAGUUAGGGAGUAUGUAAAUGAGUUAAGUGAGCUGAUGCUCCAGAUUUUCGAUUUGGGUGAGAAGGAUAAAAUUUUCUCCUUUAUAGAUGGGCUAAAGUCAUGGGCGAAGUAGAAGUUGCAACGUCAAGGAGUCAAUGAACUUUCCAAAGCAAUAGCCACAACGGAGUCCUUAAUUGAGCUUGUUCCAAAGAAAAAUGAUCUAAAUAGUUUGCAAACUUUAUGCUUGUUUCUUUUAGCUAUAUAUCCGGUAGGUUGCAUCAUGUAAAUGCUCUAUUCAACGAUUUUUGCAUAGCCUGAGACACGGGCAUGUGUCUCAGCCGUGUGAGUCACACGGCUUGGCCACACGGCUGUGUGACCCUUGUAGUGUAAAUAUUAUAAUUUUUUUAUCAAUGUUUCUAAUGAUCUUGAUUUAGUUCCGAAUUGUUUCUAAAGUGAUUCUUAGGCCUUGAAGGCUCGAUGAAGGGACUAUAUGCAUGUUUAUAAAUGGAUAAUGUUAUGUUUAAUGAAAUGUUUGAAAGUGAAUUAUUUUAGGUUACAUUUAUUUGGUAAUACUCUAUAACCCUAUUUUGGCAACAGAUACAAGUUAGAGUGUUACAUUUAGUGGUAUCAGAGCUAUAGUUUAGUUAAUUAUUGGACUAAUGUAGUAAAGUAAGGUUUAGUAUAUACAUGCCACAUAUACCCUGUGAUAUGUGAUGCUUUUGAUCCUUUCUAACAUUUUAUUUCUUAUAUAUCCAAGAUGUCAGUUGAAUCAAAUCAAGCUAUAAUUAAUGAAGCUGAAAGUAAUGUUCAAGCUUUGAAUCCUGAAGUAAGCAAUAGUGUGCCUAUUCUACAACCCGUGUGUGAUGAGAUGAAAAAUGUAUUUCUUGGAAUGAUGAACUAAUGGUUCAACAAAUUUAAACAAGCCAAUCUUGCAACUCUUCUACAUCCACCCCCUAUUGUGCCUUUUUGGCACCCCUGACAACUCCAAACCCUGUACUUAUAACGGUUACUUAGGUAUCUAUAGACAAAAUUAAAAAAUAUAGAGCAGAAGAGUUUAGAGGUACAAUAGAUGAUGAUCCUUCAAAAGCCGAGUAUUGGUUAUUGAACACAAAGAAAGUUUAUACGGAGCUAUUGUGCUCCCCUAAAGAUUACUUGAGGUGUGCGGUAUCCUUACUGAAAGAUGAGGCAUAUCUAUGGUGGAAUACUUUAAGCACUAUGUAUCAGAUGAUCUGGUUAAUUGGGUUUUCUUUCAGAAUGAAUUCAAGAAAAAGUAUAUUAGUCGGUUGUUCAUUGACCGAAAAAAGAAAGAGUUUCCCGAGUUAAAACAAGGAAUCAGGCUGUAGCUGAGUAUGAACGUGAAUUUGUGCAGUUAAGCGAGUAAGCUCGUAACAUCGUAUCAAAUGAGGGACAAAUGUGUAUCAAAUUUGAAGAUGGGUUGAAUGAUGAGAUUAGUAUGGUUGUAGCAACAUUAAAGUUACGGGAACUUGUAGAAAUUUUAGAGCAGACUCAGAAGGUUGAAGAGAUUUGUAAAAGCAAAUGACAGUCAGAUUUGAGAUUUAGAGAUUCUAACAAGAGAGGGUUAUUUAAGAUUGCUCAAACAUCUCUAUUGAAGAAUUUUAGAAGUGACACCAGUCGAUCAGACGCUCUUUCAGAGUUCGUUAAUAGAGAGAAGUCGAGAUAAAUUAAUUUCCAGUUAGUCAAUUCUGUAGCGGCGAUUGUUAGAAGUGUAAAAAUGUAGAGAGAACCGUUCGAGUGUGUUAUGAAUUCAAUAAAAGACAUUUUGGGGAGUGUCGAUCAAAAUUGAGAGCUUAUUUCCGUUGUGGGUCUACUGACCAGUUUCUUUGUAACUUUUCCAAGAAGCAAAAUGGUUUUGGAAUUCAAUCAAAUAAGCCUGAAGAAACUUCUUAGAGGGGUAGGCAAUCUGGGAAUGUUAGAAAUACUAUUCUUGAUCGAGGAAAAAAUAGCGAGAUGAACGAACAGUCUGAAGCGAGAACACCGGCCAAAGCCUAUGCAAUCCGAGCUCGAAAGAAAGCUAUUGCUCCAAAUGUUAUUGCAUGUACUUUUUCUCUCUUUGAUAUUAAUAUAUAUACAUUGAUUGAUCUUGGAUCAACUUAUUCGUAUAUCUGUGCUACUUUAGUAAACAAAAAGAAAAUACCUGUUGAAUUCACUGAGUAUACUAUUAAAGUUACAAAUCCCCUGGGUCAGUGUGUUCUAGUUUAUCAGUUAUGUAGAUCUUUUCCACUGAAAUUAAGGGUUACGAAUUCCCCGCUAGUUUGAUGUUGUUACCUUUUGAUGAGUUUGAUGUGAUUCUAGGUAUAGAUUGGUUAACUCUGCAUGAUGCUAUUGUGAACUGUAGACGAAAGAAAAUUGUGUUGAAAUGUUAGAACAGUGAAAAGUUUCAUAUUGAGUUGGAUAGAAUGGAUAGUAUAUCUAAUGUUAUAUCAGUUAUGUUAACACAGAAACUUGUUAGAAAAACGUGUGAAGUGUAUCUCACUUACAUAGUUGAUUCCUGAGUUUCAAAACAGAAAUUAGAAUCAGUUCCGGUUGUAUAUGAGUUGUCAGAUGUGUUUCUAGAUGAGUUACCAGGGGUACCUCCAACUCAAGAGGUUGAUUUUGCUAUUUAAUUGUUGGCAGGAACAUCCCCGAUAUUGAUUGCUCCAUACAGAAUGACACCUACAAAAUUGAAAGAGCUGAAAGCAUAGCUGCAAGAGCUGACAUAUAGGAGCUUUACUCUGCCCAGUUUUUCUCCUUGGGGUGCUCCUGUGUUAUUUGUUAAGAAAAAAGGAUGAAUAUAUGAAUUUAUGUAUCAAUUAUCGACAGCUCAAUAAGGUGACGAUCAAGAACAAGUAUCCAUUGCCACGUAUUGAUGAUCUCUUUGACCAGUUGAAAGGUGCGAUAGUGUUUUCAAAGAUUGAUCUUUGUUCUGGUUAUUAUCAGUUGCGAGUUAAAGACUCGGAUGUGCCAAAAAAUGUGUUCAGGACCAGGUACGGACAUUAUGAAUUUCUUGUGAUGCCAUUUGGUUUGACUAAUGCACCUGUAGUGUUUAUGGAUUUAUUAAACAAAAUCUUCAGGGCAUAUUUAGACAGAUUCGUUGUGGCAUUCAUUAACAACAUUUUGAUUUAUUCACGAGAUAAGAUAGAGCAUGUCGAGCAUUUGAGAACUGUUUUGCAAACUUUGCGCGAAAAUAAAAUGUUUGCUAAGUUUAGAAAAUAUGAGUUUUGGCUUCGGGAAGUCUAAUUUCUUGGACAUGUUGUAUCGGCUGAUGGCAUUAGGGUUGAUCCAAGCAAAAUUUUGGCUGUCGUAGAUUGGAAGCCUCCGAUAAAUGUAUCUGCAGUUAGAAGUUUUUGGGCUUAGUCGAAUAUAACAGGAGAUUCGUCAAGGGAUUCUCGAUGAUUACUAUACCAUUGACGAGAUUGUUGCAAAAAGAUGUUAAGUUUGAGUGGUUUGAGAAAUAUCAGUAAAGCUUUAUUCAAUUGAAAGCACUGUUAAUUGAUGCACCAAUGCUAGUUCAGCCAGAGUCAGGUAAAGAAUUUGUGAUUUAUAGCGAUGCAUCGUUGGAUGGUUUGGGUUGUGUUCUGAUGCAAGAGGGUAAAGUGGUAAUGUAUGCUUCUAGAUAGUUAAAACCGCAUGAAAAAAAUUAUCUAACACAUGAUUUAGAGCUUGCAGCUAUAGUGUUCGCUUUGAAGAUUUGGCGACACCAUUUGUAUGGAGAAAUAUAUUAUAUCUUCCCGGAUCAUAAAAGUCUAGAAUACUUAAUGUCGUAGAAAGAUUUGAAUUUGAGACAGUGCAGAUGGCUUGAGUUAUUGAAAGACUAUAACUUGAUCAUUGAUUAUCAUCCGAGAAAGGCUAAUGUUGUUCCUAAUGCUUUAAGUAGAAAGUCUUUGGUUGCUUUGCGAGCUUUGAACACACAGUUGAUGUUGAUUGGUGAUGGUUCAAUUUUAGCUGAAUUAAAAGCUAAGCCGAUGUUUUUGCAACAAAUUUACGAAGCUUAGAAAUGGAAUGAUGUGUUGAUAGCUAAACGAAAAUAGAUUGAGAUGACUCCUGAUUUAGACUUUCAGAUUGGGUUUGAUGAUAGUUUGUACUUCAAAGGCAGAAUUUGUAUUCCAAAAAAUUCUGAUCUCGUCCGGAAGAUUUUACAGGAAGCUCAUAGUAGUAGCUUGUCUAUUCAUCCUGGUAGCAAUGAAAUGUACAGUGAUUUGAAGCAAAUGUACUGGUGGCCAGGUAUGAAACAAGAAAUUUCUGAGUUUAUAUCAAAAUGUUUAGUUUGUCAACAAGUUCAAGUUAAACAUUAGGUACCUUUUGGUUUGUUACAAUUAGUGAUGAUUCCAGAGUGGAAAUGAGAGCGUGUUACAAUGGAUUUUGUAUGGGGAUUGCCUCUAUCUCUAAGAAAGAAAGAUGUUCUUUGGGUCAUUUUUGAUCGUUUGACGAAAUCCGUGCAUUUCAUUCCAGUGCGUAUGGAUUUUUCACUUGAGAGAUUAGGAAAGUUAUAUGUUUCAGAGAUCGUUAGAGUGCGCGGUGUGCCAGUUUCCAUUAUUUCUGAUAGAGAUCUGCGAUUUACGUCUCAAUUCUGGAGCAAGUUACAUGAGGCUCUAGGUACUCGUUUGCAUUUUAGUACUGCACUUCACCCUUAGAAAGAUGGUUAAACUGAGUGAGUAAUUUAGAUACUCGAGGAUAUGCUUUGAUGUUGUGUUUUAGAAUUCGAAGUUAAUUGGGAGAGAUUUCUACCGUUGGUUGAAUUUGCGUACAACAAAAAUUAUCAAUCGAGUAUAAAGAUGGCACCGUACGAAGCUUAGUAUGAUCGAAAAUGUCGAACUCCAUUGUAUUGGACUGAGUUCAGUGAGAAAAAGCUUCACGGAGUUGAUUUGAUACAAGAAACUGAAGAAAAGGUUAAAGUGAUACGAGAUAGUUUGAAAGCAGCUUCAAAUAGACAAAAAUCUUAUGCAGAUUUGAAAAGAAAAGACAUUGAAUUUCAAGUCGACGAAAAAGUGUUUUUGAAAGUUUCGCCGUAGAAUAAAGUUCUUCGAUUCGGUUGUAAAGGAAAGCUAAGUUCGAGGUUUAUUGGGUCGUAUAAGAUUAUUGAAAGAAUCAGAUUGGUACAUUACAGAUUAGCAUUACUGUCAGAGUUAGAAAAGAUUCACAAUGUAUUAUACGUAUAUAUAUUACGACGGUAUCGAUCGGAUCCUUCACAUGUGAUUUUACUUGUUAUUGUUGAGAUUCAACGUACAAUGAAGAACCAAUCAGAAUUUUGGCUUGAAAGAAUAAAAAAUUGAGAAAUAAAAGUAUAGCUUUGGUGAAAGUUCUCCGGAAAUGUCACGGCAGAGAAGAAGCUACUUGGGAACCAGAAGAAGUUAUGAGAGUGGAAUACCCGAACCUCUUUUCUGGUCAGAUUUUCGGAGACGAAAAUUUCUUUAGGGGAGAGAGUUAUAACAACCCGUUUUUAGUGACAUCAGAACAGUGGUCUUGGAACCAUAAAUUCGAUGAGUAAAUUUUUAUUUUAUUAUUAUAAUGUCUAUGGUAUGUUAAUAAGGUCGUAUAAAAAUUUUGUUAAGAAAUUUUGAUGUUUGCAUGCUUAAUUAUGUAAAAAGGGCUAAAUCGUAAAAAAGUAUAAAAGUAGAGUUCUAUUAGUUAAAGGGGUUAAAUAGCUAUGGAAUUUAAAGUGAGUGGACUUAAAGAAUAAUUAGACCAUUCAAAAUUUUAGUGGACAUAUAUGGACAUGGCUUAAGGGAUUUUUAAAUGUUAAAAAUAAAUGUUUAAUUAGUAAUUAGUAAAAUAAACUAAAAACAAAUAAAAGAAAAUUUGUGCUCAUCUUCUACAAGGUGUUAUUCCACCGAAAUUGAAGAGAAGUAAUAAGCCAAUUUAGGGGUCUUAAUUUUGGCAAGUUCAAAGAUCAAGAUAAAUCUCCAUCGGAUCUAAACCGAGGAAAGGCAAAAAUCACGGAUUAGCUUGAUCAUACUUUUACGCUCUAGUUGUCAAAGUAAGUUAAUAGUGUUUCUGUACAUAAUUAAAUUUGUACUUGUAUGUUUACAAUAUAGUUAUGUAAUUAAUUGCUUAUACUUAAUUAUUCCCUAAAUUGCACAUAUGUGCCCCUAUUUGUAGUUCGGUACCCCUGAAUUGCACAUACGUGCCCCUAUUUUUACUUCGGUACCCCUAAAUUGCAUAUAUGUGCCCCUUUUUGUACUUCAAAACCCUUAAAUUGCAUAUACGUGCCUUUGUUUGUACUUCGGUACCCAUGAGUAACACCUAUGUGCCCCUUUUUAUACUUCGGUACCCUUGAAUAGCACUUACGUGCCUUGUUACAAUUCAGUAACUUUGAAUUGACUAAAAUAUGAGUUGUAUUCAAUUGUCAUUAAGUUUAAUGAUAAACUAUGCUUUUACUAAGCUCUAUAAGCUUAUUCAUUUUUGUGAAUUGUUUUGUAGAUCGUUUUUCCUGCCGUUUGGACGGAUCGAAUCUACGGCUCACACUAUCCUUCGAUGCUAGUAGUUCUUGUUUCCUUUAGGGUUGUGGCAUGUAUAUAUGGCUAUAUAGGUUGUUUUGGUACAAUGUGACAAUAUCCUAACCAAGUUGAUAGGUAUCUUUUUGUAUAGUUAGAAUGGUAUGAAAUUGCACACUUGUGAAUUGUUUUAGUUUUUAAGUGAAUUAAGUGUUAUGAUAGAAAUGGAUCAAGGUUUAUAUGUUAUAAAUGUUCAUGUUGAAUUUAAUUGUGGUGUCUAUGAAGGCACAUUGGUUGAUUGUUUUUAGGUCAUUAAAAUGGUAUAUUAUGUUAAGUUGAUUGUGAUCUCAAUUGGGGUAUGCUUUAAGAUGAUAUUGAAUUAGUAGUGUAUGUUUUAGUGUAGUAAUGCAUAAGUUUAGAUAUGUUUGAUGGUUUGUGAUUGAGGUGCCUUAUUGGCAUAUUGGUUGUAUGGAUUAAUGGUAUAGUGAAUUGGUCAUUUUAUGCAUGUUUUGGGCAUGUUUUAAUGUCUUGGUUAUAUAUGCAAAUGGUGUUUAGGUACAUGUUUGAAUUGGGUGAAAGGAAUGGCUUGAUUUUGGCCAAUUGCUUGUCCACAUGGGCUAAGACACGGGCGUGUAACUUAGCUGUGUGUGACACAUGACCAUGCGACUCAGUCGUAUGUCCCCUGUACGUUUUAAAGGUUGCAAGUCAAGCAGUUACACGGCCUAGCACACGGUCUGGGACAUAGGAGUGUGAGCCAUUUUGAGUGUUGCACGGUCUAGCACACGGGCGUGUGGCUUGGCCGUGUAACCCAAGUCAGAAAGUUACAUGGGCACAGAUACUGGCUACGGCACCGUUGUGUGUCCAUAUUUCGAUUGUUACAUGACUUGAGACACAGGCAUGUGUAUUAGCCGUGUGGGUCACACGGCAAUUUAAAAGUUUCUAUCUUUUUCAUCAAUGUUUCUAAUGAUCUCGAUUUAGUCCCGAAUCAUUUCUAAAGUGAUUCUAAGGCCUCAAGGGCUCGAUUAAGGGAUGAUAUGCAUGUUUAUAAAUGGAUAAUGCUAUGUUUAAUGAAAAUUUUGAAAGUGAAUAAUUUUAGGUUGUGUUUAUUUCGUAAUGCUCUGUAACGCUAUUCAGGCAACGAAUACAGGUUAGGGGUGUUACAUCUGGCGCUGAAGCUUCCUCUCGAGCACGGAUCGCAUGAUCCUUAGCCAACGCUCGUACCUCAAACCUCAUAGCAGAGUCUUUCGUCCCACUAGGCUAUUACCUACAUUUCCUGUGUGUCAAGGUGGUCACCCUCUCCCAGCUAUAUUACUCGAUCGAGUUGUCUGAGCAUUUUCUUUGUCUGAACUUUUCGGGAAAUUUCUGAGAUAGUGUUCAUACGAACCAAAUUUAAAACAUGACUCAUCUUUCAAUCUGCAUUCACUGAAGUGUCACCUAUUACAUUUUUUACAUUCGGGCUUGUUGUUUAUAACACUGCCCACACUCGCUACAGACGUAGCUUGAGGUUUUGAGCUCAAAUGUUGUUUUCCUCAGUCUUUCCCAGAAUAACCCACUGAAGCUGAUGAAUGACCAUGAUACUCUUUUGACUUCUUCAAUGACGAUUGGUAUGACUUUCCCAUAAAUCUCUUUCCUGAAUCAUGAGCCUCAAAAUUGGCUUUUCUCUUUGCUUUGCUAAGUUCCUCAGCUUUAUGCACUUUGUCAACCAGAAGUACAAAUUCUUUCAACUCAAGGAUCCUGCCUAACAACUUGAUGUCUUUGUUCAACCCAUCUUCAAAUUGUGUGCACAUAGCAACCUCUGUCGAUAUACAUUCUCGAGUUCAAACAAUUUCUCUCUCAUAUUCAGAUGCUAUCAUUCAGCCUUGUUUCAGCUCAAGAAACUCUUUGCGUUUGUUACCAAGAAAUUUUUGACUCACAUAUUUCUUUCGGAAUUCAGUUUGAAAGAAUUCCCAGUUCACGAUCUCUUGGUACAACUGCAACUAAGGUGUUCCACCACUGAUAAGUCGAAUAUUUCAGUAAUGUAACUGCACAUUUCAAACAUUCCACAUGAGUACAUGACAAUUCAUCGAAAACCUUAAUGGUGUUUUCUAACUAGAAUUCAACUUUUUCCGGAUCAUCUUCGACUGUACCUCGAAACUGUUCAGACCCAUACUUAUGGAUCUUAUCAAUUGGAGGCUUGCUCGCUCGUAUUGGUUCCAAACCCUGAGGAACUACAGCGACCAGUUGGGGUACAGGUGGGGGUGGAGGUUGUUGAGCCAUUGGAUUCGUUCGCACGAACUCGGAGAACCAUUCUGACAGCAUCUGGAAGAAGGAUUCCUUAGCCUCUCUUCCUCGGGCCUCAGAUACGGGCCUACUUCCACUAGACACUACUAUGUGAAUGAAGGAUUUUGCGUUACUUUCAACUUCAUCGGAGUCAGCUCAGUUGGAUGACAUUUUAUCUAUAUGAAAACAUAUUUCAAUUUGGGUCAGGAGUUAUCACACUAUCACAUGUUACGGAGCAUCACUAUACAAGCAGAGCAUUAAAACAUUCAUUUCAUACAUCAUUGCAAAGAUAAUCUAAAUACGUUCAAUCACAUAUAUAAUGUCCCUUAAUCGAGCCCUUGAGGCCCUAGAAAUACCUUAGAAACAAUUCAGGACCACAUUGGAAACAAUUGGACAGUAAAAGAAAGAGUUAGAAAAAAUUGGACUGCAGAGGUCACACGGCUGGGUGGCUAGGCUAUGUGAGGCACACAAUUGAGACACACGCUCGUGUCUCAGGCUAAGUAACAAUCAAAAUAGAGUCACACGGUCGUGUCUCAGCCCAUGUCCUCACCCGUGUAACUAUUGAGUUAGGUCACAUGGCCAAGCCACACGCUAGUGUGCCAGGCCGUGUGCUAGAUUGUGUAACAGCCUGACUUAUAUACAUUAAAACCUACAGGGGACAGAUGGUAGUGUAACCAGACCGUUUGUCACAAACGGCUGAGUCACACGCCCGUGUUUUAGACCGUGUGGACAUGAAAUUGGCCAAAAUCAAGCCAUUUCCAACACCAACUCAUGCAACCACCUAAAAGCAUUUUGUACACAUAAUUAAGGCAUCAAAACAUGAUCAAAACCUACAUGAAAUGACCAGUUCAAUAGUCCAAAGUCAUUUUACCAAUAUGCCAUAGAAGGCACCUCAAAUGCAAAGAUACGAACUUACAAAAUCAUGCAAAUAUUUGAUCACAUUUCUACUAUCAAACAUAACUCAGUUUUACCAAGUCAUACGUCAAAUAUGACCAUUAACACUUCAACAUCACUUACCAUUUGAACCAUACCAUUCAUGCAUCACAAGCACCAAAGUGACACAAUUCAAGCAUUAUCAAAAUGGUACCAAAACAACCAACUUAUACAUACCAAAUCAACGUCUAAGCAUUCAACUAAAUAGCAUCAUAAGUUCACCUAUACAUGCCAUUAUAACCUUGGCCAAAACAUCAAAAACUACCAAAAUUUAUGCUAGAUACUGUGAUAGAUCUGUGACAAGCUUCCAAACUGCUCGAGCUUUCGAUUAUCUAUAAGACAUAGGAGAGAAAACUACGUAAGCGCAUAAUGCUUAGUAAGUUCAUAAAACAUGAAACAUAACUUACCAUUUCAUCUAAAUAACAUAAGUAUAAACAUAAUGUAAUCCAACCACAAGCUUGGCACAAGCCUAAGCACCAUCACCAACAUAUAAGUUAGUGCAUUCAAACAUAAUUCACUUGAAUUAAACAUAAGGUAAGCCAUUUGUAUAUGAACAUAUUUCAUUUGAAUUCAUCAUUUCCUUUACAUGAAUACAUAACAUAGUUCAUUUGAACACUUAGCAUUCCUUUCCUUUUCAUGCACAUUGAACCAUUUAGAAUAUCUUUGGAUACUCGGGAAAGCUCACACGAAGUGUGCUUAAACAUAUAACCGUAACCUUUCCUUUGAGUUGUGAAAUGGGCCUGCUCACACAAGCUGUGGGUCAAAAUGUAAGCUACAUGAUGCUGGUCACACGAGCUACAGAGUAUCUGCAACAAAUGCAGGACCUCAGCCUUCGGUAGGACAUUCAAGAUCAACACCCGAAACAUGAAAUCCUUAAUGACAUGUCAUUUGUAUAUUACGAAUCCCUAAGGUUCUACUGGGACUCGAUAACCGUCAUAGCUUUGUUUUGGAUAUACACUGUUGAACAACAUUACAUAUUCAUAACAAAACAUAAUUGAAUAACAUGAAUGUAGAGAUUCAUACAUACGAACUUACCUCAACAACUAGGGCAUACAAAUGGGACCGACUAAUCCGAGACUUUAGCUUUUCCCCGAUUUAAACCCGUAAGAGGUCUAUCUUGAUCUAAAUAGAUAAAAUAAAUCCAUUUAAUAAUUCUAUUAUUCAAUUCAGUCCGUAUUUCACAUUUUUACAAAAUAACUAUUUUGCCCCUAACAUUUUAACUUUUCACAAUUUAGUCAUUAAGCUCAUAAAUUGAAAUCUAAACAUUUUCAUCCUUUUCACAAGCUAGCUGGUUUCUCUAGGGACCUAUAUCAACUCAUACAAACCAUCAUUUCAUUAAUUUAGCUUGAACUUUUAUCAUUUAUACAAAUAAGUCCCUAAAUACAAUUGUCAGAAAAAAAUCACUUUACAAAACUUGUUUAUUUAUCAACAAGGACUCAUAACCUUUCAUUAAACAUAAAGAAUCGUGCAAGAACAUUCAUGGAAAAAUCCUAAAUCUUUAAUAGUUUUGGAAAUUGAUUCCCGAGCUAGCUAGGUUAAGCUACGACUUCAAAAAUAUAUAAAUCAUUAAAAACAGGAUAAAAAAUCACUUACAUGCAAGCUAUAUGAGUGAUCGAACUUCAAACCCUAGCUGUGGCUUUUCCUUCCUUUAAUUUUUGGUGGAAAUAUCAACUAAAGAAGAUGAUGCCUUUGUUUAUGUUAUUUUACUUUAACUUAUUUAUUAAUUUACUAAAUUAACCUUGUUAAUUAACUACAUAAAACACUUAAUUGAUGCCCAUCUUUGUCCACUAACACUAUAAAUGUUAUAAUUACCAUAUAAGUUCACUCACAUUUAAGUUUCAUAGCCAUUUAACCCUUUUAACAAAUAGAACUCUAUUUUUGCACCUUUUACGAUUUAAUCUUUUUUUACGUAAUUAAACAUGCAAAUGUCAAAAUUUAUUUAUAAAAUUUUAAUACGACCUUAAUAAAAUCACAUAGACAUUAAAAUAAUAAUAAAAUAAUAACUUACUCAUCAGAUUUGUGAUUCCAAAGCCACUGUUCAAAUUUCACUGAAAAUGGGUUGUUACAAAUAUUGGGCAUGAAUUUAUAAAGUAUGUGAAAUUGUGCUUAAUUACAUGAUUUUUGUACAUAUUUUAUAUUAUUUCAUGUUAAUUUAUUAAUAUGUGAUUUUUCACUAUGUAGGAGGACCAUUGAAGAUGUGUUUAAUGUAAAUGAAACAUGGACAUGCACAAAUCAAUUCAUGUGGACGAAAAAACCAUGAAACUUGGGUCAUGAGGUUGAUAAUUUGACCCAGUAAAAGAUGUGCUUAAAGAUUGACAUGUCUGCUAAAUUAUUGGACUAAGAAACCAUCCAACAAGGAGGAACUAAAGCCCAAUUUCGGCAUAAGUAGAUGGCUGCCCAAAAGUAAGCUUUGGGGUAUUUAAUUGAAGGUCCUUAUAGUUGGAAAAUAAUAAAAAUUAGCCCAAAAACUUUGUUGUUAAAACCAUCCACUCUAUGGCUAUUGAUAACAUUGGUUUGAAUUCAAAAUGAAGAGACUAAGUCAUCCCUUUCCCCUUGAAAUGUGGCCGACCAUGUGUGAUAGAAAAAUAAGGAAUUUGAAAUCUAUUUUUAGCAAACUCUACCCUUUACCUUCACCUAUAAAUUCCAUGCAUUAAUCCCUUAAUCCCUCAUCCCUCAACACUCAUUUCUCUUCUCUCAUUAGCAUUUUAUCUACAUUUUAUUUCCAUUUUCCUCCCCAUUGCAUAGCCGCCCAUUUCCCUUUCCAUCCUUUAGGCACAAAAGCUUUGUCAAAAGCAUUCUUUGGCCGACCACCUUAGGAUCUCCUUAGGAAAAGCAGCAUCGAGCAGAAUAGAGGAGCACAUUAGUGAGAAUAGAUCUAAAAGGUUGUUGAACUGAAUCAGUCAGAAUAGAUUCGAAAGGCUAUUGAACUGAAUAGACUGUACUCUUUCCUCUUGUUAUUUAUUUUAAUUAUGUUUACUUUAAGUUUUUUAUUUUUGACAUCAACGGUGAUAUUUUAAAUCCUAUUUUCUAGGAUGAUUAUGUUAAUUCAAUAAGAUCUAUUUUAUUCGUGUUUAAUAUAUUUAGGCCUCAGUCAAUCAUGUUUUCAAUUAACAUCAUGAUGCAUUUAAUUCCUACGUUAUUUGGUGCACUUAGAUUAGCUGAGCGAUCUUAACUAAAUGACGACUAGAAGACACAUAACUGAAAAGUGCAAUGCUCAAUUUAGAUCCUUAAACCCGACUAAGUUGGGGUUCGUAAUAUCUUUAGUUAGCUAAUUAUAUAGUUUUUACAUCAAAUUGUGAAUUUAUAAUUUUGCAAUUAAUUGGUUAAGCUUAUACAGUCCCUGUGGAAACGAUAACUCAUUUUUACGUACUUAUUACUUGAAUGACUAUGUACACUUGCACAAACCGCGUUACAAGUUUUUGGCACCAUUGCCGGGGAUAGUUGCCUUAAUUAUUUUUUUUGUGAAAUUAUUUUUACAAUCUAGAUUUUAUUUUUUAUUUAAUUUUUAACUCUUCUAAUUUAUUAUUUAUUAUUUACUUGUGAUUUAUUUAUCAAGUGUUUAUGUACAUAGAUCAAAUCAUUGAUCUAUUACCAUUGGACCCUAAAAUCGAGCGAACUUUUAGAAAAAGAAAACGUGAGAGAUAUGCUCAAAUUCAAGCCGAGAUGGACCUUGGAAAUCAAAAUGAUGGACAAGGUAAUGGAGUCAAACAAGUGCACAACCCAAUCCUUAUUGCUGAUGAUAGGGAUUGUGCCAUCAGAUAAUACGCUGUGCCACUCUUCAAUCAAUUAAAUUUGGGAAUUAGGACACCAGAUAUCGAGUUACCCCAAUUUGAAUUGAAACUAGUGAUGUUUCAAAUGCUCCAAAUAGUGGGCCAGUUCAGUGGUAUGCCCACGGAUGAUCCACACUGACACCUUUUAUUAUUCAUAGAGGUGAGUGAUUCAUUUAAGUUAGCUAGUGUGACUAAAGCCGCACUAAGGUUAAAAUUGUUUCCAUACUUAUUGCAAGAUCGAGCACGAGCAUGGUUGAAUUCAUUGCCACCAAGUUCAACAUUUUCUUGGCAAGAAUUAGUAGAAAGGUUCUUGGUUAAGUAUUUUCCAUCGAGCAAGAACACAAAGUUGCGAAAUGAGAUAACUACUUUCCAACAAUUGGAUGACGAGUAUUUAUACGAGGCAUGUAAAAGAUUCAUGGAAUUACUUUGUAAGUGUCCUCAUCAUGGGAUUCCUCAUUGUAUCCAAUUGGAGAUGCAGACAGAAACACCCUUGGCCCAUUCAGUGCCCGCAUUAUGUCGGUGUCUGGAACGACGAAAAUGUGCAAGUGUACACAAUCGCAACAAGUAAUAAAGUGACAAGUAAAUGUCAAGUUAUCCUACCCACAUGGACUAUAAAAGAAUUAUUUAUGAAAGUAAGUUUAAACACUUUGGUGAAAGAAAAAUAUUUGGAUUUGGGAAAUGAUUAAAAACUAGAAAACAAAGUAAAUAAAAUAAAAUAAAAUAAAAUAAAAUAGAGUUCUAAUGCACAAUUUCAAAAGCUGAUUUUAAUCAAGAUGAGAUAAUUGUGUUGGAUUAAUUACAUUUCCUUACCUUAGAAUCAUAAACUUAUGCUUAUUCUUAUUACUAAUAAAUCACGACAACUCAGUAAUUCACUAACUUAUGAACAUAUUUACAAAUCAAAAAUCCAUUCAUCUAUUGUACAUAUUCCUAUGUCAAUUCGACCGAUAAAAUAGAUUUAUAAAGAUAAACAUGUUAUUGCACAUACAUACUUAUUAGAUUAAACAAUCUCUUGCAUAUUCCUAUGUCAAUUCAAACGAUUAAUUCAACCUAAUAAGCAUAUAAAGACUAUGUGAGGUAACAAAGUAUCCUUACCUUGAAACAGUUUAAUCACAAUAAUCUUGCAAGUUAUGCAAGGCAUAUGUAUCGCCAAAUACAAUGCUAAUCUAAUCUUCAGCUACCUUAGAAGAAUUAAACAUGCACUGAUUAAGUACUGUGUCCAUUAAUUAUAAUUUCAAUGCGUUUAAAUAAUUAAUUCUUUAGUUAUCUUACAAUUGUAAUGCAAAAAUAACUUAAUCAUGGUUUUACUUAAUCAAACAUUUUACCGAGGCCUAUAACAACAUAAACAUAAAUUUAACAAAUCAAGAGGAUGGAAUGCAAUCAACCCAACACGAAUUAAAUUCAAGCUAAGUUGAUUAAAUUAACCAUUCCAAUAGGAAAAAUAUUCAUAGAUAUGUUUAUCAUAAAAACAAAAAAAAAAUUAAAGAAAUAAGGAAUAAGAAUCAAAUUCGGUGGUUUUCCGUGGCUUGACGAGGUUGCUCCGUUCUUCCUUCUUUGUUGUCCUCGCCAGUUAAGGCUGUUAUGAACACUCAAUUGCUGCUCCAAAAUGGCUGAAGAAUACCCCUUUCCCAAGAGGAGAAAAAGACACAAGAGCAAGGAGCUUUGAAUGGGAAAAUGAGGGAAAAAAGUGAGAGAGGAGAGAAGAGUUGUGAGAGAAGAGAUGUGAAUGAGGGAUGAUUUGAAUGGGCAGCAAAGGGGGGUUUAUAUAUCUGAGGAUGGCUGCUAAAAAUAGAAAAUUUUAGCAGCCAAUGAGCCCCCUCAUAGCGGCCAUCCUACAUGGAAAAGUUGAGACUUUCAACUUUGCUAAAAUUAGCCUGGGGCAAAUUCGUAAAGCCUUAAUUUAAGGUGAGGUUUGAAUGCAAUUUGGAAGUCUUACAAGGGCCUUUUUGCAGCUCAUUUAAUCAGCUAAAAAUUCUGGUUUGGGUCAGCAUUUGAAUGGUUCUGGGCUACCCAAUUGGUGGCUGGUUCGAUUCACUCAAUUUGGUUCAACUGGUGCGGUUCAACUGGGCCUUUUUUCCAUAGUUAAUUAAAAUUAAUUUAUUUAACCCAAAUUAAAUUGGGAAUAAAUUAAAAUUAAUUAAAUUAUUAAUUAAUACACAUAUUUGGACCGUCUUAGACUGGAAAUUAUUUUUCCUUGUUACUUCGAAUUGCUUCUCAGUUUUGGUCUUCUAACGGUGUCUACCGGGUUAAUUUUCGCCCUUUGUACGAAUCUGUCAAAAUAAUCAAAAUCCACUAAAAAUAAUUGUAAAAUUGAAUAAAAAUUAACAUGUUCAAAUUUUUAAUACAAAUUAAUUAUUUUAUAAAAAUUAAUUAUUUUAUGACAAAAAUUCUAUCGAAAAUGCAUGAUUUUAAGUAAAAUUAGUAUGAAAAUGUAUAUAAAUCUUUGUGUUUCCACACCCCCAAACUUAAAUCAUUGCUCGUUUCGAGUAAUGCACAAAUUUCGGAAAGAAUUUCUCAGAAACACUUUUGAAGAAUUCCUUCAGAACAACUUUCUUCUCAAAAUUAUGAAUUUAAUAUACUUAGGCUCAAAAAUAAGAAAUUUGAUAAUUAUGCUACUUAAGUAUGCAUAUCGUUCAAAUUACAUCCAACAACUAUUAUAAUAGCAAAAUUAGACUAAAUGCCUCUUUAACAAAGUCAUAUUAACCCUUACCAAUUUGAUUUUUUUAUUCCCUUAUUCAAGACUAAGCUGUAAUCAUUAAGUUUAAAUUAUGUCUUCAUAUGUUGAUCUUAGAAAUUUCUCUCCACUAAUGUAGGUAGCAUAGAAACUUGAAUUAAUAGGUCUUUAUUAAGGUUGUAAUGUGGCUAGGCUAUGGGUAGGUAAAAGAUAGAUAAAUUUUGGCUUAAAAACCCUAGACUCAGCGUAAACUCGAACCUUCAGAAUUUUUACCUUCGAUACACCAACUUAUUUUACUUUCACAUGCUCUUUUGUACAUCUAUUUUCUUUCGAGUACAUUUUUUUUAAAUUAAAAAUUCAAGUGCUUGCUUCAUGUACUACAAUUUUCGGGCAAUUGAUACUUCUUUUCAAUUCCCCCGAACUUAUUUUCAAACGAUAUUCUAAAUAGUACUAAGUCUAGUGUUUAGGACAAUUUUAAAGAUAAUGAAGAGAAAAGUGAUGGCUAAAUAUUGCAACGGUCUAAAUAAAACUAGGCCAUAUAGUCUCAAAGUUGGGUUUCAAAGGAAAAUUUUAUCAUGGUUGGCUUGAAAGGCUCAAACGGUUCAAACAAUAAUUUGCCUAAGUCAUUUUCAAUAUUCCAUGCUUCCUAGGAUUUCGCCUCAAGAAAUUACUAAGUCAAUUCUAAAGACUUAAAGUUUCAGGCAUGCCUAAUUUUUUCGUAGGGAACGAAAAAAAAAAUUCUAUGGUAUGAAUUUGCAUGCUUUAUUAAAAAUAUAUUCAUAUCAUUAUUAAGCUAACAUAACAACUUAUUGAAAUAAUAGAACUUUAUUAAUACUGAAGUUUAGCAUACUUAACAAAAUUUCAUAUUAUUGAACAAAAUAUAUCCUAAUCAUAAUUAAAAGAAAAUUUUAUUCAGAGUGGAAUUAAUUCAAAUUUUCGGUCCCCCCCAACUUAAAAUGAACAAUGUCCUCAUUGUUUAAAGUGAAUUGACACUAUACACCAAGUAGGAUUUUAGAAAAGAGGAGGUGAGUCAAAUUGACUGCUUAAGUACUAAGCUCUCUUGAAAUCCAAUCCUAGGCAUGUAUAUACCUAUUGCCACACUUUAGCGUUUGUGACUUGUUUAGAUUUUAUUCAUGAUUCCUAUCUUUUGUUUUAUUGUGCAAAAAUAAAAAUUCCUAAUUAACCUAAUCCUAAAAUAACUUAAGAAUAAAAAUAAAAUAAAGUUGAGGUCCUCCCUUUUUUAUUUGUUUGCCGAUCCUUUUGAAUUCGACUCAUCUUUUGCUUCAUCAUUAUUGCCUUUGCAUGAGUUUCUUUGCUCCCUCUUCGGCAAUGAACUCCAUGGUUCAAAUAAGAAAUCUGGAAACUCAGGCACAAAAAUAAAUAGGUCAUUAUAAAUUUUCCUAAGGGCACUCCUCAUCGAGUCAUCCCUUAUUUUUGAGUAUCUCCAGUAGGCCUGUUGCUGCCAUUGCAUGGGUUGCAUUAAGUCCAUCAGCUUUGACAGCUCAUCACGAAGAUUUGGGCUAGGCCGUGGAGCUCCAAACAUUAAGGUUUCGAAAUCAGGUUCAGCUUCUGGUUCCAUUGGUUUUGCCUCAUUAGGGACUUCAGUUGAUUGCUCUAGCGGGAUCUCUGUGGGUUCAUCUUCUGCUUCUUCGGGAUCCUCACUUUCUUCAACUCGUUACUGUAGAACAGAAUCUCCAGCUACUCGGUAGAGGUCCCAAUCGGUGAUUGUGCCCUGAAUAUACCCUGUCUUCUUUACGUUUGCAAGAAUUUUUGCUUUUAAGCACAAAAAUGUUAUCGUAAAGGGGAAAUAGGCUAGGCCAGAACGUCUAACGGCAUAAUUUCGCAUUUCUCUUGGGAUGAUUUUUCCCACAUCAAUGGUCUUUCCAGUUAGAAUUGAGUAUAAUAGGACCAUUCGCUCUAAUGAGAUUGUAGUCCUAUGCAAACUAGGCAUAAGGCUAAAACGGAUGAAAUAGAACCAUACCUUCGCAAGUGGUGUCAAAUAUUCUUUUCGACAUGUGUGGAUUCCUUGCUUUGACGCAGUCCACUUAGAACCUGAAACUGUGAGUUCCUCGAGAAUUUCUUGCAAAUUUUUAGGCUUAAUGUUGCUCAACAAAGAAGAAUAUUCAUCGUUUUCAAAAUUAGAUAAUUCAAAGAACUCAUUAAUAGCAUUUGAAUUUAUUGGUACCUUGAUUCCGCGAACUGGAACGUCGAUCAAUUCGCUUGAGGUUAAAUUCACAUAGAAUUCACGAACUAGUUCCUCAUCCAUACUUGGUCUCUUUUCACAAAAUAAUUCACAAUUGAGGGCUUCAGCACUUGGCGAAUACAUGCCAUAAAGUCUCCGUAGUUGCUUUCCUUCAAUGUGAAGCCUUUCUUUGGAUGGAUCUGUUGAUUUUUGAAGAUAGUUUCGUAUCUUACUUUGGCUUCUUCAUAGUGGAACUUAUGUUGUGUUUCAUCGAUUUGGGCAGAGGCACGAGUUCUCUUGCGUGGCAUGAUUAACCUGAACAUAAAAUUGGAAAAAUUAAUUUCUCAAAAAUUUAAUUAAUAAAAUUAUUAAUAAUUCAAUGAUUUGAAAAAUUAAAUAAUUGAAUAAAAUUAAAAUUCAAGAGAAAAUUUGGUCUUACCACCCUUUUUUUUAAAAAAAUAAUUAAAAGAAAAGGAGGUCGAAUUAAGGUAGGUUGGAGGAUUUGGCUAAGGAUGGGUGAAGGUGUGUGCCGCAGAAGUGUUGGAAGACUGCUAAGUGUGUGGGCGGAUGGGUGUGGAAGCAGGCAGCAACACGCAGCAGGGGUUGCACGCAAGCGGCAGCGUGCGGGACCUUUGACAAGCAGACCUGAUGCACUGGGACGUGCGCAAAUGUGGCGCACAGGAGCAAGACACAGCCUGGGUGAUUGCUGGGGCUGGGGCGUGUGGCUUGUUGAGGCUGCUAGCCAAGCAAUGUGCGAUUGAGGCUUGCGGCACUUAAGGGAUUUGGUGCUUUGGGGUUUUGAGUGAUGAAUGAAUGGGGGGAAAUAAGGGUGGAAUUUAUAGUGGGAGAAGUAUGAAUUAGAGUAGAAUUCUUAAAGAAAUUUAAUAAUUUAAAUAUUCUAAGUCUAGUCCUGUAACAGCCUGAUUUAGGGCUUAGUCGGAACAGUUAUUUCGAGACCACAAAUUCGAAGAGGAAAAAUUUAUUUUUACUAUAUUUUUAUGGUCUACAAUUUUGCGGACAGAUUUUGUGAAAAUUUCGUUCGAAAAUUUUGACGUUUGGGCACUCAAUUUAGUCAAAAGGACUAAAUUGUAAAAAGUGCAAAAGUUGAGUUUUAUUUGUUAAAUGUAUUUAAUUGUUAUGGAAUUAUAAAUUAGGGAUCCUUGUGUGGAAUUAGACCAUUAUUUAGUGAUGGACAAAAAUGGACAAGAAAUAAGUGAAAUAGGAUUUUUUUAAGUAAGGGCAUUUUGGUCAUUUAGUAAAUAAAUAGAAUUAAAAUGGGAAAAAGAUGUAAAAAAAUGGUGUUAUCAUAUUUGCUUGCUGCUGAAACUUGAAGGACUCCAUAGCUAGGGUUUUGGCCACUUUCAAGCUUGAUUGUAAGUGCAUUUUAGCCCCGUUUUUAAUGUUCUUUGCAUUUUUGAGAUUCUCGUAGCUCGGUUUAUCUAUUUCUACUGUUAUUUUGAGCUAGGGUUGAAAUUUAAAAAAUUAACCAUGUGUGAAAUGUAUGUAUUUUUAUGUUUUAUGGAAUAAUAUGAAGCUAUAAUUUAUGUUAAACAACUUUUGCUAGUCGAUUUUAAGUGAAACCG